GCUUCGAUGACCAGCUGCUUAACACCAACUGUUCUCUUCUGCAUCUUGAACCUCACCAUAGUUACCAUUUUCAUCACUUCAUCCCUCGAAAAACCGCACGAACUCGGUGAUGACGAAGACGAAUCGCCGCCGAAACUCAUCCGAGUCAAGUCAAUCAACUUCUCUACGUACAGCUCCGAACAGCCCUACCCGUUUGACUCCGCAGCCAGUCACGCCACGGCUCCACCUCAAGAACCAACUCAUCUGCAAAAAUCUGAAUGUGUGGAAGAGAGUCACGUGAAUAGGAGUAGGUCCGACACUAGCGUGAAUGUUCCGGAGAGAAGGGUGUUGAAGAAGUCCGCGAGUGAGAAGGUGUUUGCGGCUGAGCGGCAGGAAGAGGAGGAUCGACUGCGGCCGGCAACGGUGAGGGAAACUACGUCGUGUAAUGGGACGGAGGAGGAGGAAGUGGAUGCUAAAGCUGAUGAUUUUAUUAACAGGUUUAGGCAACAGUUGAAAUUACAGAGGAUGGAGUCAAAUUUGAGGUACCAAGAGAUGACGAAUCGGCUUCGGAAUUGAAGCAUAUUUUUGUCACUGCUUAAUCUCAAUAGCUAUAAUUUUCAAUUGCUUGAUAUUGAAAUGAAUUCAUUUUUCUUUAGUAAGUGCUUGUUUGUGCCCCCAUUAUUUGUGAGUAAUAUAUUAUAGAAUAUUAAACUUGUAAUAUCAUGCUCUUUAUAAGCAAGUAAUAUUCUUUUGAAAUAUCAAUAAUAUUGUGCUACUUUAGGAGUAACAACGAACUAUUUAUAAUAGAUAGAUAUAUAAUUAAUAUUCUUAUGGAAUAUUAAUUAUAAUGUUGUGCUAUUUUUAUAAUAACAACAUGAUAAAUUCUUAAUUUGAAGUUCAUAGAAGAAUAUCUAAAAAUAUUUAAUUAUCAUUUAGACAUGAUAUGAAUUUAUCUAGAAAAAUUAAUUACCCAAAUGCAUUAGAAAAAAGAAUAUCUAUAUAUAGAAGUUAACAAAAUUGGCUAAAUCUUUUACCAGCAUACAAAAGAUACUAAACAUACAUAUGAAUUUCACAUAUAUAGAAAUUAAAGAUAGAACUAAUAUGUGACAGAUUCAAAAGAUAUAAUUAAUACUAAAUAAUAUGUGAAAAAUGAUCGUGUAUGAAUAAAAAUAACGUGAAUUAAUAUGUGUUUAGAUUACACAUACAAACGUGAUUUAGAAUUAAUAUUCCCAUGAAAAGUAGAGAAGAAGAAGCAAUCUCAUUAUGAUGCAAUAUGUAUAUUGAAAUAUUUCACAUACUACAAAAUUAAUUUUGGUACACGUGAUAAAUAUUUAUGCCUAUAAAAAUUAUUACUUUCACUAAAUUCUAAAAAAUUAAGCUAUCGUACUGAUAACGUAUUAUGAAAAGAUAGAAAAAAAAAAUAGAGAGAAGUCAAUAGACUUAUGUGUAUUUUAUUAUUAACAACCAAAACCCUGUAUUUAUAGGACAAAAUCAGGGAUACAAUAAUAAUAAUUUCUAUGGUUGUGGGGGUAUAAUUGUCAUUCAACUCUAAACCCUAAUAAGCUUACCUUUAACAACACAUUAUUCUUUUGUUAUAUAAUACUUUCUCCAUUUUAUUUAUAUAGACGGGUUUUAUUUUCCAAACGGAUUAAGAAAUCUUAUUUAUUAAUGGUAUUGAAAAAGUAAUUUUUGUCUAUAUGUUUCCUAAUCUACCCUUAUUUAUACUUAUACAAUUUUAAGAUUAUGUGCAAAAAAAUAGUUAUAAUUAGACAAAUUAAGUAAAUGUAUAUCAGAAAAUGAACAAAAUAAAACAUCCUCAAUAAAGAAAUAUGACUAUAUAAUUGGGACAAAAAAAAUAAGGAAAUGCAGUUUGUAUAAAUGGGACUAGGAGAGUAGUUGAUAUAUUCUCUCCGUCUUCUAAAGUUAGGUUUACUUCUUUUUAAUUUUUUUAAAAUUUUUUUGGGUAUAUCCCAAAUUAUAGGCAACUUUCUUUGUUGAGAGUAUAAUUGAUUUCUUAACUUUCUAAUAUGCCUCCAUUUAAUGUGUCCUGUUAACAAUAAAUAUGAAUAACUCAUAUUUAAACUAUUAUUUAUUGUAGGAGUAUAUUAUAAAAAAAAUAUGCAAAAUUUAUUUUUCCUAGUUCCAACUAUAUGAAUUACAUUUUCUUAAUCAGUUUGAUAAUGGAAGGAAGCGUAUUUCUAUAGGACAGAAUGAGUAUAAAAUAUAUAAUACGUAAUACUCCCUUCGUCCAAUAAAGAAAUGCUCAUUUAUAUUUUAACUUGGAUUGAUAAAAUAAUUAUUACACUAGAAAACAUUAAUAUUACUUACUUUUAUUCUAAUAUUUCAUACAUUACAUCAUAAUUCAGAUAAAAUUAGUUCAUUUUUGUUGAUAACAAUGUACAUUAAAAUCUUGUUUGACCCACCUUUUUAAAAAAAAAUACAUUUUAAAUAGUGAUUUAACAUCAUUUCAAUCACACAAUUUUCAAUAAAAUAAUAUUAAACGCAAAUUCAAAAUAUUUUCUUAUUUUUUAACCGUACGUUUUCCAUCAAUACGCUGUUAAAAAAUGCAUUCUUAUGAAAAUAAUGUGACUUAAACAAGGGUUAAAGAUGAACAUAUUAUGAAAUUAAGAAAUUAUUUAUAUUCUCAACAAGAAAAAAUGAUAUAUAAUAUUAUAUUUAUAUGUUAAGCAAUGGUAGCUCUCCAAUUAUUGUGAAUUGGGUCAAUUGUAUUUAAGUCUUCGUUUCCCACUAGGCGCGUGGAAAUUAUUUUAUUAAUAAUAGUAAAUGCUGGUUUACCAUGAUCACAUCACAUGAAUGCUGGUCCAAAUUUCAAGUGUGAACAUGUUGAUAUGUCAGUCUAAAUAUCGAGUAUGAACAUUGGUGGAAAGAGUACAAAUUUCUUACUUACUCUCCAUCUGUUUGUCCCUUCCAGUUGAAAAUAUCCAUCAGUUUGUGGCUCUUUUGGCUAAAGGAUUAGAUUGGAUUCAAAUUCAAUUUGACUCAAUUCAUGGAAACUAUAGAAAGUUUAGCUGUCAUCAACACAAAAAUCAAAAUCACAAUAAUCAAAUAAUAUAACUGAUGCAAUCAAUAAAUAAAGGGAAAAUUAGCAACAGUCUUUAAUCUUUUUUUCUUUUUUUUUUAAGACUUUACUUUAACCUUUACUUUUGUGUCAGCAGAUGUUCUUAAUUUUCAUAAAUAUGCACUUGAGACCCAUAUGGAUGCAAACCAUCCGAAAUACCGUCAGUUGACGAGAAAAAAUUGUCUAAAAAGGUAUUAGCAUCCAAUAAAAUCGUCGCGGUAGCAGAUAGCUCAAGGAGUUUUUUUUGUCAAUUGACGGUGUUUUGGAUGAUUUCCGUUCAGAUGGAUUUCAUGUGCAUAUUUAUGAAAGGUUAGAAUAAAGUCUGCAAAAAUGAAAAGACUAGGGAUCUUCUCAAAGAAUAAACUAUCCUUCAAAGUCUAUAAAGGAGAAAGGCGAAGUUAGGAAGCGAGUGAAGUAAUCCUAGGGUAAUAAAAAUCACUCUUCUUUCAGCUCUUGUGAAAUGGUCUCUGUGGUUCGCUUGCCCUUAUGACUAUGCUUUCUAUUCUAUGGCGUCGACUCUUACUUUCGUGGGAACAAGAAUAGCUAUGAUUUCAAAAGUUAUGAACUCUUCUCUCAGGUGGUUACUACAAUUUUCUCGUAAAUAAAGGUUAUAAGUGAACCAUUGGUUUUUUAUAAUGAUAUUUAAACAAGAAGUUAAAUAUAAAAGUAGCUAUCAUAUAAAAGACACCUGUAUAAAUAUAAUUUGUUGCACAAAAUAAACGAUAAAUUACGUCUUCGGUCACUGAACUAUCAUAGAAAUCUCCAUUGGGAUAGUAAACUUUAAUUGUCUCAAAUGUGCACUCAGUUAAGCCUUGUUUGGCUCUCAUUAAAUUACAUUUUAUUUUUUUUCUCUUAUUUUCAACCAUACGAUCUUCAAUAAAAUAAUAUUACACGUAAAUCGAAAAUUUUUCUUUCUUUUUCAACCACUCAUUUUUUUUAAAAAAAAAAUACUAUUUCAUUCAUUUUCAUUUCAAAAAAUAUGGACCAAACGGGGCUAAAUUUCACUAUUCUAUCACUAUCUUCUCCCAAAUUACUAAAAUUAUUUAAUUGACAAAUUGCAUACGUAACAUAACAUAUCUUCUACGUAAUCGGGCAUGACAUAUCAAUUGGUUAUUAUGCUACGUCAUAAAAAAAAUGUAUAUUUUCUUUUAACAUUUUAUUCACAACAUUAUUAUAAUUUCCAUUUAGCAUGAGUACUCUUUAAAUUCUUAUAUAUGAAAAUAAAAAAAUAAUUAAAAUUAAAGUAAAACUAAGCAUGAGUAGUAAGCAAGUAGAUAAAGUGACAACUAAUAAGUCACCGAGUAUAGUUUUGUGACUAACAGAUCAAGUAAACCUGUAGUCACUACUCGGUCAUUCGUUUAAAAUUUAAUUCCCAUUUUAACCUCUACCAAUGCAUAUAUAACAGAAACACUUCAGAGGUUUCUUCAUCUUUCUUUCAAUAGCUCCCGUCUCUGUAAUAAUACAAGAAAAAUAGCUAAAACGACGUCGAAAACUAACCAUGAUUAAUGCUGCUGAAGCUAUUGUUGGUGGAUCCAUGUGGGCUUCGAUGACCAGCUGCUUAACACCAACUGUUCUCUUCUGCAUCUUGAACCUCACCAUAGUUACCAUUUUCAUCACUUCAUCCCUCGAAAAACCGCACGAACUCGGUGAUGACGAAGACGAAUCGCCGCCGAAACUCAUCCGAGUCAAGUCAAUCAACUUCUCUACGUACAGCUCCGAACAGCCCUACCCGUUUGACUCCGCAGCCAGUCACGCCACGGCUCCACCUCAAGAACCAACUCAUCUGCAAAAAUCUGAAUGUGUGGAAGAGAGUCACGUGAAUAGGAGUAGGUCCGACACUAGCGUGAAUGUUCCGGAGAGAAGGGUGUUGAAGAAGUCCGCGAGUGAGAAGGUGUUUGCGGCUGAGCGGCAGGAAGAGGAGGAUCGACUGCGGCCGGCAACGGUGAGGGAAACUACGUCGUGUAAUGGGACGGAGGAGGAGGAAGUGGAUGCUAAAGCUGAUGAUUUUAUUAACAGGUUUAGGCAACAGUUGAAAUUACAGAGGAUGGAGUCAAAUUUGAGGUACCAAGAGAUGACGAAUCGGCUUCGGAAUUGAAGCAUAUUUUUGUCACUGCUUAAUCUCAAUAGCUAUAAUUUUCAAUUGCUUGAUAUUGAAAUGAAUUCAUUUUUCUUUAGUAAGUGCUUGUUUGUGCCCCCAUUAUUUGUGAGUAAUAUAUUAUAGAAUAUUAAACUUGUAAUAUCAUGCUCUUUAUAAGCAAGUAAUAUUCUUUUGAAAUAUCAAUAAUAUUGUGCUACUUUAGGAGUAACAACGAACUAUUUAUAAUAGAUAGAUAUAUAAUUAAUAUUCUUAUGGAAUAUUAAUUAUAAUGUUGUGCUAUUUUUAUAAUAACAACAUGAUAAAUUCUUAAUUUGAAGUUCAUAGAAGAAUAUCUAAAAAUAUUUAAUUAUCAUUUAGACAUGAUAUGAAUUUAUCUAGAAAAAUUAAUUACCCAAAUGCAUUAGAAAAAAGAAUAUCUAUAUAUAGAAGUUAACAAAAUUGGCUAAAUCUUUUACCAGCAUACAAAAGAUACUAAACAUACAUAUGAAUUUCACAUAUAUAGAAAUUAAAGAUAGAACUAAUAUGUGACAGAUUCAAAAGAUAUAAUUAAUACUAAAUAAUAUGUGAAAAAUGAUCGUGUAUGAAUAAAAAUAACGUGAAUUAAUAUGUGUUUAGAUUACACAUACAAACGUGAUUUAGAAUUAAUAUUCCCAUGAAAAGUAGAGAAGAAGAAGCAAUCUCAUUAUGAUGCAAUAUGUAUAUUGAAAUAUUUCACAUACUACAAAAUUAAUUUUGGUACACGUGAUAAAUAUUUAUGCCUAUAAAAAUUAUUACUUUCACUAAAUUCUAAAAAAUUAAGCUAUCGUACUGAUAACGUAUUAUGAAAAGAUAGAAAAAAAAAAUAGAGAGAAGUCAAUAGACUUAUGUGUAUUUUAUUAUUAACAACCAAAACCCUGUAUUUAUAGGACAAAAUCAGGGAUACAAUAAUAAUAAUUUCUAUGGUUGUGGGGGUAUAAUUGUCAUUCAACUCUAAACCCUAAAAAUUGACUAAAGUUUAAGUCAACGUAAAAAAUUAAUUUUAACUACAUAUUUCACGAAAUACACAAUUUUUAAAUAAUAUAUUUCAUUAAUUUUUAUCAAAAUUUAUUAAAAAUUCAAUUUUUAGAUAUACCAAACCAGAGAUUAAUGAUUUCACCUGUAAUAUUAAUUAUAAUUAAAUAAUUUUAAAAAAUAAUUAAUUAUUAAAAAAAUAAUUAAAAAAAAUACUGCUCAUUUUUUGUAAUAUUUGGUGCAAUGAUUGAAGGUGACUUUAUAAAAUAAUGUAAAAAUUGUACCAAUUUGAUGUGAAAGCUGUACCAAUUUGAAUAAUCAAAGAGAAAACAGUCCAAAAGAAAUCUUGUUAAUUACUGAAAGGUUGAGGGUUAAAUCCGACCAGAAAAAGAAUGAGGCUGGGAGUAAUCUGUCCACCGAAUAUGGUUUUGUACGUAUGUAGCAGUUUUCACACAAGCCUGCGCACACUGCAAUUAAAAGCUGUACAUUAUUCAUUUUGGACAGACUUGCAAUCUAGACUUAAUUGUUUUAAUGGUCACUCAACUUAGGAGUGUUUGAUAGACAUUUUUAUGUCAAAAUAUAUUUUAAAAUAAUAAAUUGAUGUGAAAUGUGUGAUUGAAAAAUAAGAAUUUUUUUUAAUUUACGUGUAAUAUCAUUUUAAUAAAGAAUGUGUGGUUGAAAAGAAGAGAGAAAAAAUGUAUUUUGAAAAAAAUGGCUACCAAACGGAGCCUAGAUCCAUGUCUUUAAUUGGUAAUCAAAGUUUACAAUAUCAAAUUUUGAUCACUGAACUUAAAUCUAUAUUUUUGAUUGCUCACCAAAACUUAAAAUAUUGAGUUUUCGCUGUUGAACUUUGAAAAUUAUUGUACAUUACUCAUUAUAAACUCAACAUCUUCCAAAGUUCCACAUUUAUGCUAGAGAGUGACGUGCAAUAUUUUUCAUAGUUUAGUGGCCAAAACUCGACAUUUUAAAUUUCAAUGACCAAUUGAAAAUAUGGAUCAAAGAUCGAUGAUCAAAACUUGAUAUUUUGAACUUCAAUGACCAAUUAAGGAUAUAGACCUAAGUUCAAUGACCAUUGGAACAAUUAAUUCAUUCCCAUUUUGACCAUAUGGACGUUUUUAUAUUACGUAUUUACCCCCGUCAUGGUGUAUAUUAUCAGAGUUAACACUGAAAGAUUCUCCAUGUUUGUUUCAUCAGUCUCUCUCUCCCUCUCUUGAACACCGCAAAGACAUUCCUAAAACGACGUCGCAAAACCACCAUGUUGGCUUCGGUGUCGAGCUGCUUAACACCAACUGUUCUCUUCUGCAUCUUGAACCUCACCAUAGUUACCAUUUUCAUAUCUUCAACCCUAAAAAAGCAACAGAAACUCAGUGAUGACCAGGACAACUCGUCGCCGCAACUCACCCGAGUUCCAUCACUUUUAGAACGAGUCAAGUCCAUCAACCUCUCUAUAUACCGCUCCGAACAGCCCGACCCGUCUGACUCCACUGCCCCACCUCAAGAACCUACACACCAGCAAAAGUCUGAAUGUGUGGAAGAGAGUCAUGUGACUAGGAACAAGUCCGACACGUGCAGGCAAGCUCCGACGAAAAGGGUGUUGAAGAAAUCGGCUAGUGAGAAGGUGUAUGUGGCUGAGCCGGAGGAAGAGGCGGAUCUACGGCGACCGGCGACAGUAAAGGAAACGACGUCGUCUAAUUGGCCGGAGGAUGAGGCUGUGGAUGCGAAAGCUGAUGAUUUCAUUAACAGGUUUAGGCAGCAGUUGAAAUUGCAGAGAUUGGACUCCAUCUUAAGGUACAAGGAAAUGCUCAGUAGAGGUUUGAGGAAUUGAAGCAUAUUAUUUUGGGACAGAUCUACCCUUCCUUACCAGUAUUUCUUUAAGCAAAGUGUAUGGGUUGUUUAGUCUUUCAAUAAUAAAUGAAUUCUUCUUUUGUGGGUGUUUUCUAAUUUUGUUAUGACUAGUAUAUUGUUACAAUAAUUUUUAUUUAUUACACCACAUUUUAAUAGUAGUUAAUUUCCAUAAUCUGAGUAUGUUGUAAUAAUUAUUUUUUUAAUUUUUUCGUUGAAUUCUUAUUUUUAAAUUUUGAUUAAUUAGCGCAUCUCGCCCUUGAUGAUAAUUUAUAUCAAAAUAUUUUGUUUCUAUGCUUGGAAAUGAGUAGGGCUGGACAAAAUUCUCGAAUCGAAUCGAACCUGACGGUUCUUCUCAAGUUAAAUAUCUGAACGUGUAUUUGAAUAAAGAACCGACAGGUAUGAUUCGAUUCUUGAUUCUAGGUCAAGACCCGAAAAAUCGAAUAAGAACUGAAUUUUCGUAAUUUUUUAAUUAAUUUAUUUUAAAUAAGUACGAUUAUUUUAUUUUUUCUAAAUAAAUUUGUUAACUAGUUAAUUUAGUUCAAACCAUAAAAUAUGAUUUUUCUAUUUUUAAUUUUCAGUUUAAAGUAAACUUAAUCAAAUUGACCUUAAUUUUAUUUAAAUUUGUUAUUCUAUUGUAGUGUCGUUUCUAUCGGAGAAAUCAAAUUAAAACUCUAUAAUAUCUCUCUUAAUUAUUUUGAGCUCGCUAUCUUUCUCUUUCUAAGAUUUUAAUAAUCAAAUUUAUGAAAAAUUUAGCAAAGAGAGACGUGAAACACAUAAGAUUGAAUUGAAUUAUGUUAUUUUGUAAGAACUAAUAUUGAACAUAUUAUUAAUUAAAUUAACGUAAUUUUGUAUAUAUUAAAAAAUUUAAUUAUAAUACGAAAUCGAAUGAAACUGAAAUCAGACCAAACCGAACCGAAUCGAAUGGAAUCGAACUCGAACUUUUCCGUAAUUAAAUUUAGACCCGACGGUUUCACUUACUAAACACUCGAAAAUUUCGGGUCGAUUCGAUUCUCGUUAAAACCGAAUCGGACCAUAUCCAGCCCUAAAAAUGAGAGAAAAUUUAUUAUUAUUAUUUUCUCUCUUUCUUUAUUAUUUUAAAAUAUGAUUAAAAAAUAAAUCGUUAUAAGCAAAUUCAGCAGGCUUUUUGGACAAACUGCUUUUUGGGUAAAAUGUUAUCAAAUAUUAAACGCGUUAACUAAUAGAAAAUUUGGGGAUAAGAAUGUCGUGAAAAAUCGUUAGAGAUACAAAUACUAUAAUAAGUAAAGAUUAAAAACUUUAAGUGUAAAUAAAAAUUAUGGUGUAAAUAUAAUUAGAUUUUGUUAUUUGACCGAUUUUAUUGAUGGAUAAUCGGGCAGAUGGAAAAAUGAGAAGUGAGAUAAAAAUGUUUGAAACAAUUCUUGUUAUCUCGUCAAAAUAAGUGAAAUGCUUAAGUUGAGUUCGCACUUCUCUUAAUGAGUCUGUCCAUUCUCCUUUGUCCAAUCACUAAAGACUGCCACAAUCGUGAUCGUUGGUCCCGCAUUUCCGUUUAGCUUAAAGGAGGAGCCAAUUUUAAAAAUAAAUAAAAAAAAUUAUUUUAAAUUUUAUUUAAUUAUAAGUAAAAUUUAAAGCUUAACCAAAAUUACAAGAAGAUGGCAUCAAGUGGUGAAAUUGAUUCGUGGAGAUAAAUUAUAAUUGCUUUGAGCUCUGGACAGUCGGUUGUUCGUGUUGGAUGAUGCUAGAUUGGCCACGUGGCUCUCUCCGUCCAUGCGAAACACAUUGCCCUGUUCAUUUAGAAUAAUUCGUUCGUGUUCCAUGCUUUUUAAUGUUAUCUAUUUGACAUAUUAAUAGGAAUUUGAGGAAAUUGGUGAUGCUAAAAUACACUUCAACAAUCUCAUAAAUAUACAUUUGGUUUUCUUUUUCGUCUAUCUCAAAUUAUAAGUUUUUUUUUUUUUUUUUUUUAUCGAGAGAAUAUUGUUGAGCUAUUAGUUUUCUAACACGUCUCUAUUUAAUGUAUGUUGUUAUUAACAAAGAUGUAUUAUUCCUAUUUAUACUAUUAUUUAAUGUACGGAUAUAGCAAAAAAAUGAUAAAAAAUUUAAUUCUAUAUUUUCUUAAUGCAUGUGAAGAUUGAAACAAGUCCAUCUUUAUGGGACGACGAGGUAAUAAAUAGUUUACAAAUCAUGGUGUAUACUCUCGUUUGACCCCUUUUAAAACUCUUCAAUUUAAUUUAAUUUUUUUCUCUCCAAUUUUUAACAAUACAAUUUUUAAUAAAAUAAUAUUACAUUCAAAUCAAAAAAUUUUCAACCACAAAAUCUAAAAAAAAAAUGCUAUUCCUCUAUUAUAAAUUCAAAUAAUGGGGGUCAGCCUCUCGAAUAUAGUUCAGUGGUGUAAAUGACAGAAGUGAGAUUAUUUGACGCUUGGCUGGUAGUCGCAGUGUGUGUGUUCGAUUCCUGAAACAUGAAAUUGGACUUCUUAUAGGUGCAGUGUACAUGUAGCUCUUGUUUUUUGAACCGUUGAAGUACAUCUCACAAUUUACCUCCAUUACAAAGCUUUAAAAAAGGCAUGUGGAGGCUCUCCGAGCUGGAGUUCAACCUUUAAAUAAUGGGACCAAACGAGAGUUAUAUGUAUCAGAGUUAACACUGAAAGCUUCUCAAUGUUUCAUCAGUCUCUCCCUCCCUCUCUUGAACACCGCAAAGACAUUCCUUAAACGACGUCACAAAACCACCAUGUGGGCUUCGGUGUCGAGCUGCUUAACACCAACUGUUCUCUUCUGCAUCUUGAACCUCACCAUAGUUACCAUUGUCAUAACUUCAACCCGAAAAAAGCACUAUAAACUCAGUGAUGACCAGGACAACUCGCCGCCGCAACUCACCCGAGUUCCAUCACUUUUAGAACGAGUCAAGUCCAUCAACCUCUCUAAAUACCGCUCCGAACAGCCCGACCCGUUUGACUCCGCUGCCCCACCUUAAGAACCUACACACCAGCAAAACUCUGAAUGUGUGGAAGAGAGUCAUGUGACUAGGAGCAGGUCCGACACGUGCAGGCAAGCUCCGACGAAAAGGGUGUUGAAGAAGUCGGCUAGUGAGAAGGUGUAUCUGGCUGAGCCGGAGGAAGAGGCGGAUCUACGGCGACCGGCGACAGUAAAGGAAACUACGUCGUCUAGUUGGGCGGAGGAUGAGGCUGUGGAUGCGAAAGCUGAUGAUUUCAUUAACAGGUUUAGGCAGCAGUUGAAAUUACAGAGAUUGGACUCCAUUUUAAAGUACAAGGAAAUGCUCAGUAGAGGUGUGAGGAAUUGAAGCAUAUUAUUUUGGGACAGAUCUACCCUUCCUUACCAGUAUUUCUUUAAGCAAAGUGUAUGGGUUGUUUAGUCUUUCAAUAAUAAAUGAAUUCUACUUUUGUGGGUGUUUUCUAAUUUUGUUAUGACUAGUAGAUCUCUACAAUAAUUUUUAUUUAUUACACAUUUUAAUAUUAGUUAAUCUCCAUAAUCUGAGUAUGUUGUAAUAAUUUUUUUUUUAAUUUUUUCGUUGAAUUCUUAUUUUUAAUUUUCGAUUAAUUAGUGUAUCGUGUUCUUAAUGGCGAUUUAUGUCAAAAUAUUUUGUUUCUACGUUUGAAAAUGAGAGAAACUUUUUAUUUUAUUUUAUUUUAAAAUAUGAUGAAAAAAUAAAACGUUAUAAGCAAUUUUGACAGGGUUUUUGGACAAACUGCUUUUUGGGUAAAAUGUUAUCAAAUAUUAAAUGCGUUAACUAAUAGAAAAUUUGGGGAUAAAAAUGUCGUGAAAAAUCGUUAGAGAUACAAAUACUAUAAUAAAUAAAGAUUAAAAACUUUCAUUGUAAAUAAAAUAUGGUGUAAAAAAUAAAAAUUAUGGUGUAAAUAUAAUUAUAUUUUGUUAUUUGACCAAUUUUAUUGAAGGAUAAUUAGGCAGAUGGAAAAAUGAGAAGUGAGAUAAAAAUGUUUAAAACAAUUCUUGUUAUCUCGUCAAAAUAAGUGAAAUGCUUAAGCCGAGUUGGCAGUUCUCUUAAUGAGUCUGUCCAUUCGCCUUUGUCCAAUCACUUGAGACUCCCACAAUCGUGAUCGAUCACGAACGGUCCCGCAUUUUCAUUUAUCUGAAAGGAGGAGCCAAUUUUAAAAAUAAAUGAAAAAAAUUUAUUUUAAAAUUUAUUUAAUUAUAUAUAAGUAAAUUUUAAAGCUUAACCAAAAAUAUAAGAAGAAGAUGGCUUCAAGAGGUGAAAUUGAUUCCUAGAGAAAUUAUAAUUGCUUAGAAUUCUGGACAGUAGGUUGUUCGUGUUGGAUGAUGCUAGACGGACAGGGCCAUGUGGUCAAUGUGGUCCUCUUCGUCCAGGCGGAACACAGGGCCUUCUUCUUCUAGAAUAAUUCGUUCGUAUUUCAUGCUUGUCAAAGUUAUCUGUUUGACAUAUUAAUAUGAAUUUGAGGAAAUUGGUGAUGCUAAAAUAUACGUCAACAAUCUCAUAAAUAUACAUUUGGUUUUCUUUUUCGUCUAUCUCAAAUUAUAAGUUUUUUUUUUUUUUUUUUUUUCGAGAAAAUAUUUUUAAGAAAAUUGAAUUCUAUAUUUUCUUAAUCUGUGUGAAAAUUAAAAUAAGUCUAUCUUUAUGGGACAGCGAAGCAAUAAAUAGUUUAAACUUUUUAUAAUUCUUCAAAAAUUUGAUAGUUACAUGCUCUCGAUUUUGAAGCUACCUAUUUUGAUUCAUGAAAACGCUCUCUCGAAUAAUCAUAAUGAAAUAAAAGGCGAAUAGUUUUGAACUCCCAAAUAUGAACUUUCUUUUUCUUUUUAAGUUACAGGAAAAUUUAUUAGAAUUAAACUUGUUUGUCAAAAGGGUCUUGACUACCCUUCUUGACAUUUAUUCACGUGGAGUGGGGAUCCAUGUGUGACCCAUGUGUAAUAGAAGUGCAAAGAAAAUGUCCAUUCUCAUGUGAGGGGUCGGUCAAAAAAGAUGUCAACCCCUUCUGGCAACAUAACUGGGUUCUACUUUUUUAUCCUAAAUUUUCUUAGGAUUUUCCCGUUUUCAAGGAAUUUGGAUGUGUUUAGAAAGCCAAUUGUCUAUAUGAAAAGAGAAUAUGCAGAUUUAGAUAUUAUUUUUGUUAGUUACACACUCUCGAUUUUGAAGCCACCUAUUCUGAUUCAUGAAACUGCUCUCUCGAAUAAUCAUAUUGACAUAAAAAGUGAAUGGUGUUGAAAUCAUCAAAAUGAUUUUUUUUUUGGGUUAAGUUAUAGGAAAACUUUAUAGAAUUAAACUUGUUUGUCAGAAGGGUCAUGAUACCCUUCUUGACAUUCACUCACAUGGAGUGGGUUCCAUGUAUGGCCCAUGUGCAAUAAAAGUGCAUAAAAAGUGCUCAUUCCAAAAUGAUGUUAAUCCCCUUCUAGCAACAAAAUAGGGUUCUAUUUUUUAUCCUAAAUUUUGUUAGGAUUUUCUCAUUUUCAAGGAAUUUGGAUGUGUUAGAAAGCCAAUUGUCUAUAUGAAAAGAGAAGCAAAUUUAGAUAUUAAUUUUGUCGGACAGUGCUUUUGACUUGGAAAUAGUGUCUCAAUUUCUUAAUCUGUAUUUCUUAAUCUGUAUGAAGUUGAAACAAGUCCAUCUUUAAGGGACGGCGAAGUAAUAAAUAGUUUAAACUUUUUAUAAUUCUUCAAAAAAUUGAUAGUUACAUGCUCUCGAUUUUGAAGCCACCUAAUCUGAUUCAUGUAAAUGCUCUUUAGAAUAAUCAUAAUGAAACAAAAAAUGGAUAGUGUUGAACUCAUAAAAAAUGAUUUUUUAUUUUUUAUUUUUUAGUUACAUGAAAAUUUUUAAGAAUUAAACUUGUCCGUCGGAAGGGUCUUGACACCCUUCUUGACAUUCACACACAUGGAGUGGGACCCCAUCUAUGGUCCAUAUGCAUUAAAAAUACAUAAAAAAUGUCCAUCACUAUGUAAGGGGACCGAUCAGAAGCGAUGUCAACCCCUUUCGACAACAUAGCAUGACACUAUUUUUUAACCUAAAUUUUGAUAGGAUUUUCCCACGUUCAAGGAAUUUGGAUAUGUUUAGAAGGUCAGUUGUCUACGUGAAAAGAGAAAGAUGCAAAUUUGGAUGUUAUUUUGAUCGGAAAAUGCUUUUUGCUCAGAGAUAGUGUCUCAAUUUCAAAAAGGCCCAAUCUCGAAUGCUUUUUUCAUUCGAGAUGAAUUUUAUCGUUGAAGUUUGGAUAAAUAAUGGGGUUUUUAAUCUUUUUUUAAUUGCUCAAUGUCCUUAUUUAAGUGUUGUGAAAAGAGGGGAAAAAAUAUAAAAGAGAAUAAAAAUCAAUAGAUUUAUAUGUUUUAUUAAAAAUCAAAGUCCAAAAUUUAUAUGAAAGAAUUAGAUAUGCAAUAAUAAUAAAAACUAAGGCUGCAAGGAUAUAAUUAUCAUUCACUAAUAAAUAUAUUAUUUACAACGCUCCCCUUUGAAUGACAUAUUACAAAAUAUCCGCACAAUAAAUUCAAUGGGACAAAAUUUGAGAAAAGAAAAAGGAGUACAACUGAUUUCCUAAUUUUUAAUUAUUGUAUGAAUUCAGCAUUGACUCGUAUAUCAAUGUAUUCAAAUAACGCCGCCUUCAUACGAGUAUCAACCUUUGAUCUUGUUUCUCUCUUUAGGAGUUUUAUACAUAUCAGAGUAUUAUUUUGAGAGUAAAUGUAUUUUAGGUUAUGAAUAUUCAUUACAUGAAAAAUAUGUCUCAUUAAAAUCUUAUUAUGAUAAAUCCUUUGGAAAAAUUCUAAUGAAGCAAAAAAAGUACGUUUAUUCUUUUAAGUAUGUUACAAAAGUCGUCUCUUUAAAAAUGUUGUUAGGAAAAUCCAUUAAGACAAAACCCUGGUCAAGAAAAAAAGAGUACACAUGUAUUUACUCCUCCGAUAAUAAUUUCUCUUAAAUUAUGCUUCAAGUAUAUUAAAUCUUUAAAUGAUAGUACUAAAUAUGUAAAAGGUAAGUUGACUAUAAUCACAUCAAUUAUAUGCUUAUCAAAUUUUAUGCAUUGGCUGACUAAGUAUAUACUUUUAGGUGAUCAGACCGUAGAUUCAGAAACAUCAAAUUUCUCUAGUAAAAUCAAUUUUAUUUGAAUUGCACCAUUUUAUCUGACCACUUAUUUAUUCAUCAUUGUGCUUCUUGAAAUUUAUUUCGAUUUUUCACUAUUUAUAAUAUGAUACAGCACAUUAUAUGCAAAAAUACUAUCGAUACUUUUUUCUUUUUCAAUUAUAUUUCUUUUAUUAUAAUGACAUAACUUAUUGCGAUAUCUCAAUUCUCAAUAUAUUAAGUACCUGAAUAUUUUUUGGGGUUUUAUAAAUUUUAUGUCUAAAUACUCAUUAAGAAUAUAUGCCAACUUAAUUUGACCAUCUUUGCUAAUUUCUACAUUAUUGUUUGAAGAUUUUUAUAUUAAAAUCAAAUAUCAUUACACUUAAGUCGUACUAUAAAUUUAUCAAAUAUAUUAUUAACUAAAUGUCCUCCAGGACGUUAAUUCAAGUUGGAGCAUUUAAAGUUGAUGUUUAUGAUAUUCUUGAUCUCUUUAGUUAAUAAAUGUAUCUAAAUAAUUUAUUUUUUGAACUUUUGGUUCGAAUUAUCUUUUUCGAGAAUUUAGAUAAUGAUGCAUUUGUACAUUAUUUUUAGCAUCUUAAUUUCUCUCCCUAAUGUUGAGAGAGUUGUCUAAUUAAAUUAAAAUCAACAAAUUGCAUUAAAUAUCACUCGUUUGGGAUAAGGGUUCAAACUAUGCAUUGAUUCUUUAUAUUCUUUACUUUCAUCUCAAUACAAUGUAGUGGCUAAAUUGUACAUAUAUUACACUAUCAAAUAAUUAGAUGAAGAAAUCAAACUCUGAUCAUAAGGCAAUUAUAAUAAGGAGAAUUUUAUAUUGGCAUGAUGUAUAAUAGCAUUCCCUAAACAGAAACAGAAGUACUUUGUUCUCCAUUAAAUUGACAGAAAGCCUUUAACAAGUAAUAGUGUUAAACUAUUUAUCAACAUUCCAAAUAACAAUUAUUAAAAUGUUAGAGAUUUAGGCAUACUAGCACUAAUAAGACAGCGUGUUGGUUUUGUAAUCUGAAAAUUAUGCUUAUAAUUUAAAAUUUGAGUAAUAAUUUUGAGAUUUCAAGUUGCAAAUACCAUACAAUCAUCUACUAGAUGUAUCUAAUUUAUUAAAUAUAAAUAAUAUCUAGAUGACAAUGUGAAGGGUGAUGGGGGCCCUAAUUAAUUUUCAAGAUUAGAAGGAUUUAAUCCCAAUAUUAACUAGUGAUAAUUAAUGGCUAAUUUAUAAUAUAGAAAACAAGCAUUAUAUGUAAAUUCAUUUGAUUGAAGAAUCUUCUGCUUCUUUAUUAAAUAUCCAUUCAAAUUCUUAAUAUUUUUCAAAUCAUAUUGUUUCAGGAUGGCCUGACCGAUCAUGCCAAAUAUUAAAAUCAAAUUGAACUUCCAAUUCAAUAAGACGAUAUAAUUCAGUUAUACUAAUUAAAACUGACUUUUAAAAUUUAUGAAGUCUCUUUCAUAUUUAGUCAGGAACAAAAUAAUGACAUAAAAUUUGUCUGAUCUAUAUCACUUAAUAUUGACUCUUCUGGAGAUUUCAUAAAAUUCUCAUAAAAUAUCAAAUCAAAUAUUCGGUUUAACAUUCUUCAAGAAUGAUCACAAUUGAUUUGUGUUAUUUUGUCUUCUUGAAAAAUAAUAAAAAAAUAAUUUUUUUAGAAUAUUGAUUUGUAUAAAUUGAUUCAAAUGAUUGAGCAAUAUCUUUCUAGAAUAUUUAAAUAUUAUAAAUAUGUUUCGUUUUAGAGCGAUAAUUGAAUAUUUUUACGGUAUCUUAAUUAAUAUAAAAAUAUGUUUCAUUUGGAGCAAUAUGUCAAUAUUCUUGUGAAAUAUUGAAAUUGUAAUGUCAUGCUCUUCUGGUGCAGUUAAUAUUCUACAAUAUAUUUGUUAUUUCAAGAGUAUUUUAUAUUUGAAUAUUCAUUCUUAAAGUGCAAUUUUUUAAUAUAUUGAAAUCGUAAUGUUAUGCUUUUCAAGAGCAAUAACAUAUUAUUAUUUAAAAUAAUAAAUUGUUCAAAAAUAAAAUCUUUAUUUAUGUAAAAUUGUAUUUGAUUAUACUCUUCGAGAAAAAAUAAUAGACGACAUAAGAGUUCUAAAAUCAUAAACUAUAUUACCUAUUAAUGAAGAUAAAAACGUGAUGAAUAAUCAAAUGAUAAAUAAGAAAAAAGGCAUGUUGACUAAUGAAUUCGUAUAAUGGACAGGUAAAGAAUAGUCAUAAUAACUGUAUAGAUGAUGCACAUGACAUUGCUUACAUACAAAGAUGUGCAUCGUUAUUUAGCACACUAUUAAAAGUUGGUAAUUCAUUCAAGCAUACACAUGUAAAUAUAUGGGUAGUCAUACUGACGUUCAUCAGUAAAAGCAAAAAGUAAUCGUUACCCAUACAAUAAAAAAAUUGUAUACUAACACGCAUACAAGCUUUAUGCAUGAAUGGACCAAAUUCAUAUGGAAGGCAGUGUAAAGUAAUCAUUAUGAAUAAUCAUUCUCCUUGAGUGUAGCUAUAGAUGAUAUAUUUACAUAACAUGUCAAAAAUAGGUGCAUUUACAGAUUAACGGAAUUGAGUGCACUAAUGAUGAUUAUAUCUUCAUGUCAUCAAAUUAAUUUCGAUACACGUGACAUGUGAUUAUAUUUAUAAAAAAUUAUUACCUUUGAUUGCGGAAGUUGCUCCAAGAUCAUUGAAUCAGUGAUUUUCUGGCUUAGUUUUACAUUUCUUUACUAAACAACCAAUCCAAACAGAUCCAACCCAUAACUAAUAUAUUCACCUUGAUUGUUUCUCAAUCCCAUCCACAAAGGAUGAGAUAUUGGUGCUGAUUUGUAACUACAAAGGCAAGAAGAAAACAAUGAAAGAAGGUACAAAUAGGAGAUUCAAAAUCAAAGAGGCAGCCACACGUUUAAGCACAGAGAAUGGAGAUUCUCUAAUAUUGAUUAGGCACAUUUUCUUUCUUGUUUUACACCAAUCACAACACGUUUACAAUGCAAAGGAAGGCUAUACAUAGUUUAGGCUAUGUAACCAAUUGGGCCAAAACAUAUGGGAAAUGGGCUAAGAUCAUAGAGUCAUCUAAUAGGUAAAUAUAUGGAUUGUGAGUAGCAUUAAUUCCUUAAGCAAUGUCCAACAAGGCAGCCACACGUUUAAGCAAUGAAAGAAGGUACAAAUAGGAGAUUCAAAAUCAAAGAGGCAGCCACACGUUUAAGCACAAAGAAUGGAGAUUCUCUAAUAUUGAUUAGGCACAUUUUCUUUCUUGUUUUACACAAAUCACAGCACGUUUACAAUGCAAAGGAAGGCUAUACAUAGUUUUGGCUAUGUAACCAAUUGGGCCAAAACAUAUGCGAAAUGGGCUAAGAUCAUAGAGCCAUCUAAUAGGUAAAUAUAUGGACUGUGAGUAGCAUUAAUUCCUUAAGCAAUGAAAAACAAUCCAUGUUAUUUUUUGGUUGAACCUUAGGCUUGGUUGUUGGUAAUUAAUUCACAAUCAAUUGAGGCUUGUGAAAAUAUAUUCCGAAAUUUUGAAUCAUCGCCAGAGAUUUAAUGGGUAUCAAAUCUUCACCUUGAUAUCCAAUCAACUAAUAAGCAGUUAAAAUACAAAGUUAAUACUUGCACAAUCAAGGUAACAAAUAAAUUUGAAAUCAUAGACCUUACCUCAUAUUUCACAUCUGAAGUACAUAUUAUACUCGCUCCAUGUACUCACCAGAGUUAAGGUUAAAAACACCAAAGUAGGAACAAGUAAUCACAUUAAUCAGUUAAGAGCAUAUUAUAAUGCGAUGAAGAUAUAACAUAGAAUAAUACAGAUCUUUCCAUAACACGUUCAAAUAGAUCAAUAGACUAACACCAAGUAAAUCAAUCAAAAUGGUCAACAUAUAUGCAACAAAUGCAUAAAUGUACGCACGAAAAAAUCUUACUACACUUAUCCUAUACCAUUCUGUGUUACUCAUACCUCGAGAACAAAUAUCUCCUCUAAUUGUCCACACACUUACUAUACUGGUCACUAACUCAUGUCUAACUAGUAAACCACAAUAGAUCAUAAGUCUCGAGAUAAUUAUCUAUCACUAUCUUACUUCUCUCAACCUGAGUUGAAAAUUGGUCUCUGCUUUCAGAAAAUAAAAGAAGUGUCACUCUCACACUCCACCUUAUCAGGAUCUUUUACAAAUAAAGGAUUCCGGACAUUUAAUAAUAUCACUUGUGAUUCAAAUGUUAUACUCCACAUCCUCUGGUGCAUAUCACUAAUCUACCUUCAGACAUAUCAAUAGACACACAACACACUUAUUGUUAACGCAUCCCAACCCACUAUACAUGCAAAUACAUUAUCAUAAGUAAUUACAUUGCUCUCAAAUUCACGAAAAUACACAUAUCAAACAUAUUGAAAUGCAAUAUAUAACCAUGAAAUAGAAUUAAGCAAUCAUAUGCAAAAGGGAUUACACAUAGAUGCACAUGCAGUAAUUAUGUUUACUCACAAUAAACUUCACUACGUUUAUCACUCUACCCAAAAGCUACAUUCACCUUAUUUCUAACCUUAUUCUUCUAUUUAUUGUUCUUCUUAGAAUAGUCCCUAAUAAGGUGUCCAAUCUUAUCACAAUUGUAACACCAUUACCACUGGACUUGUCCAAACCGUUACAUUUUUUCUUACUACAUUCAUCACUCGAGUCAUUACUCAAAUCACUAUUGUUUUGAGUUUUACCUCAAACUCAUUUGCUUAAAUUUCGUCCUUCUCUUCAUCAUAUUUACCUUACCAUCCCUCUUACCAUCUUUUUUACUUUAAUUUCUAUCUCCUUACUCUUAAGGGAGUUUAUGGCAAUAUCAGAUGUUAGGAUGUCUCUAUCAUACUUAAUUGCAUUCUUAACCUUCCUAUAUGAAUCAGCCAUAGAAUUAAGCAAAAUAAUAGUUCAAGAUUGUUAAAAAUAACUAAAUUGUCAUCAAGAUCUUUUAAAUGAUUCAUUUUAAAAUUGAAAAAUAUUUCGAGCAAAUUCAACUUAUUAGGAGUAUACUUAAACAAAAUAUAAGUCUUCCAACUUUUGUCAAAGUUCUUUUGUGGAAUCAAGUUUUUCAAUUUUUUUCAAAACAUCAAAUAUAUGUAAAAUAAUUGAAGUGUAAGCAAGUUAAUUACAUUCUUCUUUCUUUGUUGAUGUUAAAUUAGCAGAAACCAUCUAUGACUUCUUAAAUUUUUUGUUAAACCCAAAUUCCCUUUAUCUUUUAUUAUCAAAUUGAAAAAAUCUCACUUUGAAAUGUGAAGACAGUUUGAAAAAUAGAAUAACCAAAAAUGCGCAACUAUCACACAAAGUAAUCCUAAGGCCAUAGUAUUCAUCGUUUUAAAUUUUUUGGGUUUGGUGAGAUUCGAGAUCUCAGUAUCAAGAAAAUGGUCAAAUGGGGUCGAGUCCAACUGUUAUAACAGAAUAAUCAAUGCAACAUGAAGAUAUAUAAACAAAAAAUCAGUUUUUCACACAAUGCAAUCUCAUGAAAGUGACUUAAUGGCAAUUAAACACAGAAACAAUUAUAAACUUGCAAUUAUAUUCAGUAUUUCAGAUAGAGCAAAUAAUUCUUAAAUUCUAGCAUAAGUAAUGGUCCCCCGACAUGGUAACCCCAAUACUAAUAUCAACCCACGUGAUUGCUAAUGUUGGAAUUUAAACGGGAUAAGCUAAUAUAUCAAAGAUGACCAAUCUAAAGUUUGUAAAUAAUGAGAUAUGCGAACUUACCACUUUAGGUUCACCACUAUUUGUCCUAAAACCUCCAAUAACUGCAGCAACCAAUCAAGAAAAAGUGAAUUACAAACGUACAAGGGCGAAACUAUCAAGAACUACAUUUUUAACCAAAAAAAAUUCAAACACUACCACAAGGUCCACCAUGCUUCUAGGAGCAAUCUAUUUUCAGACAUCGUCACCGAAAACCACCCAUGCUCUCAUAUGUAUGUUGUUGGAUCUACCACACGUUGCCAAAACCACCUCAUGUACACUUGGCUGUGCCGUGCCUCCACCUGCACAACACAAGAUAUUGGUGUUGAUUUAUAGUCACAAAAGGCAAGAAGAAAACAAUGAAAGACCACACAAAGAGGAGACCAAAAUCAAAGAGGCAGCCACAUGUUUAAGUACAAAGAAGGUAGCCUAUUUUCUCCAAUGUUUGAGCAGCCGUGUUUUCUUUCUUGUUUUACACAAAUCACACACGCAUUUCUAAUGUAAAGGAAGGCUAUAUUGUUAGGUUAUGUGACCAAUUAGGCCAAAACAUAUGGGAAGUGGGCCAAGAUCAUAAAGCUAUCCAAUAGGUAAAUAUAUGGAUCGUGAGCAGCAUUAAUUUCUAGAGAUACUUCUAUAAGUUCACAUUGUUUUCAGGGUCAGCCUUUUAGACUUGUCCAGUUCAAUAUCCUGACGGUUUACAUCAUCGCCCGAGAUUUAACUGGUAUCAAAACCCAACACUUUUACUAGACUUUGAAAAAUUAUGCUUUCGUAUUGAUAAUAUUUUAUAAAAAUAGAGAAAAAUAGAAGAAAGAAUAAAAGUCAAUAGACUAACGUGUUUUAUUAAUAACCAAAACCCAAUAUUUAUACGAAAGAAUUAUGGAUACAAUGAUAAUAAAAGCAAGAGUUGUAUGGAUAUAAUCAUCAUUCACUAAUAAAUAUGUUAUUUACAACAUUUAGAAAUAUUUUAAUCCUUGUUUUUGAGCUAGCAUUCCCAAUUAUUAUGUUGGAAGUUACAAUUAGGUUCAUUUUAAAGGCUUGUUGAGGUUUGUGCUCAGUGAUAAUUGUUCAGUAAUCAAUUGGUGCACGCAUAAAUUUAGUGCACUGAAAUUCAAGUUGAUUCUACUAUAAUUCACACAAAGGUUCCCCUCUAUAUUCAAGGCUAUCGUGUUAAUUUCCAAGCCCUAACCAUAUUUCUAGCCAAGUUUUUGUAAUCUACAUGCUCCAUUGCUUAGGGGAGCCUCGAUAGCUGAGACAUAUUGCGCUUACCUAAAGCAUCGACGAUCGAAAUGCAAAUGCACAUAGACACGUGAACAUACAAUGUGAUUCUUUUGUAGAUAAAGUUGACUACACGUUGACCUUAAUUAUUUUAGUCCACAAUAGAUUCUUCAUUAAUCACGCUAAACAUGCAUUAGUAUCGUCUUUAGUAAAGUUUUUUCCCUAGGUUUUUAGUUGAUCAAAUUUUAUUUUCAACCACACAUUCCAAUAGAUCUACAAAAAAUAUUAAUUUUUUAACAACAUAUUUUAAAGGAUACACCAGCUUAAAAUCUCCAAAGUUCUAUCAAGCACACAAUCAUUGGCUAAACAAGAAUUUUGAGUUUGGAAGGAAGGGAAAAAAAAAGAAAAAUAGUUGAUUCAAUUAUAUGAAAAGACAAACUAUAUAAAUAAUAAUUAAGGUUGGGGAUUGAAACCCUGAUGUUAAAAGUCAAGAAUGCAUUUGCUAUAUAUAUUAGAGGUUAAUAUUAAUGCUAUAGUUUUUCCACAAAAAAGGGAGGAAAAUUAAUAGUGUAGGAGUAUUGGGACCCAUAACUUAUAAUUUUUUUUAAAAAAGAAAAUAAUAAAAUACUUAACGAAACAUUCAUUUAGCCCCUGUUUGACGACCAUUAAUACAAACCCCCCCCCCCCCCCCCCACCUUUUUUUUUCUUUUCAAAGUCAUUUUCAAUUAUACAUUCAAAUGCAAGCCCAGUUAGCACAAUCGCUAUCGAAUCCAUAGGAUAUUGACACCGGAUCCUAAGAAUGCCCAAAUACAAUCAAGGUUUAGGAUUUAACUUCUAAACGAUGGACCAAGCAACCAAAGGUAAAUGAAACCCACGACCUCUUGAUCACAAAGCCUUGAAAUCUCACUAGGAUUGUGAAUUUGAACCAAUAAAAUAUAAACCAAAAAAUCCAACAAAAAUAAUACUUGAAAGACCUCUUGAUUACAUAAUUCAAAGAUUCAACCUGAGUUUUGAACGUCACAAGAAAUAAAUUCUUGAUAAGUUCAGUAUUAUUGUUCCAUCAAGAAACAAAAUCGAAGCAAAGCUUCGAAGAGAAUUUUUAUUGAUUCGUGAAUAAAGACUUGUAAUUGUUACAAUGAAAAUAAUCUCCUAUUUAUACUAAAAUCGUAGAAUAAUGAAAUAAAAAAAAACAUAAUUAAGAAUUCUAGAAAAUAUAAAGUUACAAAAAACAAGUAUUUCCAUCAAAAUAGAACUCUCUAGCAAAAGGAAAGAUUUUCACCCUAGAAUAUAUCUAUGCGGUCGCAUAGUAGAAAUCAAUGCAGUCACAUGGAACAAACAUCCGGCUUCAAUCUUUGUUCUACCCUAUAAUAUGUGGUCAUAUGGCUUUUUGAACUAUGCGGUCGCAUAGUUCAAAAUUUGACACCUUCUCCUUGUUGUGCAUAAUUUUGUGGCGAUUUCGAAUUGUACUCAUGGGCAAAAAUUCGACACAUGAGCUGAAAGUUAUGCCCAUUUUAAUCCACACUGCUCCUUUUUCCAUAUAUCAUCCAAAACUUUGAAAACAAUGGACCGAACAUGAUUUCGCCUUUAUCACUAACAUGUAACUCGACCUUAAGCUUGCAAACAUCAUUCUUUGUUGCCCAGUAACCUCGACGCUUGAUUGCAUGAUUUUAUUGGAUGUUAUCAAACCCGACUUUGCACUCAGUCUCUUGCUGCUAAUCAUGGAACUUGUUACAUUGCACGUUAAUUCCCACAUGUUGAAUUCCAAGGCUUGAUCAUGAGAUUUGCCAUCUUUAUCAACCCUUUUUAGCCUCCAAAUGAGCUUGAAUCUUGGUACUAACAGGCCUCCAACAAUCGCCAAAUAAUUGAAAAUUUGGAGCUAGCUCGGAUCAUAUCACAUUCUCAUAAUAAAAUAUUUUGUAUGUAAACUUAAAUUUUUUCUUACUUUUUAAUCAUACGUUCUCAAAAAAUUAUAGUUAUAUUCACACCAUAUUUUUUUCUAAAUACACCACAUUUUUAUUAUAUUCAAAAUCUUUAACAUUUAUUCACUAUCACACUUAUAUCAUUAACUUUUUUCUUCAUUACAUUCUUACUUUUAAUAAUUAUUGACCAAAAUAUCUUGUCCUUAAUCAUGAUUUUCGUCCAAAGAUGUUGUUAACUUGUUUUGAAAUAGGGGCAAAUAUUUAAUAGCAUUUUGCAUUAUUAUUUGUUUGCUCAUUUAAAAAACAAUGGACAAAAAAUGUCUUCUUAAUUCGUGUUAAAAUAAAACUUAAAAAAAAAAACUAUAAUCAUGAACAAUUUAUGUUAAUUUGAGAACAAUAAAAUGGUGUGAAUAUAUUUAGCCUAACUAUUUCAAAACUCAUUUUUUUUUCAAAAUAAUAAUAAUAAUAAUUUUAGUGAAUGUCAAAUAGAAGCUUAAAGAGUCGGUCAUUAAAAUUAUAUUCCAAUAGACUCUUUAAAUUAAGCUCCAAUGGACUCUUUAAUUUAAUAUUUUAAUUUAAAAGUGAGUUUGACUCUCUAAAUUUGAAGAGUCAAAUCCAUUCUCUAUAAUUAACCCCCCGUUUGGCCCUCAUUUUUUAAAUUAAAAUGAGUGAAAUUGUAUUUUUUUGGAGGAACGAGUAGUUGAAAAAGAAGAAAAAAUUUCGAUUUACGUGUAAUAUUAUUUUAUGGAAGAUUGUGUGAUUAAAAAUAGGAGAGAGAAAAAUGAAAUUUAAUUUAAUAGAGGGAUCAAACGGGGCUCAAAUACAUUCAAAUUAUUUCAAUUUUCAAUGCAAGAAAAUAAUGUAAUGAUUUGAAAAGAAGUUGCUGAAAAUAAAAGAUAUGAACAAUGAUAAAAAAUUUUGGAUUAUUAAAAUUAAAUGUUAAAUAUAAAGAGUAUGUUGGAAUAUUUAAAAGUUUUCUCUCUCUAAAUUUAUAUAUACUCUCUAGAUUAUAGAAUAUACUUUUUAAAAAUAGAGUUUCUUGAAGAUGCUUAUAGCCCCUAUUUGAGCCCCAUUUUUUCAAUUAUUUUUUAUACAGUACUCAUUUUCAACAACACAUUUUUCAUUAAAAUAAUAUACACCCAAAUCAAAAAAAUUUCUUUUUUUUUUUAACUAUACAUUUUCCAUCAAUUUACUAUUUCAUAAUACAUUACAAUAAAUUAAUCGGUUCAUACAGGGCCUUAGAUUCUUGUGUGUUUGUCACUGUUUGUGUGUGGUAAUUAACUAAGCCAACAAAUGUGAAUAUUAUACUUAAGAUCUUGUUUGGUGUGAAUUAAAAUUAAACUUUUAGUAUAUUUUAAUAAAAGUUGAUGAAAUAUAUAGUAUAAAAAUUGUGAGUUCCAUAAAAUUGUUUGGUUAAAAUUUUAAUUUACACUAAACAGAGACUUACCAAUUUCUUCCUUUUUCUUUAAGAAGAGAAAAUAUGGACAGUCGGAAGCAUGUUCUCUUGGGGUCAGGAGUAUAAAUCAAGUGAGAACCUGGAAGCCAACAAGGGCAUAACCUGCGAUUUACCUCCUCGAGUCAUUGAGGGGCCAGUGGCUAGAGGUCCAGGAUUUAGUUUGGCGAAACUGGGAUACCUAGGUAUAUAAAAAAAAAAAAAAAAAAAUGGGAAGAAAAUUGUCAUUGAAAUACGGAAACAUGCAGGAAAGAAACUUUUAGGGAUAAGAGAAAAGCGGCAUCUUUCUUUAGUGAUUAUCAUAAUUUAUGUUAGUUAUUAACCUUUUGAAUGUAAAGGAAAAAUUUGCAAGUUGUGCUCUGCUUUAUCCACAAGUCAUAACUAUAUGAUUGCUAAAGUUUUUUCAACUUUAAAAAGUGGUGAAACAUUAUUUUUAUUUCCACAUAUUUUGUAGGACUUAUAAUUUAUAAUCUACAAAAAGCUUUUCCAAAUAUUCACUUAGAAAAGAUGUCGGACUAUCAUACAUUAUGUCUGGCAAAAUGUUUUAUUUUUUUCUUUUUCAAAGAUUAUAAACUAAUCAAGAAAAUUUUACUAUCCACAAUUUUUAUUAACUUGUAUCAUAGGAUCCACAACUUAAAAUUUGUGAAAAAAAAAAAAAAAUGCCGAACACACACUUAAUUGAGUGACAAUAAUGGAUAAAAAAUUCUUAAGAUGACUCAGUAUUCCCUACUAUUGUUGAAUUCACAUGUAUGUUAAAUAAAUAAUACACAUGUUAAUUAAUCAUUGACAUGAGCAUUAAGUUCUAUGCUCCCUCAGUACUAAGAAUUUUCUUAGAGCGGACAGAUAGGAAUACAACGUAAUUCACAGUGACAAUUUCUAUCACAUGAAACAUACUCGUGCGUUUGAAUAGAUUGAGGACCUAAAACCUUAUAUUUGAAGAUUGGAGAGUAAAAAUUAUGCUAAGUCAAAAGUUACGAAGCUAAAGCCUGAUUUCUCCCUUAAAUAUGUACACUGAUUUUUUUGCACGUGCAAUUCACGGACUAUGUUAUUUUUAAGGUAAUAUUAGUCCAUCGAAUGUCAAGGAUUGACAAGAGAUGUGUGCGCUGAAUGAGGUUAGCAAAAUUAACUUAAUUUGAAAAGAAAGAUUUCCCUAUGAUUUCACUCGUAUAAUACAGUUAUAAAGAUCCAAAGAGUACGAAGGAACAAAAAAAAACUUUGAAAGGUAUUCUGACAGAACUUAUCUAAUCCUCGAAAUGUCUUCGAGGUGCACAAAAGCAUUUGUUCUAUAGAAGAAUGUUUAUAAAAUUAGAUAUUGUAGUUUGUUCGAAUCAAGUACUGCUUUAGAUAAUAGUUAAAUAUAUUCAAGCUAACUUGUAAGUGCUUUUGCGUGAUCAUACUUGCAAGAGCAAGAUUUGUGAAUUUCUCUUAAGUUUGCAUUGGAUGUUUUCUUGCAAUUGCUGCAGGACAUGUACCAAAAUCUUUAAAGCAUCGAAAUAAUUUUUUAUUGGGCUUUGCACCCAAUAGAAUUCUUCCUGUACAAAAACAUGUGUGAGGAAUUAGAUGACAAAAAUAGUAAUUACAAAUAUUGAUGGGUGUUCCUACAUNNNNNNNNNNNNNNNNNNNNNNNNNNNNNNNNNNNNNNNNNNNNNNNNNNNNNNNNNNNNNNNNNNNNNNNNNNNNNNNNNNNNNNNNNNNNNNNNNNNNNNNNNNNNNNNNNNNNNNNNNNNNNNNNNNNNNNNNNNNNNNNNNNNNNNNNNNNNNNNNNNNNNNNNNNNNNNNNNNNNNNNNNNNNNNNNNNNNNNNNNNNNNNNNNNNNNNNNNNNNNNNNNNNNNNNNNNNNNNNNNNNNNNNNNNNNNNNNNNNNNNNNNNNNNNNNNNNNNNNNNNNNNNNNNNNNNNNNNNNNNNNNNNNNNNNNNNNNNNNNNNNNNNNNNNNNNNNNNNNNNNNNNNNNNNNNNNNNNNNNNNNNNNNNNNNNNNNNNNNNNNNNNNNNNNNNNNNNNNNNNNNNNNNNNNNNNNNNNNNNNNNNNNNNNNNNNNNNNNNNNNNNNNNNNNNNNNNNNNNNNNNNNNNNNNNNNNNNNNNNNNNNNNNNNNNNNNNNNNNNNNNNNNNNNNNNNNNNNNNNNNNNNNNNNNNNNNNNNNNNNNNNNNNNNNNNNNNNNNNNNNNNNNNNNNNNNNNNNNNNNNNNNNNNNNNNNNNNNNNNNNNNNNNNNNNNNNNNNNNNNNNNNNNNNNNNNNNNNNNNNNNNNNNNNNNNNNNNNNNNNNNNNNNNNNNNNNNNNNNNNNNNNNNNNNNNNNNNNNNNNNNNNNNNNNNNNNNNNNNNNNNNNNNNNNNNNNNNNNNNNNNNNNNNNNNNNNNNNNNNNNNNNNNNNNNNNNNNNNNNNNNNNNNNNNNNNNNNNNNNNNNNNNNNNNNNNNNNNNNNNNNNNNNNNNNNNNNNNNNNNNNNNNNNNNNNNNNNNNNNNNNNNNNNNNNNNNNNNNNNNNNNNNNNNNNNNNNNNNNNNNNNNNNNNNNNNNNNNNNNNNNNNNNNNNNNNNNNNNNNNNNNNNNNNNNNNNNNNNNNNNNNNNNNNNNNNNNNNNNNNNNNNNNNNNNNNNNNNNNNNNNNNNNNNNNNNNNNNNNNNNNNNNNNNNNNNNNNNNNNNNNNNNNNNNNNNNNNNNNNNNNNNNNNNNNNNNNNNNNNNNNNNNNNNNNNNNNNNNNNNNNNNNNNNNNNNNNNNNNNNNNNNNNNNNNNNNNNNNNNNNNNNNNNNNNNNNNNNNNNNNNNNNNNNNNNNNNNNNNNNNNNNNNNNNNNNNNNNNNNNNNNNNNNNNNNNNNNNNNNNNNNNNNNNNNNNNNNNNNNNNNNNNNNNNNNNNNNNNNNNNNNNNNNNNNNNNNNNNNNNNNNNNNNNNNNNNNNNNNNNNNNNNNNNNNNNNNNNNNNNNNNNNNNNNNNNNNNNNNNNNNNNNNNNNNNNNNNNNNNNNNNNNNNNNNNNNNNNNNNNNNNNNNNNNNNNNNNNNNNNNNNNNNNNNNNNNNNNNNNNNNNNNNNNNNNNNNNNNNNNNNNNNNNNNNNNNNNNNNNNNNNNNNNNNNNNNNNNNNNNNNNNNNNNNNNNNNNNNNNNNNNNNNNNNNNNNNNNNNNNNNNNNNNNNNNNNNNNNNNNNNNNNNNNNNNNNNNNNNNNNNNNNNNNNNNNNNNNNNNNNNNNNNNNNNNNNNNNNNNNNNNNNNNNNNNNNNNNNNNNNNNNNNNNNNNNNNNNNNNNNNNNNNNNNNNNNNNNNNNNNNNNNNNNNNNNNNNNNNNNNNNNNNNNNNNNNNNNNNNNNNNNNNNNNNNNNNNNNNNNNNNNNNNNNNNNNNNNNNNNNNNNNNNNNNNNNNNNNNNNNNNNNNNNNNNNNNNNNNNNNNNNNNNNNNNNNNNNNNNNNNNNNNNNNNNNNNNNNNNNNNNNNNNNNNNNNNNNNNNNNNNNNNNNNNNNNNNNNNNNNNNNNNNNNNNNNNNNNNNNNNNNNNNNNNNNNNNNNNNNNNNNNNNNNNNNNNNNNNNNNNNNNNNNNNNNNNNNNNNNNNNNNNNNNNNNNNNNNNNNNNNNNNNNNNNNNNNNNNNNNNNNNNNNNNNNNNNNNNNNNNNNNNNNNNNNNNNNNNNNNNNNNNNNNNNNNNNNNNNNNNNNNNNNNNNNNNNNNNNNNNNNNNNNNNNNNNNNNNNNNNNNNNNNNNNNNNNNNNNNNNNNNNNNNNNNNNNNNNNNNNNNNNNNNNNNNNNNNNNNNNNNNNNNNNNNNNNNNNNNNNNNNNNNNNNNNNNNNNNNNNNNNNNNNNNNNNNNNNNNNNNNNNNNNNNNNNNNNNNNNNNNNNNNNNNNNNNNNNNNNNNNNNNNNNNNNNNNNNNNNNNNNNNNNNNNNNNNNNNNNNNNNNNNNNNNNNNNNNNNNNNNNNNNNNNNNNNNNNNNNNNNNNNNNNNNNNNNNNNNNNNNNNNNNNNNNNNNNNNNNNNNNNNNNNNNNNNNNNNNNNNNNNNNNNNNNNNNNNNNNNNNNNNNNNNNNNNNNNNNNNNNNNNNNNNNNNNNNNNNNNNNNNNNNNNNNNNNNNNNNNNNNNNNNNNNNNNNNNNNNNNNNNNNNNNNNNNNNNNNNNNNNNNNNNNNNNNNNNNNNNNNNNNNNNNNNNNNNNNNNNNNNNNNNNNNNNNNNNNNNNNNNNNNNNNNNNNNNNNNNNNNNNNNNNNUAAAAUAUUCAAUUUCCGCUGCAGCUGAGAAAAAAGUACCAGAAGACAUAAAAGCAUAAUUCAUAGAAGAAAUCUGAAUCCUAUCUCUCAAUGUGUCGGGAUUUGAGAAAGUGCAAAAUCUGUACUAUUUAUCAAACUAAACAUGAGAAGAGCAGUUGGCCUAAGGACUUCAAAAAUGAUGAAAUGGCAAGAUAAAAGGGAUUGCUAAAAGUCCAGUUCGACGAAAAGCCAAUUAUAUCUUAACAACACAAAAGCCCUUUCAUUGGUUAGAUUUCGUUCACUCAUCACAAACCUUACCCAACAAUCAAUUUAAAAAAUCAGAAUAUAUAAGUUGGCAAAGAUGCACUUAUUAGUGAGUAAAAAGUUUAAAUUUUCGUUAACAAGAAAUGAUAAUGCAAUCUAAUGACGUAUUCCUAUAUAUAUGUUGGAUAUGAGUCGUGUUAGUUCCGUAAUGGAAAAAAACUGCGUAGUAUAUGCGUCUUGGAAUGGAAGAAUGGAAAAGAAUUAGAGUGUAGAGAGCUUGGAAGUGCCAUUAUCAGGAACAAAGGAGAGCUUUUGGAACAACAUCGAUGGUCGGAAGUAUGAAUUCAAUCCGUGUGAUUUUUCGAUCCAAUUUGUUUCCGCAUAAUUGUUUGGAUCGAUUUUUGUCUAAGAUUUGGUAUCAGAGCAAAAUCUAACAUCUGCCUUGAUGUUUAUGGAGCAAUAUGCAAAACUCUAGCUUUUUGACCGAAUUUUGUUUUUGAAAAUAAAUUCGAAUUUUUUCAUGAAAUCACUUUUCUAGACUCUGUGUGUUUUCGAACUUGAGUUUUAAUGGAGGAAGGUUGAAUUUGAGGUGGGUUCUGACUGGAUUUAUUGCAACCUAUCUAGAGGUUGAAGAGGACUUCUGUUUUCAAAAUAGAGUUCUGUUGGUUCUUCAUACGUAAUUCCCUGACCAUCAGUUAUUGGUUUUGAGCCCAUUUAAAAAAAAAAACAAAAAAACACAACCAUUUUAUUGGGCCGUAUUUGUAAGGGGGUUUGAAAAUGUUUAAAUGGGCCGUUCCCUUUUGAUCAAUUGUUGGGCUGACUUGAUUUUCAUAUCCAAUUGUUUAUUGAGGAAAUUACAGCCACUGAGGUAUUUUAUGUUCAUAUUUCAUUAUUAAGUAAUUAGGUUCCUUAAUUCAGAAAUCAGAUCGUAAUUAAUUAUUUAUCAACAUUUUAAUAUAUUUAUUAUCUCUAACUGUUCCCACUUUUUAUGUUAAUAGUAGAGAGAACAUUUUUAAAUAAGGGAAAGAAAUCUUUCUAAACUGCUCAACCGCACUCCACAUCCCUCAAUGAUCAACCGUGAUAUAAGAUAUUUACCCUAAAUCUUAAACCGUCUUCAUCUAUCCUUCCGUAUUUGUGACCCAAAGUCGAACAAAGCACUGCAAGGCUUUGGCAAUGGCGAAAACCCGAAGUUGUGACUGGAAAUCACAAAAAAAAAAAAAAAAGAUCGUCCCUCUGCAAGCCAUUAACGGACGCUAGAAGUCCACAAGUCGGUAAACGUGUCCACAAUGAAACCUCGACAGGGUCUCGAAGACGAAAAUCGAACAAUGUAAGUGUUCUCUGUAGUCUAUUGAGUUAAAUGAGCAUAUGGGUAAAUGAUUUUUGAACUCCCUAAGUGACUGUGAACGGAGUAUUGCGGUAUUGAUCCGGAAUUUUCAUUUUAUGACGUGGUUUAUUGGUAAUCCUUGUGUGACUAUUUUUCAAUUUCAAAUGUGACUCAACGGUUUCAAGUGACUUGUGGGUUUGUGACCAUUUUUUGAGUUUGCUAAAUGGUUGUGACUUGUGGGUAUGUGACCAUUUUUUGUCCUAUGCAGAUUUGUGACUAUGGAAAUUUGUAAUCCUUGUGUAACCAUUUUUCAAUUUCAAAUGUGACUCAACAGUUUCAAGUGACUUGUAGGUUUGUGACCAUUUUUUGAACUCGCUAAAUGGUUGUGACCUGUGGGUUUGUGACCAUUUUUGUCCAAUGCAGAUUUGUGACUAUGUAAAUUGGCCCAUGUUAUUCGAUAUGGUUGUUAUAAAUGUUUUGAGUGAUUUUUGAAAUCAUACUGGUAACACGUGUUACAAUUUUUCAAAUACACUUGUGACUAGUUGUGAUCUAUGUGAUUAUAUGUUUUUAUGUCUGGAUUUGCAUGUGUGCAUGAUAAAGGUUUUUGACAUCUGUUUCCAAUUUUUGUAAUGUCUUGCAGGGAUGGAAUUACAUAAUCCCCCAAGACCUAUGGUUUCCUGGCAAAAUUACAACCAAUGUGACCAGGAAUGUGUUGAGCAACUUUAAAUCAAAGUUCACAUAUGAACAAAAGCUUAUUUUGGCAGACACUUGUUUUUCCUUUUACAUGGAUUGCCAGGAAAUUGUGAUGCAGCCUCAACUGAUACACUACUUUUUGUUGAGGGAGGUGAAGCAACCGAAUCCCAAUGAGAUGUGGUUUAAGGUUGCAAACAAAUAUGUUCAAUUUUCGUUGUCUGAGUUCUGUGUAGUCAUUAGUAUGAGAUGUAAUGGUAAGGACGUCAGGAAAAGCUUGAGCAUAUUCCUUCCAGGAUUAAGGGAACGUAUUUUGGAAAUUUGAAACUAGUCACAAACGAAGAUGUGCGCGAUGUAUUCUUGAACUUGUUAGAUGCAGGCGAUCAUGAUGUUGUAAGUAUCGGGAUUUUAUACUUGAUAACGUCUUUCUUGUUCUCCACGUCGUAUAAGAAAGUGGUUGAAAACUACCUAUUUGCCUUAGUAGAAGACUUUGCUGCGAUGGAACGAUUUCCUUGGGGUAAGGAGUUGUUUGAGAUAUCUAUAAAAUCUCUAAAAGAGGGUUUGGGUCAAAGGAAUCCCCACUACAGGCUGAAAGGAUUUUUGAUUGCAUUUCAAGUCUGGAUUUAUGAAUAAAUUCCAAGUCUUGCUGGACCUGUGACCAAUAUGGUGGGGAAUAGGCACCCCCGCAUUGUGAACUAGGCGUCGAACAAACAGCCGUCUGCAGUUAAAUUAGAUGAAGAGGUCUUCUCCAAGCCUGACAUAAGUGUGAAACUUUUGGCUCUUAGUUGUUGUUCAUUGCUAUUGCAAUUACAUAUUAAGGGUCACAACAGAUAAUAUAUAGUGUAAAGGUCACAGUUAUGUACACGUUAGCCACACAUGAUUUGGUCAUUGCAUGCUUCACAGAUCAUUGCUACAUUCACCGUGUGAUGUCAUCAAGUUUCCAUCGCACGACAAUGACACUGAACAUGCUUAUGUCACAAAACAUUGAUACUCAAUAUGUUCGUAGAUAACUGAUAUGAUUAUUAAUUAUAUCACUGUUGCAGAUCGAAGUUCGUUACGUUGUUCCGUCUGAUGAUAAAAUUGUAGCUCCAUAUAUGAAAGGUAUUUUGUACAAGAAACCUUUGCAACCACAUGUACGAGAGGACAUGCAAUUUGGAGAUACGGCCGACGUAGGCACGAGUGCCCAUGCCCAAUCUCCAAACAGACCACGGUUGUUAAUGAUUACAGAUGGAUGUAAAGGGCAUUCAAGUGAUGUUGAAGAUGAUGACGAUGAUGAUUUUGUUGAUACACCUCCGAAAAGGAAAAAGACACCUUCCCGUUUCCACCCACCUACUGAGGAGCAUGCAACGCGGGAAUAUUAUCCUACGGAGCCAGAGGGGCAUGAGAUCCAUACUUUACCCCAGCCGCAGGCUACUCAUGCAGAUAAUGAACCACAACAGUUGUAAGUUAUCUAGUCUUUUUAUUUAUGAAGUCACAAUUUCGGCUGUUAUGUCCCAAUCCCAGGUCACAUAACAACGUGUUAAAUUGUCAGAUCACGCAUAUUUCAACGAGCAGUAGACCUGUGUGUAUAGGUCACAUAUUUGCUGAAUAAUGUCAUGGACUAGUGCCUGGUCACAGUUUACUGAAAAAUAUGUUUUUAUCUUACAUUAUUGUUUCACAAAUCCCAAACAUAUAUCUUAUAUAUUUGAACUGGUCACAAAUCACAACAAUGUGACAUAACAAUUUUGAAAUUAUUUGCUUACAAGUGUUUGAAAAGUUGAAAGCGGAGUUACGUGGACAGAUGACUGAACUCCAGUGUACUAAUAAAGAGUUAACAGUGCAACUCAAGGACCUGAAGUUACAACUAUUAGACUUAAAAUGAGAUAGGAGCAGUCAGAUUGAUCACCUUAUCCGUGUCCAAGGUGAAAUUUAAUUGGACAUGACGGAAAUACGGUCGAGCAUGACAUUCUUGUCCGAUUUUGUUACCGCUUUAAUAUCGAGCACGAUGGAUGCAAUUGUAGCAAAAGCAACUGAGAAGAGUGAGGUCGCAGUGUUGGAGAUGCACCACAGCAGGAGAAGGUACGUAAUUCUAUAAUUGAAAUCCUUUUUUGUAGUGAUUACCUUAAGUUGUCUAUUAAUAGUGUUACAACAGGUUACAGACAUUCAACAACAUAUCGAUAGGAAAGGCAAGGGCAAGAUGGACCCGGUUGAUGAAAUUGAAUAUUCGUCCUUUCCUCCGACCCCGUCUUCGACUUGGGUGUUGCUUCAACACCAAUCAUUUCUAAUGAGGUUGAUGCUAUUAUAGUUGGUGUGGUGAAAGACUGUGAAAUUGAGGAGCAGGCUAAAGUAGCGACAAAGACCAUAAAUGAGGAUUGAGUACUUCAUACGGUCACAUAAUAUAUUGUCUGCACAAAUAUAUUUAUUCAAACAAUGCACUCAUUAUUUUCUGACAUGCAUGCAGGGGUCUCCUCCUUCCGCACCAACAUAGUUAAGAGAGCCCCCAAACCCACAUGGAUACUACAGUCCUCGUAUGUUACCGGUGCUGAAAAACAAAUUAAGCAUUCUGAUGAUGCUAUUGUUUUUGACAAGCAUGACAAGCAUGCGGAUGAGGCUGAUGUUGUUGCAUUUCAAAAUUGGUUUAACAGAGGUUAUAAACCACGAAACAAGUACGUACAUCUGAAGUCGUGUGCUCUUAUUUAUGAAGUUGGGUAAUCUGGGGUUUUAAUUUAUAUGUAGUUGUUAUUUUCUCAUUUCAACAAGAUGUUUAAUGAUGCUGAUGAUGUCAUUCGUCCACCUUUUGUACUUGGUUCAAUUCCUGUGGGGUCAAAAACCUGGUGGCACGGUAUGAUCCUUGAAAUUGGUCACAUAUUACAAGUCACAAUAUUAUGUACACCGGUCACACACUCACAGGUCACAAAUCAGUGAAAUGGGGUCAUAGAUCACACAUGCAGAGGUCACAGAUUCCUGAAAUUGGGUCACAGAUCACAUCAGUGUGCACAUGUCACUAAAGUUUGUGAAAUGUAUCACAGGUCACAAUAUUAUGCACACAGAUCACAAUAUUAUAUAUACAUGUCACAGUUGUUUUGAAAUGGGUCAUAGAUAAGAGGUUUCAAUAUUCACAGGUCUCCAGUCUUCUGUGUGAGGCACAUUAAACGUGUGCUACACUUUACAACAUUCAUAAGUCACUCUUUCCAUGCUUUUAAACUAUCUGUCACAUUUUACAGCGUAUGGACGUCUGUUUUCACUAUCUGCGACAGUUUGCCCUGAGAAGUCAAGAUGCAAGAUUGUGUGCUACCACAACUGACUGUCUGUUCCAGGCUAAUAUAAAAAAUAUUUUUCCCCAGUUUCAAAAAGAUCCAGAUGUGAUAUUGAUGGAUAAAUACAUUGUUGACGUUGCUAUUGGUAGAAAUUUAGAAUUCAAUCGCCCUUGGUCUGAAGUUGAUUAUGUGUUUUUACCAAUUUUGCCAAUCAAUCGUGUACAUUGGAUGCUCUGUAAACUUGAUAUAAAAAAUCAUAAGAUGUACAUAUACAACUUAAGCUACAAGACUUACCAUAAGAAAAUGGUUUUGCUCGGGGUUGACCCCUUUGUCAGAGUUAUCCCGAAAUUGUUGUUUGCUUUGGGCAUAUGGAAAAGAACCUCUACUGAUCCGGGCAAAGAUCCAAUUGUCUUAAGGGUAUUGCUCGUAGAUGAUACUCCGCAUCAACAAAAUGAAUACAACGUUGUGACUUAUUUUUCCUUUUUAUGAAUUGUUUUUUAUCUCCAAAUUUUCACUCAUACUACCAUUUCUCAUAUGUUACCUCUUGAAUUUGUUGUUCAAUCAUGAUUGUGGCAUCUUCGUCAUUAAGUAUGCAGAGUACAUGCUACGUGAUGACAUUAAGUCCAUGCCGAUAAAUUUUGAUGCGAGCCAAGUUAGGUUGGACGUUGCGACCCGAUUGUUUAAGCACAAGGAUAUCAAGAAGCCAACUUAGUUGGUUCAGUCGACGAGAGAGAGCAUUAUCAUAGAGUGACUGUAGACAUUUUGUGUAGUGGCUAGAAUACUUUUUGGUGGUUUAUGUUUCUGCAAUGGAUGGAGUUUAUUUUGUUUAUGUAACUUGAAAUGGCUUGUUGUUUUAAGUGUAUUAAUGAAAAUAAAACAGCUUGCCUAAGGUUAUGAGAAUUGUAUUUAUGACGGUCCCCGUAUGAUUGUUUGGCUUAUGUAUUGUUAUCGGUGUGGUGAAUGCUUUUGGUAAAAAGUGUUGAUUUGUUCACAGACUGUUAUGCUCACGGGUCACAGACAUAUUUGAAACGGGUCACAGAUCACAGGUCACAGAUGUUUGUGAAAUAGGUCACAUAUGUUUUUAAUACAGAUGUUUGUGAAACAUGUCACAUAUGUUUUUAAUACAGACAUAUUUGAAAAGGGUCACAGAUCACAGGUCAUAGAUGUUUGUGAAACAGGUUACAUAUGUUUUUAAUACAGGUCACAUAUAUAUGUGACAUAGGUCACAAACCAGAGUACCAUGUCUUUGUAAAUUGGUCAUAUAUGUUUGUGAAAUGGGUCACAUAUCACAUGUUACAGUAUUAUGUAUAUAGGUCAAUGAUUUUUUGAGAUUGGUCAUGUAUAUCAGUUAUAUGUUUUUGUACACAGGUUACAAAAUCAAGUACACAAGUCACAGUUAAUUUGAAUUGGGUCAUCACAGGUCACAGAUAUUUGUGAAACAGGUCACAGAUGUCUGUGUCAUAGGUCACAAACCUUUAUCAUGUUUUUGUACACAGUUCACAUAUGUUUGUGAAAUGUGUCACAUAUCACAUGUUACAGUAUUAUGUACACAGGUAAAAGUUAUUUUGAAUUGGGUCAUCACAGGUCACAGAUGUUUGUGAAACAGGUCACAAACAUUUUUUUAAACAGGUCACAGAUGUUUGUGAAAUGGGUCACAUAUUACAUGUUACAGUAUUAUGUACACACAUCAAAGAUUUGUUGAGGAUGGUCAUAUAUAUCAGGUCAAUGUAUCAAGUACACAAGUCACAAUUGAAAUGGGUCACAGAUCUCAGGUCACAUUAUUAUUUGCACAGGUCACACAUCACAUGCCAAGUGACUAUGUGUACAUGUCCAAGAAUUAUAUCACUAUGUGCACAUGUGCAUAGGUAAUUAGAUUACAGUCACAUUCUUCAAUCUUUAUUCCUUGGUCACAGGUUGUUGGCGACAAGUUGGAUCACAUGACUAUGCACAUAUCACAAGUCACAUGACUGUAUGUCACAGGUCCCGAAAUUUAAUAUAUCUGCACAGCUGCUGUCACAGGUCACAAGUCAUAUGUCUGCAUAGCUGCUGUUAAAAGUGACAUAUGCACACAUCUCGUGGAUAGAAGGAAAAAUGUACUAAUGUUAAUGUGAGAAAUUCAUUUGCAUUUUUUGUUUGUCACAGAUUAAUGAAAAUGUAAGCCUAAAUUGUGUACAUGUAAGGGCCUAACGAACCAAAGUUAUGAAUGCUAAAAUGUCGAUACCGUUAACAUUUCACAUGAUUUUAGAUUAUUUUUUCACUAAUGGAAGCAGGUUGUUGCAUGUCCUACGAUUGUGACCACUACCUUCACAACGUCCACAUUUCACCGUUUGUUUCCCCUCAAUGCACGAUCUUCUCCUCUUUUCAGCUGGUCUGCCUGAGCUCCUUUUCUUAUUAGGUACCAGGACAAUUACGUCUUCAACUUUCGGGGGGCACAAUCCACUCAUUUGGACUCUCCAUUAGGUAUACUGUGUAUUGGUAUGCAUUCAUGUACGCUUCACGGGUGUAGAAGUACGAACAAUAAUCGUACGGAUCCCGUUUAGUUGUUGCUAUUACAGCCAAUGCGUGUGGACAUAACAUCUGAUCAACUUGAAGCAAUCGACAUGUGCAAGUUCGUUUCUCUAUAUCAACGACAAAUGACGAUCUCUCAUCAGCAACCAAAAAUAUUGUUUGGUUUGCUGGAGAUACCUGCGAACAAAGAAAAUGAUAAUGUCAGGUCACACAUCGUACAUAUUGGAUAUUCCACCAAUUUACAUAUAUAUGUAUAUGAUUUAAUGUAACAAAUAUGUUCGUCACCCUCAUGUUCCUCAAAGAUGUGCUCAUUUCUCUCAUCAUUUUCUCGUACUUGGUGGACAACUUUGUGAAUGUGCCAUAUGCAGUGUCUCUGUUCUUACAAAACCAAGAUUGUAUUGUUUGUUGCAAUGAAUCCAACAACGCUAUAAUAGGAUAGUUCUUCGCUGCUUUUGUGAAUGUGUUGACGGAUUCCACUAUAUUAGAGGUCAUCGUGGAGUACCUAUUUACAGGCAUGUGGAGCCGUGACCACCUUUCUGGUCCAAUUUCAUCCUAAGAAGCCAAAACAUUAUUAGGUUGGAAGGCGUAUACCUUUCACGGACAGUAUGUACAUGUACGAAACUCAAACCUUGCCAGGUAACCUCUAAUCUUCUUGUUGAUUGUGUCUAACUGUUGCAUAUUGUACUCAAAAUCUAAUAAAGUGUAUGCACAAACAGCCAAAUUGAAUGGUUGCGUUAUAUUGUGACCUGAUUUACCAAAGUGUGAUUUCAAGUUUUGUAGCAAAUGGUACGUACAAAUUCCAUGGCUUGUACCCGGAUACACCCGUUCGACUACAUUCUUUAUACUGUUAUGCCUGUUUGAUACAAAACAAAGUCCUUCCCUAUUACUAUAAGCACCCCUAAGGUUUUCUAAAAACCAUAUCCAAGAUGCAUCAUUUUCGUUAUCCCCAACACCGAAUGCAAGCACAAAGAUGCUGUUAUUAGCAUCAUGUGUACAAGCUGUAAAUAGAGUGUCUCCUUAGUGCCCAUUUAGGUACGUGCCGUCCACAACUCUUACAGGCCUACAGUGGACCCAUUCUUCAAUAAAUGCACCAAGUGCUAUGAAACAGUACUUGAAUCUGUUGUGACCAUCGACUUCCAAGUUUGUCACUGUUCCAAGAUUUGUCUGUUCAAGCAUAUAAAAGUAGCUUGGUAGCUGCCGAAAUGACUCUAUUGGAUCCCCCCUGAUUAGUUUAAAAUUUCUUUCCCGUGACCUCCAAGUUUUAACAUAAUUCAUUGUGACUCCAUAUGUAUGCAACAUGUCGUUACAUAUAUCGUUCGGAGUGUAUACAGUAUGCGAUGAUGUAUAUUUAUACUUGAUGCAUGAGGACAUGUUGAGACUUACCUGUGAGCUCCUAGGACUAUGUUUGAAGCACAUGUGUGACCAUCGAUUAGCUUUCAAAUCUUGAAAAUCUCUGUUUUUCCCAACCUUGAAGACCUACAUAUCCAGCUGCAGUCAUCAUGUGAGCACUUGACUAGAUACUUCUUCUUAUCUAAUAUAACUAUCACGUAUUCAAACAUAUUUUGUAUGGCAAAGAAAGACAUGCUUAAUUUCAAAACAUCCUUAUUGCGAAACAGUCUGCCUUCUUCUAUACUCAUUGCAUCAGGAAUGGAAACAAUUGUGACCAAAUUUUCUUCCAUGCGAUGGGAUGUCUCUAUAACUGCAUCACAUAUGUCAGUUGUUAUAUUCUACAACGGAUACACCCUUGCACUAGAUUGCACAUAAAGUACAUUUGGAUUGUCCAACAUAGAACUGAGCGAUUCAUGCCCUAUUUCUAUAGAUGUCACCUCAAUGUUUAUGGGAUACUUUGACGGGUCACGCUCUACAGUUUUUAGAGUCACGUAUGUUCGAACAUUAUUAUCACUACUUAUUCUUACUGGAGGCAGAUCAACAUUUAGUGUGUAAGUCAUUGUGACAGCUACCUUAGUAGGAUCUAGACUGAACUCUGUUACUGCUGUUUCCACAAGCUUUAUAUAAGAACAAUUAUGAUCAACCAUCACCAGUACUGACUGUGACCUGUAUAACAAGCAAACGUGCACAUAUCCCAUUUUUGUAAAAUUCAAAAGGAAGACAGCAGGAUUUAGAUAAGAAAAUCAGUCACAUAUCAGUUUUAGGUAUUUGCUAUGGUCACAUUUAUAUAGUUCUUGGACUAACAGAAAGUAUGAUUUCAUAUACAACUCAAGGUCACAUACAAAAAAUUCUAUAUCAUACGUAGAACUCUACCACAUGCAGUCAAUCCCAAUCACCUAUGACGGUCACACAUUGAAAUUCAUGCUACAUAUUGAGACUGGUCACAUAUGUAACUGUCUAUAACGUAAUUAUUUGAUGUCCACAAUCAUAAUGUAGCUGAGUCACAUAGACUACUGUCUGUAAAUCGUAAUGCCCUAACAUGAAUUGGUUGAAUUCGAAGCCACAAGAUGAAUACAGAUGUUGUCAUAGGAUUUCAAAAUUGGAAUCACAUACCUGAUUGUAAUCCAGAUUACGGAAGAACGAUGAUUGCUUGAUUACGGAUCAAUUAAUUUCGAUUGCUAUUGAAUACGAUUCCGGUAAUGUGAAUGAUUUUCUUCCUACGAUUGCUCAAGUUCUUUUUCUGGGAUGUUACAUUGAUUUGUGAUCGAGAUUUCAGCAGAAAUUGUGACAGAUUACUUAUUUAAGGAGCCGUUUGUAAUCAUACCAUAUAUAUAUAUAUAUAUAUAUGAUUUAUGACCUGAUUUGUGUAUAUUUAAACCUUGAUUCUUAAAAAUGAAAUGGGGUACUUUAAAAGCCUGGGUUAUGUAUUGUUCCCUUGUUUAUUGGACCAUAAUCCAUAUUAUUUUCAUAAUGCAUGUUUUACUUAUGCAAUUAUAAAUUCGGUAUAGAGUUCAAACAUGCAGUUUUAUAUAUGGGCUAAUUAUGCAGUUUAAUUCUUAGGCAUUUAUUUUAAUUUUUCAUACUAUAUCAUUUUUGGAAUAAUAUAUGCAAUUUUGGGAUAUAUUAAAUUGUGAAUUAUGCUCAUAUUUAGUUUGCAUGAAUUAAUUAUGCUUAAAUUAUUUAAUGCAAUUUUGUAAUGUCUAUGAUAUUAUUUUGUGCAUAAUCAUAAGAUGUUAGUUUAAAUUCUGCUAUUAGAAUUAUUCUAAUAUUGAGUUAAUUGUUUAUGCAUGAAAGGAUAAUUUCUAAUAAUCCGUAUAAUUUUUUUUAUUUAAGGAUUAGGCACAGCAUCUUUAAUUAAAUAAAAUUAUAUAUUUUAAUUAAAGACAAAUUAGAUCGUAAUGAAUUUUAUCUCACAGGAAUAUUUAUAUAAUUAAUUAAAAUAAAAUAUCAAAUUAUUUCAUAAUUUACCCACCGGAAUUAUGAAUAAGUAUAUAAUUUGAUAGUUUUAUUAUAAAGUGUCUUUAGGAUAGAUUAUCAAAUUGUUUUCACAAUAAACUAAUUAUGAAUUAAGUACAUAAUUUAACAAUUUUAUCAUUUGAAAUUGAAUAUGAUUGAAUUAACAAUUUAGCCCACAGGCAAUUUUUUUGUCAUUAUCAAUGUCAAAACUGGGCCAACCUGACGAGUUCAACAAGUAAAAUCGGGAACCGGGCCAAAAUUGAGCCAAUCAUGCACGGUUAAUCAAUUAUGACUAAACCGCUUAUAAACCUAUCGAACCGGCCGGUUUAACCAUAAAUCGGUAAAUUGAUCACAGUUUUGUGGUCCCCCCCUUUUUUAUUUUUUUUAAUUUUAAGUUCAUGAAUGGGCCUCAUAAACUACAAUUCAAAGACCCAUAGAGAAAUAUUGGAUGACACGUUCCUUUUGUAGAAACACCCCUUUCAAAUGGUUUCAUGAACUCCAAUGUGAAAUAGUACAUUUUAUAGAUGCACUUCUCUCCAAUGGUUUCAUAAACUUUCAAUAUGGAAUAGUGACAUAACAAAAAAAAUGUUAAAAUAACCAUCAAAAUCAUUUUUCAAAUGUAUAUCUAAUUAACUAAUUUAUUUUGAAUCCCCACUAACUAAAUUGUAAUAUCCACCUUCAUCUUUUCAUUUAUUUAAUUGUCAAAUUUAACUUAAAUUGCACUUGAUUAUUAAUAUAUUAAUGUUAGAUAUCAUUUUCUAUAAGUUUAAAAUAUUUUAAUUUAACAAAGCAAACUCUUUUACAUAUUAAUUUUUAAUUUUUGUAACAUCGAGACUAAUUGUAGGAUGAUGAAUUUAAUUAACAAAUUAUUAAUAUGAAAUUUUUUUAAAAAAUUAUUGUUUUCAUAAUAUUUUAUUAUUUUUGUAUGUAUUUAUUGCACCCUGUUCAACUUUGAUUGAACCUUUUGACCCUUGACCUUUUUUGGAUCGAUGACUAGGUCGGUUAUCAAAAUAUUGGUUAUUAUAUUUAGUUUUAACAUGAUCUACAUUAGUAAAACAUGUAAUCUACUCAAUUAAGCCUCAAGUUAACAUAAGUAGUUUUAAUAUUAUAUAGCGUCACAACCUGCUAAUUUUUCUGAUAUUCGUUGUGAUAUUCCCGAAUCGUAGGGUGACAACUAUAAAGUAUGGAAGGAAAUAGUUCUUCUCUAUUUAGGGUAGAUUGAUAUUGAUUAUGCUAUUGGGAAAAGAUGAACCAACUAGAAUUACUGAUGCCAGUAUUGCAGCAGACAUUGCGCUUUAUGAAAAAUGGGAGCGAUCUAAUCGCCUUGGCAUAAUUUUCAUAAAGACUAAAAUUUUUGCUGAUUUACCUGGUUCCGUCGAUCAGCAUAACAAAGUCCAAGACUUGAUAAAGGCCAUUGAUGAUCAAUUCGUCACUUCAAUUAAGGCAUUAGUAAGUACCCUUAUAAUGAAGUUCUCAUCCUUAAAGCUCAUCAAUGUGAAAGGUGUGAUCGAGCACAUCAUGCAGAUGAGAGACAUUAUGGGCCAGCUUAAGAGACUUGAGUUUGAGAUGUCUGAAUUCUUCCUUGUGCACUACAUCUUGAAUAGUCUUCCACAAGAGUUUAGAUCUUUCAAGAUCUCGUACAACACACAUAAGGAUAAAUGGUCAAUUAAUGAAUUAAUGACUACAUGUGUUCAAGAAGUAGAUAGACUAAUAAUUGAAUAAGGUGAAAGUGUAAUGUUGACUACAACCCAUGGAAAGGGGAAGGCUGAUAUUAAGAAAGAGGCCAACUAUUACUUCAGUAAAAGGAAGGGACACAUGAAAAAAGAUUGCACCAAAUUCAAGAAAUAGCUUGAGGAUAAAGGUAAUCCAACCUCAUUUGUUUGUUAUGAAUCUAAUAUGGUUAAUGUAAAUAUUAACACGUGGUGGAUUGACUCUGAUCUAUAAUCUAUAUUGGAAACUCCUUGCCGGGUAUGCAAAACCUAAGGAAGCCAGUAAAGAGUGAGCAAAAUAUCUUAUCCCGAAACAAGAUGGACUUACUUAUGGAGGCUAUACGAACAUGCGUUUUAACCUUAAGUAGUGGCUUUGUUUUGAAAUUAGAUAGGACCUUUUAUGUUCCAAGUUUUUCAUGAAAUUGAUUUUUAUUUUUAGAGUUGUGCCCUUGGGAUAUUCCUUUAAUUUUUCAAACACGUCAUUUAGUUUAUUAUUGUAACGACCCAAAAUUUAAAGAUUUAAGAUAAUUACUAAAACCUUUAUUUCAUAAUUAAAUAAAUUAUGUCAAACAUUCUACAUGAAAAUCUUUCAGUUCCAUCUAUAAAAUAAAUAAAGUCUAUGGAAAACAUAAUUAAUUGAACCAUGUCCCAAAUAUUAAAUUUCAAAUUUAACAUGAAGAUAAAACUGAAAUAACGCAAAAAAACAAAAAUAAUAAAUAAAAUUUCCUAGUCAUGUUACUCUGAAUUUAUUUAUCUUGAAUUUCAUAAUUUUUGGCAUUACAACUCCACUGCAUCGCCUGCCAACCAACGACCCGUUCUAAUUUGUGAGGUGUAGGAAAAAGGAUGAGUACAUGGAAAUACUCAGUAGGAUAUAAAAAUUUAUGGUGCGAUCCCGUAUAAAAAUUUUAAAACAUGCAUCAAAAAGUCAUAUUGUCUCAUAUCUUUAAAUCCGGUAAGAGCUCAUAUCAUAUCAUAUUGUUGUACAGGAAUGACCAUAUCAUUCACAUCAUAACAUAUCAUAUCAUAACUUUAACUUUCAUUAGUAUAAAAUUCAUCAGCAUGAAAAAAUAUUUAAAUGGGACAUAAAAACACUGCACCUCGUAUCCUACCUUGUUAACUUGCUUUGAUUUUUGGAAGACAAAAUAAAAUUUACGUUCCAACAAAUCCCCCCCACCUUUUUUUUUCUUUCUAUCUCUUUGCAUAUGUAUAUAUUUUUAUGUAUCUUCUAUGGUGUGUAAUUAUAUUCAUAGGCAAAUACACAAGAGUUGGUACGGAGAGACGUGUGAAAGUGAAAAAAAGAGAGAGUUAUGGAUAAAAUAUUGGAAAUCAAAAUUUGACCACAUCUUGUCAACAAUUAAACCACUCAAAAACCAACGUGUGGCAGUACAUCUAAUUUUGCUUAACCACCCACGUGACUUCCUUUAUCUCCCUUUUUUUUUAAAUCUUUAUUUGAGUAAAAACAAAAUUUCAAUCAUAACCUAUCAAGAUUCUCCCUCCUUUCACGCCACUUGUGGAAGAAUUUAAAUUGAUUAAAUAAUUAAUUAAAAAUAUAAUUUAAAGUUAUAUCUUUCGAUCUCGAUAAUUUGGACUCCGCUAAUCCAAAUUAACAUUUUCUCGAGCUCAACAUGCAAGAUUAAUUAUGAUCUAUCCAACGAGCCCAAUAUUUAUAUAUUAAUUAUUGCUCCGCCAAUAUCCACAUUUUAAUCCAAGUAAAAUUGAAAUUUACUAUAUACUUUAGUCCCUAACCUUUCAAAACAUUAAAAUAUAGCAUACAAAAAAAUUAAAUUCUAUUCCACCAAAAUUUUCUUGACAUUACAAUCUCCCUUCCUUAAAAUAUUUUCGUCCUAAAAAAUUUACCUUGGCUAAUUGAACAGCUCUGGAUACUUGAUUUUAAGUUCCUCUUCUUUUUCCCAAGUUGACUCAUUCAGUCCAUGAUUUUGCCAUUGGACCUUGACUAGGAAAACUUCCCUAUUUCUGAGUUGAUGCACUUUCCUGUCCAAAAUCAUCGUUGGGAUUUCUUCAUAUGAUAGAUCUUUUUGUACCUCCAAGGCUUGGUAACUUACCACGUGAUUGGAAUCAUGGACAUAUUUUCUGAGCAUCGAGACAUGGAACACAUUAUGCACUGUUGCAAGUUCAGGUGGUAAGGCAAGUCGGUAAACCACAACACCAAUCCUUUCAAGGAUCUCAAAAGGUCCAAUGAACUGCGGUCUCAACUUCCCUUUCUUUCCAAAUCACAAUACACCCUUCAUUAGUGCUACCUUUAGAAAAAUCUUAUCGCCUACUUGAAAUUCUAAAUCCUUUUUUCUACUGUCAGCAUAACUUUUCUAACGAUCUUGUGCUGCCUUUAUUCUUGUUCUAAUUUUAUCAACUGCCUCAACUGUUCGUUCAAUAAUUUCAGGACGCAGGAUUCUGUUCUCCCCGACCUCGUCCCAAUGGAUAGGGAAUCUGCACUUUCUACCAUAAAGAGCUUCAUAUGGGACCGUACCUAUAGUGGCCUGGAAACUAUUGUUGUAAGCAAACUCCACUAAAGGUAGGUGUAUUUCCCAACUUCCUCCAAGAUCCAGAACACAUGCUCUUAACAUAUCUUCCAGAAUUUGAAUAGUUCUUUCUGAUUUUCCGUCCGUUUGAAGAUGAUGAGCAGUGCUAAACUUUACCUUCGUCCCCAUGGCUGUCUGCAAACUUUUCCAAAAUUUAGACGUGAACCUCGGGUCUCUAUCUGAAACAAUGGUGACUGGAACUCCAUGCAAUCUGACUAUCUCUUUGACGUAUAACUGUGCGAGUUGUUCCAUGUUGAAGUUUACUUUGAUGGGUAGAAAAUGGGCUGACUUUGUUAGACGAUCCACCACUACCUAGAUAGCAUUGUGAGUUUUUACUGACCUCGGGAGGCCUACCACAAAAUCCAUCGUUAUGUGUUCCCACUUCCAUUCUGGAAUAUCCAAUGGUUUCAAUAACCCUAAUGGCCUUUGAUGUUCUGCCUUAAACUGUUGACAGAUAAUACAUUUUUCACUGAAUAGACCAAUUCAUCUCUUCAUGUUUCUCCACCAAAAUGUAUCUCGGAGAUCUCGAUACAUUUUCGUACCACCUGGAUGUACCGAAUACAGGGUAGAGUGAGCAUCUUCCAAUAUCUCAUUUCUUAUACUUUUAUCUUUAGGUACAUACAAUCUUCCUUUAAAAGUCAAUACUUUAUAUGCAGAUACUUCAAAUCCUAUAGGCUUGUUUGUACCAAUCUCAGCUUUAAUCUUCUGCAAAAACGGGUCCUUAUCCUGUGCUUCUUUCAUUCGAUCCCGAAGAGUUGGUUGAAUCAUAAAUGCUCUUAUUCUUGCUGUAGUCCGAGGUGGCGGUGUGAUAACUUCCAAUUUAGUUUCUCAAAGUCCCUUAUCAAGAGUUCCUGAACCGUAGGUAAAACUGCUAACUGCGAUCCCGUCUUUCUGCUUAAGGCAUCUGCGACUACAUUAGCUUACCCGGAUGGUAAUGAAUUGUGCAGUCAUAACCUUUGACUAAUUUCAACCAUCUCCUCUACCUCAUAUUCAGUUCCUUCUGUGUGAAAAAAUAUUUGAGACUCUUGUAAUCUGUAUAAAUUUCACACUUCCCACCAUAGAGAUAAUGACUCUUUAAGGCGUGAACUACUGCUGCAAACUCCAAGUCGUGUGUUGGAUAGUUUUGUUCAUACUGCUUCAACUGUCUCGAGGCGUAAGCAACCACUUUUCCAUGCUGCAUCAGUACACAGCCUAAACCCUAUUUGGAGGCAUCGCUGUAAAUCACAAAUCCAUCAUAGCCAUCUAGUAUCGUCAAUACAUGAGCUGAAACUAGUCUUUGCUUGAGUUCUUGAAAACAUUUCUCACAUUUUUCUGUCCACUGAAACUUCACACCCUUUCUCGUCAACUGAGUCAUCGGCCCUGCUAUUUUUGAGAAGCCUUCAAUGAAUCUUUUAUAAUAACCAGCCAAUCCCAAGAAACUGCGAACUUCACCCACAUUGCUCGGCCUUGGCCAAUUUGUUACUGCUUCUACUUUUGCAGGAUCUACUUCGAUUCCUUGGGCGGUAACCACAUGACCAAGGAAACUUACACGAUCAAGCCAAAAUUCAUACUUCUUGAGUUUGACAUAUAAUUUCUCAUUCCUCAAGGUUUCAAGUACUACUCGGAGUUGUUCCUCAUACUGUUUCUUGUCUUUGAAGUACACGAGUAUGUCAUCAAUAAAUACUAUGAUGAAUUGGUCUAAGUAUUGAUGAAACCCUCUGUUCAUGAGAUCCAUAAAUAUAGCUAGAUCAUUGGUCAAACCAAAAGGCAUGACAAUGAAUUCAUAGUGUCCAUAACGAGUCCUGAAAGCAAUUUUUGGUAUACUGCUUGCCCUGAUUUUUUGUUGAUGAUACCCUGACCUCAAGUCAAUCUUUGGAGAGGAAGGAUUCCGUUUCUUUGGAGGAAAGUUCAAGUCUUUGCCUCGUCUUGUAUAAGCUAUUCAAGCGGAAAGGAUGUUGAAAAAGGAGUCAUGUCAAGGAUUUUUAGUUAAUAUCACCAGUCCCCGACAUCUAGAAAUGACUGUUAAUGCUAUUAACAUUGUGCGAGAUUUUGCAGACGUAUUUCCAGAUGAUUUACCAGGCAUUCCACAUGAUAGGCAAGUGAAAUUUACAAUUGAUUUGGUUCCUAGAGCAGUACCAGUAUCCAAGGCCUCAUAUCGAAUGGCACCGAAAGAACUUCAAGAAUUGAAGUUGCAAUUAGAGGAGUUGUUGGAGAAAUGUUUCAUUCGACCAAGUAUAUCUCCUUGGUGAGCUCCUGUACUUUUUGUGAAGAAGAAGGAUGGAAGUAUGAGGAUGUGCAUUGACUACCGGAAAUUAAACCAUUUGACUAUAAAAAAUAAGUACCAGUGUCCAAGAAUAGAAGAUUUGUUUGACUAGUAAAGGGGUGCUACAGUGUUUUCAAAGAUUGACUUGAGGUCAGGGUAUCAUCAACUAAAAAGCAGGGCAAGCGAUAUACCAAAAAUUGCUUUCAGGACUCGUUAUGGACACUAUGAAUUCACUGUCAUGCCUUUUGGUUUGACCAAUGCUCCAGCUAUAUUUAUAGAUCUCAUGAACAGAGUGUUUCAUCAAUACUUAGACCAGUUCGUCAUAGUAUUUAUUGACGACAUACUCGUGUACUCUAAAGACAAGAAACAACACGAGGAACAACUCGGAGUAGUACUUGAAACCUUGAGGAAUGAGAAAUUAUAUGCCAAAUUCAAGAAGUGCAAAUUUUGGCUUGAUUGUGUAGGUUUCCUUGGUCAUGUGGUUACCGCCUAAAGAAUCGAAGUAGAUCCUGCAAAAGUAGAAGCAGUUACAAAUUGGCCAAAGGCGAGCAGUGUGGGUGAAGUCCGCAGUUUCUUGGGAUUGGCUGGUUAUUAUAGAAGAUUCAUUGAAGGCUUUUCAAAAAUAGCAGGGCCGAUGACUCAGUUGAUAAGAAAGGGUGUGAAGUUACAGUGGACAGAAAAAUGUGAGAAAUGUUUUCAAGAACUCAAGCAAAGACUAGUUUCAGCUCCUGUAUUGACGAUUCCAGAUGGCUCUGAUGGAUUUGUGAUUUACAGCAUUGCCUCCAAAUAGGGUUGAGGCUGUGUACUGAUGCAGCAUGGAAAAGUGGUUGCUUACGCCUCGAGACAGUUGAAGCAGUAUGAACAAAACUAUCCAACACACGACUUGGAGCUUGUAGUAGUAGUUCACGCCUUAAAGAUAUAACGUCAUUAUCUCUAUAGUGGGAAGUGUGAAAUUUAUACAGAUCACAAGAGUCUCAAAUACUUUUUCACAUAGAAGGAACUGAAUAUGAGGUAGAGGAGAUGAUUGGAGUCAGUGAAAGAUUAUGACUGCACAAUUCAUUACCAUCCGGGUAAGCUAAUGUAGUCGCAGAUGCCUUAAGCAGAAAGACGGGAUCGCAGUUAGCAGUUUUACCUAUGGUGCAGGAACACUUGAUAAGGGACUUUGAGAAACUAAGAUUGGAAGUCAUCACACCGCCAACUCAGACUACAACAAGAAUAAGAGCAUUUAUGAUUCAACCCACUCUUCGGGAUCGAAUUAAAGAAGCACAGGAUAAGGACCCGUUUUUGCAGAAGAUUAAAGCUAAGAUUGGUACAAACAAACAUAUAGGAUUUGAAGUAUCUCCAGAUAAAGUAUUGACUUUUAAAGGAAGGUUGUGUGUACCUAAAGAUGAAAGUAUAAGAAAUGAUAUAUUGGAAAAGGCUCACUCUACCCUGUAUUCGGCACAUCCAGGUGGUACGAAAAUGUAUCGAGAUCUUCGAGAUACAUUUUUGUGGAGAAAUAUGAAGAGAGGAAUUGGUCUAUUUGUUGAAAAAUGUAUUAUCUGUCAACAGUUUAAGGCAGAACAUCAAAGGCCAUUAGGGUUAUUGAAACCAUUGGAUAUUCCAGAAUGGAAGUGGGAACACAUAACGAUGGAUUUUGUGGUAGGCCUCCCGAGGUCAGUAAAAACUCACAAUGCUAUCUAGGUAGUGGUGGAUCGUCUAACAAAGUCAGCCCAUUUUCUACCCAUCAAAGUAAACUUCAACAUGGAACAACUCGCACAGUUAUACGUCAAAGAGAUAGUCAGAUUGCAUGGAGUUCCAGUCACCAUUGUUUCAGAUAGAGACCCGAGGUUCACAUCUAAAUUUUGGAAAAGUUUGCAGACAGCCAUGGGGACGAAGGUAAAGUUUAGCACUGCUCAUCAUCUUCAAACGGAUGGAAAAUCAGAAAGAACUAUUCAAAUUCUGGAAGAUAUGUUAAGAGCAUGUGUUCUGGAUCUUGGAUAAAGUUGGGAAAUACACCUACCUUUAGUGGAGUUUGCUUACAACAAUAGUUUCCAGGCCACUAUAGGUACGGUCCCAUAUGAAGCUCUUUAUGGUAGAAAGUGCAGAUUCCCUAUCCAUUGGGACGAGGUCGGGGAGAACAGAAUCCUGCGUCCUGAAAUUAUUGAACGAACAGUUGAGGCAGUUGAUAAAAUUAGAACAAGAAUAAAGGCAGCACAAGAUCGUUAGAAAAGUUAUGUUGACAGUAGAAGAAAGGAUUUAGAAUUUCAAGUAGGCGAUAAGGUUUUUCUAAAGGUAGCACCAAUGAAGGGUGUAUUGUGAUUUGGAAAGAAAGGGAAGUUGAGACCGCAGUUCAUUGGACCUUUUGAGAUCCUUGAAAGGAUUGGUGUUGUGGCUUACCGACUUGCCUUACCACCUGAACUUGCAGCAGUGCAUAAUGUGUUCCAUGUUUCGAUGCUCAGAAAAUAUGUCCUUGAUUCCAAUCACGUGAUAAGUUACCAAGCCUUGGAGGUACAAAAAGAUCUAUCAUAUGAAGAAAUCCCAAUAAUGAUUUUGGACAGGAUAGUGCAUCAACUCAGAAACAGGGAAGUUCCCCUAGUCAAGGUCCAAUGGUAAAAUCAUGGACUGGAUGAGUCAACUUGGGAGAAAGAAGAGGAGCUUAAAAUUAAGUAUCCAGAGCUCUUCAAUUAGUCAAGGUAAAUUUUCGAGGACAAAAAUAUUUUAAGGAGGGGAGAUUGUAAUGUCUCAAAAAAUUUGGUGGAAUAGAAUUUAAUUUUUUUUGUAUGCUAUAUUUUAAUAUUUUGAAAGAUUAGGGACUAAAGUAUAUAGUAAAUUUCAAUUUUAGUUGGAUUAAAAUGUGGAUAUUGGCGGAUCAAUAAUUAGCAUAUAAAUAAUGGGCUCGUUGGAUAGAUCGUAAUUAAUCAUGCAUGUUAGGUUCGAGAAAAAGUUAAUUUGGAUUAGCGGAGUCCAAAUUAUUGGGAUCGAAAGAUAUAACUUUAAAUUAUAUUUUUAAUUAAUUAUUUAAUCAAUAUAAACUCUUUCACAAGUGGCGUGAAAGGAGAGAGAAUCUUGAUAGGUUAUGAUUGAAAUUUUGUUUUUACUCAAAUAAAGAUUUAAAAAAGAAAAAAGAAAAAGGGGGAGAUAAAGGAAGUCACGUGGGUGGUUAAGCAAAAUUAGAUGUACUGCCACGUGUUGGUUUUUGAGUGGCUUAGUUGUUGACAAGAUGUGGUCAAAUUUUGAUUUCCAAUAUUUUAUCCAUAACUCUUUUUUUUUUUCACUUUCAACUCUUGCGUAUUUGCAUAUGAAUAUAAUUACACACCAUAUAAGAUACAUAAAAAUAUAUACAUAAGCAGAGAGGCAGACAGAAAAGGGGGGGGGGGAUUUGUUGGAACGUGAAUUUUAUUUUGUCUGCCAAAAAUCAAAGCAAGUUAACAAGUUAGGAUAUGAGGUGCAGUAUUUUUAUGUACCAUUUAAAUAUUUGUUCAUGCUGAUGAAUUUUAUACUCAUGAAAGUUAAAGUUAUGAUAUGAUAUAUUAUGAUGUGAAUGAUAUGGCCAUUCCGGUACAACAAUAUGAUAUGAUAUGAUAUAAUAUGAACUCUUACCGGAUUUAAAGACAUGAGACGGUAUGACUUUCCGAUGCAUGUUUUAAAAUUUUUAUACGCGAUCGCACCAUAAUUUUUUAUAUCCUACUGAGUAUUUCCAUGUACUCACCAUUUUUCCUACACCUUACAGAUUAGAACGGGUCGUUGGUUGGCGGGCGAUGCAGUGGAGUUGUGAUGCCAUAAAUUAUAGAAUUCAAGAUAAAUAAAUUCUAAGUAACAUGACUAGAAAAUUUUAUUUAUUAUUAUUUUUUUGCGUUAUUUCAGUUUUAUCUUCAUGUUAAAUUUGAAAUUUAAUAUUUGGGACAUGGUUCAGUUAAUUAUGUUUUCCAUAGACUUUAUUUAUUUUAUAGAUGGAACUAGAAAGAUUUUCAUGUAGAAUGUUUGACAUAAUUUAUUUAAUUAUGAAAUAAAGGUUUUAAUGACGAUCUUAAAUCUUUAAAUUUUGGGUCGUUACAGUAUGAUUCAGUAUGAUUGUGUUAGGAAUGAUACUGUGUUUGAUGGUCUAUAUUGUAUUAAUUUACAAAACAAUAUCACUUAUAGUUCAAUGCAUGUUUAUACUAAUAUCAACCGAUGUAAUAUUAAUGAAGACUCCUCUAUGUUGUGGCAUUGAAGAUUAGAACAUAUCUCUAUAGAUAUAAUCAAAAGGUUAGUGAGUGAUAGGUAUUUUGUACUCUACAUUUCAUUGAUUUUAACACGUGUGUACUGCAUUAAGGGAAAGCAGACAAUAGGUCCAAGAAAGGUACAACAAGAGUUUGGACAUAUUAGAAAUCAUACAUACUGAUAUAUGUAGUCCAUAAAUGGACUCACAUGAUCAGAAAUACUUUAUCACCUUUAUUGAUUUUAUAUAUAUAUAUAUAUAUAUAUAUAGAAUAAGAUCGUAAGAUCAGAUGGAGGUGGAGAAUACUACGGUAAAUACACAGAGGAUGGACAAGCAUCUGAUCCAUUUGUUAAGUUUCUUUAAGAGUGUGGGAUAGUUGCCCAAUACACCAUGCCUAGUUCACCAGAUCAGAAUGGUUAGCAAAAAGAAGAAAUAGAAUAUUAUUGGACAUGGCGUGAAGCAUGUUUAGUAGCUCCAAUCUUCCUAAAUCCUUGUGGACAGAAGCACUUAAGAUGGCAGUGUAUAUAUUAAACAAAGUUCCAACUAAAACUAUCCCAAAGACAUAAUUUGAAUUAUUGAAAGGUUGGAAACCAUGUUUACGACAUAUGCGAGCUUGAGGAUGUCUGUCUAAAGUGAGAAUAUAUAAUCGACAAGAUAAUAAGCUGGACCGAAGGACCAUUAGUUGGUAUUUCAUUGAAUGUUCUGAAAGGUCUAAAGAAUACAAAUUUUACUAUCCAUCUCACAUCACUAGGAUUGUAGAAUCAAGAAAUGCUAAGUUUCUUGAGAAUAGCUUGAUAAAGUGGGAGCGAUCAAACUAAAAACAAUGUUCUUGAGCAUGAUCAUUUAGAGUCUCAACCUCCUACCUCAAAUGAUAACUUCGACAUACUUCAAAGCAACCCUCAAGUACAAAUAGGUGUUGGACAACCAAUCAAUGAAAUUUCACAAGUUGCUGACAAUAUUCAAGUGGAUCAACUAAUUCAGGAAUUACUAGAAUUUUCUGAACUAACAGUUAACCACAAGCUUCUAAGGAAGAUGAUGGUACAACAUGAAGAAGAUCUAUUAGAAUAGGUCAGCAAUUCUUAGUGAUUAUGAAGUAUAUCUACAAGAAUCUAAUCACAAUAUUGGAAAGAAAAUGAUCCUGAAUCAUUUUCACAAGCCAUGAGUUGUAAAGAGUCAGAAUUAUGGCACAAUGUCAUGAAGGAAGAAAUGAGUUUCAUGAAGAGUAAUGAAGUCUGGGAUCUUGUUGAGUUACCUAGUGGUGCCAAAGUUAUUGGUUGUAUUUAAGACUAAGAAAGACUGUUUAGGCAACAUUGAGAGAUACAAGGCAAGAUUUGUUACUAUAGGAUUCACUCAAAAUGAGGGAAUCGAUCAUAUCGAGACCUUCUUUCUGCUAUCUAAGAAAGAUUCUCUACAUAUUCUUUUAGCAUUAGUAGCCCAAUUUGACCUUGACUUACAACAAAUGGAUGUGAAAAACAACAUUUCUCAAUGAAGAUUUAGAGGAGAAGGUUUAUAUAAAACAAUCUAAAGGAUUUCCCUCUAAUGAUGGUAAACACUUAGUUUGUAAGCUUAAUAAGUCUAUAUAUGGUCUAAAACUAAUGAUAAGGUUUUGUUGCAUGAGGUGAAACAAUUUUUCUUUGAACAUUUCGAUAUGAAGGAUAUUGGUGAGGCAUCUAUAUCAUUAGCAUUAAGAUUCAUAGUGACAGAUUAAGGUGGACAUUGGGUUUGUCUCAGGAAACCUAUAUCAACAAAGUUUUAAAGAGAUUUCGGAUGGAAAUUGUUCACCAAGUAUAGCUCUCGUUGUAAAGGGUGAUAGUCCAAUUUGAACCAAUGCUUGAAAAAUGAACUAGAAAGAGAACUAAUGAAGAACAUUCAUAUGCUUCUACUAUCAGAAGCCUGAUGUAUGCUCAAAUUUGUACAAGACCUGAUAUUGCAUUUGCUAUAGGAAUGUUAGGACGAUAUUAAAGUGAUUCGGGUAUGGACCAUUGGAGAAAAGUAAAGAAAGUAACACGGUACCUUCAAGAAACUAAAAAUUACAUGCUUAUGCAUAAACGGACUGAUAAUUUGAAAGUGAUUGGAUACUCAGAUUCAGACUUUGUUGGCUAUGUUGAUUAACAAAAAUCAAUAUCAGGGUAUAUUUUUAUGAUGGCUGGUGGAGUUGUAUCAUAGAAGAGUGCCAAGCAAACCAUAAUUACUACUUCCAUUAUGAAAGACGAGUUCAUUUCCUAUUUUGAGGCUACUUCGCACGGUGUAUGGAUUAAGAAUUUCAUAUAUGAGUUUAGAGUCCUAGAUUCCAUUUCUAGGCCAUCGAGAAUAACUGUGACAAUUCAGCUGCUAUCUUUAUGGCUAAGAACAACAAAAGUGGUAGUCAAAGUAAACAUAUCGAUAUUAAGUAUUUAGCCAUAAGGGAACGUAUUAAGGAAAAGAAAGUGGGCAUUGAGCACGUAAGCACUGAAUUGAUAAUCACUGAUCCCUUGAUUAAAGGCAUGCCACCACUGAAAUUUAAGGAUCAAUGGCGAGAGGUAUAAAUUCGAUCCGUGAGAUUUUUCGAUCCAAUUUUUUUUGACAUAAUUGUUUAGAUCGAUUUUGUCUAAUGUUAGAAGUCAUAGAUGACCCAUUUUCGUUUAUUAACCACUAAUUGAACAAAAAAACACAUGAGAAAUUCGAUAUUCUUAAUUUGAUGUGCUCUCAGUUCUUAGUCCCCAAUUGUUAGAAAGUUGGAAUCAAUAAAACUAGCAUAUAACGAAUUUGCAAAAGAUGAAAUGAAAUUGAUAGGAAAUAUCAGCUGAUGAUCCAAGAGAUUUAUUCAAAUGAUCGGAAACUUAUUAAAGUAUGUGAUUAAAGAUUCAGCCCUUGUUUGAGCCCCAUUUUUGCAAAAAAGUUGUUUUGGAAUAGUGAUUUUUUUGGGGAAAAUGUAUGGUUAAAAAAUAAGAAAAAGUUUUCGAUUUACAUGUAACACCAUCUGUUGAAGAAUGUAAGGGUCGAAAAUGAGUUUUUGAGCAAUUGGGGCUCAAACAAGAGCCCAUUGCAGAUAGCAAAUUUUCCUUCACCUUUCCUCUUCUUUCGCUCUUAAUACAUGAUCAUUCAAAUCAGGUUUUUUUGUUAUCGGGAUAGGUGCAACACUAUGUUUGGAUGGUAUGAACUAGCCAAACAAGAAUUCUUGAAUAGCGAUCAACCAGAUUACUAUUCUUACCAAACAUGAAAGUAUGGAUGGAUCUUCCUUCAAAUAAUUUAAUCAUUUUUCUCGACUAUAAGUUUAGUAACCAAAUCUUUGUGAAGUAUGUAUAAGUUCAUAGGAAAAUUUAUUGGAUCAACAUCGAAAAAAUCGUGAUAGAAUAUGCUCCAGAUAAGAUUCAAUAGCAUAGCGGUCCAACAUGAUGAGAAUUAACAAGCAUAAGAAUCUUAUCGGCAAUAAAAAUGUAAUAUUUAUUUUCCAAACUCAGAAUUAUAAAAAAUUUCACUUGGGAUACAUUUGAUUGCGAGCAUGAAAUUUGUAUGGAAAGAAAACAAAUUUUAGGUAAUUUAACUGCCUAAAACUUAUUUGUAUGGAUAUGAUUAAUUAAAUGUGUUUGAUUGAUUUGGUUUUCAACUUAGAAAAUAUUAUACUUGUCCAUUUUUUAUUGGUGGAUGGAUGAGAGAGAAUGGAUAGAUAAGAAAGAGAGAGAGAGAGAGUGAAUUACCUGAAAAACAAAAAUCACUACUCCAACAUAGAUAUGGGUAGUGUCAUGAGCGCGUGAUCCUAAAAAAAUAUUUUCCCUGUAUUCAAGGACAAUGUAGUCACAUGGCCAAAAGUUGAAAAAUAUUUUCAAUGAAAAAAUUGUCAAUCAAAUAUCUUUGAAGUAGAAAUUUAGAUGAAAGUAACAUUUUUCAUGGAAAAUAAAGCCAAUCAAACACACUCUUAAUGUGGUUCAUAGAUAUUGUCUGAUACCUCUGAUGAUCCAUACCUAAUUUAUCGAGAGGUUUUAUGUGAUUUAUUUUGAUCCCAUGGACAUUUCAUUGUCAGAACCUAUAGAAUUUGAAAAGAUUGGUCAAAUAAAAAAAUAUAUUUUCUAUAAUUUCUGAAAGUUAAACUUAUGUAGUUGUGUAUUCCCAAUACAUUGUUGGGACUUCGACAUAAUCCAUGUCUAGAAGUUAUCUAUAAAUUUCUCUACAUUAGCGCUUCUUUUGUAUGCAAUCUCCUGAAAAUUGUUAAGGUGGGGGAAUCCUCUAUUAAUAUAUGCCCCAUUUGACAAUCAUUAUUUAGGUAAAGUGGAGUUUUAAAUAGUGAUUUUUUGAAAAAUGUAGUAACCCUUUUUAAUAAAAUCACAUUGAUACGCGACAAUAUAGUUGGCUUAUGACAUGAGGUCAUAGCGCUAUGAGGAUUAGAUGGGUAUGGUAGAGGAUAUGAUGGAACGAUUGACUAAGGGACUGUGGAGGGUAUGGAUGGUUCGACGAGUUGAUUUGGCCAUUGAAUAACUCAUUGGAUAUAUAGAUUGGAGAUGGACGUCGGUGAUGAAGGGGGUGAUCGAGGAUUUGAUAGUGGUCGGGGACAGAGGGGGUGAUAGAGAAUGUCCUGGGGUAGUGAUUGAGAGGGUGAUGAGGAUGUGUUGCUAGUAGUGAUUGAGGGUACACCAGUGGUGAUGGGAGUGACAGAGAAUGUGACGGUGCCCGAAACGGAAGAGUGGCAGUGACAAAGAGAAUGGUAGAAGAGGUAGUGGAGGGAGUGAUGGAGAAGAAUUGACUGAGGAUGUCGCAGAGAAAGAUGACGUAACAAUUGUGUCGAAAGGGGCUAUGGAGGUGACGAAGGAGAGGAAGCAUGCUUUUGACAUAUUGAAGUAGGUGGUCGGUAGGAGGAUGAGAUUAUUGUCACAGUAUGUUGUUUUUCCUUCACUAUUAAGGUAAAGAGGAGGAUGUACGUGGAUGGAACGUGUGCCAAUCUCUUCCAUCAUAUCAACUUUACGAAGAAAAAAGUGUUCGAUAGUUGGAUCAAAGUCUUGGACCCAAGUAAGUAAUUAUGGUUUUCUUACAUUUUUCGUUUUUUUUUCAUAAGAGUGAGCUACUAAAGGUAUCGAACUCAAAAAAAAAAAUAUUCAAAUAAUUGGUCAUUGUUUUAAUUAAUUUUUCAUAAUUUUUUUCCUGUUGUAGCAUGUCGACCUAAUUUUAUUUGGUAGAGAAAGUAUAGUUUCGACAGACACCACUUUCUAAUAAUCAGCCAUAUAAUAAUGAGUGCAUAAGUUGUGUAGUUGAAAUCCUCCAUACAUAGUCACUACAACUGCAUGCACACAUGUAAAACUCUGUAACGGAAACUUUCUACACGUACAUAUAUUAUAAUUCAAGUCCAAGAUGUAUCGAUAUUACAUCUGCAUCCCAUAGAGAAGCAAAAUGGAUCCAGUAGUUCCAUAUUUACCUUUCUCGCCAUAUCUGGAGUUUUGAAGAAUUUAUCUUCCUGAGCCGAGAUUAGCACAUUUGUGUAAAUAGUUGGUUUUGCACAUCUAUCAUUAAAUCAUUGCUAUAGGUUGUUGCGAAUGUGCUUAAUCAUGGCAAGAAUUGGUAAACUUCGAUCCUUCUUCAAUAAUCGACGUCCUGAAAAAUAUAACCGUACUCAAUGUUAAAUCCCCAUUUUCAACGUUAGAUACUUCUAUGCAUCAUGUAACUUAUUUUCUAUUUCGACUACGAACUUAUUGAACUCUUUGAAACUGUAAGCUUACAGCUCUCCUAAACAAUGCAACAAUGCCACUCCCUCAAUAUUUAGUCUUCAGGUUACCUUGUAUAUGAUACAUAUGAUAAACAUGACGUGCCUAAAAAAAUUCAGCGAUACCAUUUAUUAUACAUUGCCCCCAAUCAUCUACAAAGACAAUGUUCUCGACAUCCCCAAUAACUUCCUUAGUUUACGAAGAACCAACACAUUGCUUGAUAUUUCUUAUCGUCAACUAUGCCAGAUGUAAGAGGAUAAAUUUAGACACUGGCAUCUUGACAUAUAACAAUAAUUAACUUCCCUUCAUAUCUAGUUUUCAGGGGUUGUACCGUCGACUAAAAUUAGGGAUUACAUCACAUUUCAAAAUUUUUGAAUGCAUUGUCCAAAAGCCAUGAAGAAAUACUUAAAACAAUUCUCGCCGUCAAUCUUAAUAAAAAAAUGUUGAGUUAGGAGUAGUUCUCCCCUGAUUAUGGCAAUACCUAGCCAAUUUAGCAUGACUUUCCUUGGAUGAACCCAUUAAAUCCUAACGCACAUUCUUUAUCCUUCGAUGCCUUUUGAUAAGUCAUGACCAUCCCGUACUCUAAACGGAUGUCGUUAAUGAUUUCUUUGGUCUAUAAAUCGUUUGUGGGCCCUGGAACUUGUACAUUAUCUUUCGACUAAUGACCAUGAUCUAUCCAUGCAGGUAUUUUUUUCUUAUUUUUUGAUUAAAAAUACUGUAGAUUUGUUUAAUGAAAUGUAAGAAUUUGUCUACGUGUUAACAUAUAUCGAACUAAGUUUUAGAGAUAAAAAAAACUAUACCAAUUUAACGAAAACGAAAUUAAAUAUACAUAAAUAUACUUAACGAUUUAAAGUGGCAGAUAUAAAUGAGAUUUUUUUUGUUGACUGUUUGAUAAAUUUCUGAGGUUUUGAGAUUAAAGCAGAUGAAAAAUUAAAUAAUUGUUAUCUGUGUUGAAGAAAACAAAUAAAGAAAGUAACUUAAUUUUGAAGUUUUAAAUAGGAAGUGUUUUUUUUCAACUUAAAAGGGUAUUAUUGUCUUUCUGUGUACUUUUUUUUUUUGGUUUUUUAAUUUAAAAGGGUAUCUUCGUCCUUUUAACAUAACUAUAUUUUUGUAAUUUAUUAACAUUGUCAAUGGUAUCCUUAUCUUUUGUUAUUGAAAAGACCAUUGUAAUGAAUAGCUAAUAGGUUAGACUUAUGUGUUGAAGUGGUAUCUUGAUUUGGCCAAACUCAAAACUCUCUCUAAAACCCCUUUAUAUAGAAUUUUAAAAGAUCAUAUGCUAAGUAAGAAAAUACUAUAAAAAGCUAAUACAUCAAACCCUAAUAAAACUUCCUAAAAUAUGCAUCAAAAUUAAAAAUAAUAUAUAGCCCUUGUUUGAACCACAUUAUUUUCCUAAGAAUGCAUUUUUGAAUAGUGUAUUGAAGGAAAAUGUGUAGUUAAAAAAUAAGAAAUUAUUUUGGAUUUGCUUGUAAUAUUAGUUUAUUGAAAAAUGUGUGGUUGAAAUGAAAUCAAAUCACUGUUUAAGAAUAUAUAUAUUUUUUAAAUGUGGGUCAAACAAGGCCAUAAUAGUAUCUCUUCUAAUACUUCAUCAAGAAGUGGCCACACAUGAGGUUGGUUCUAGUGGUGAUCUUCGAGUUUUACUAAUGCCUUCGUCUUCUCUUCCUCGAGGCCACGAAUUUUUGUGAAGCAAUUAAGUAAAUGUGGCUCUCUUGUUUGGUAAGCUCAAAAAGUUUCCUUUUGUUUGGUAAGCUCAAAAAGUUUACUUAGCCCAUAUUUGGUUUGCCUGUAAAAUUGAAUCAAAAGUUAAGUAAAAUUCAACAACCAAUUUCAAUUAUAUAUUUUAAGGGAUUUAUAAUUUUCAAUCAAAAUUUCCAUUAACUUUUAUUAAAUCUACUAAAAAGCUGAUUUAUAUUUAAACCAAGAAGGGGCUUAACAAAUAAAUAAGUUAUAAAUUAAAAUUUUUUAAGCCAAAUAAAAAAUUAAUAAAUUAGUUAACUAUCAUAUAUCAUGAUCAAGUCGAAACCAAGGAAAUCUUAUUUGUAGUCAAAAUUGAAUGGUGAAUGCGGCGAAUUUAGUGUCUGUUUGAGCCCCUUUUUUUUUUUUUUUUUAUGUAGAAUGUGUUUUGAAAUAGUAGAUUGAUGAAGAAAUGUGUAGUUAAAAAAUAAGAAUUUUUUUUGAAAUUAUGUGUAAUAUUAUUUAAUUAAAAAAUGUACAGUUGAAAAGAAAAGGGAGAAAAAUGUAUUUUGAAAAUAAUAAGAUUUGUCAUGCCUAUAAAAUUAUUGCAUAUGGGCCUUCCUAUUGGACUUUAUAUAGGGCUUCAUUAUACAAUUAAGGUAUGUUUUUCACAAUCCUAGCCAAUUUCCCUCUCCCAAUUUCUGCACUCUUUAUUUUCUUUUCGUCCAGCCGUUGACUUGACUAGGGCUAUAAGCAAAAAUUGCAAAAUUAGAAAACCAAACUGAAAUCGCAUUUUAGAAACCGUCGGUUUGGUGCCACGGGGACCCUAUCAACAAAAUGGUUUUGAACCAAACCAAACCGGUCAAAAUGGGUUGGUUUUUAAUUGUGGUUUAAAACCAAACCGGACCGGCAAAAAAUAUAUAAAAAUAAAAAAAAAUGAAAAAUUGAUUUUUUUUUUAAAAUUCAUCCAAUUAUGUAAAAUUCAAUAGUUUUGUCAUUUGUGAAUAUUUUUAUCAAUUUCUAAUUUUCUAAUACAUAUAUAUUAUUAUUACCUAAUAAUCCUAAUUUAUAUCUAAUAAUCUCAAAACUAACAUAAUCUAUCAAAAGUCAUUUUCUUCUUUAGAAUUCAGAUGAACUUCAGUCGACACCUGACACAGUCUUAAGCCAUCGUUACCACAUACACUUCUUCUUCAUAUUUUUUACGUCUCUUCAAAGUUGAAUUAUAGUCCAUUACACCAAAUCAGAGACGGAGAUCCUAAACCUUCAGUGAUAAUAUUUGCUACGAAUAAAGUUUCAAAUCAAUAAUUUUUUUGAGCAAACUGAGGUAAGAAUCUGAAAUUAAAUGCUUUUCGUAAUAACAUACAAAUGUAAGCUUGUGUAAUUGUUAUGUUUAGAUAUUAUAAAUAACUGAUUUAUUAUUGUGGUUGGUUAUUUUCUUUGUCUAAUCAAUAAACGUUUUUCAAAUAUAACGUUCACGAGGUCUUGUUGGAUUGAUUUUUUUGGGCCUUAUAUCUCGUUUAGUAGACUUGUAUUGUAACGUUAUCAUAACGUCAUUAGCUUAAAAAAGGUGGAAAAAAAAUAUGUUUUAGUUUAUUGUGAUUUCAUUUUGAUUUAGUUGAUAUUUAAAGUUAUAAUAGAUAUAUUUAGCCCUUGUUCGAGCUAUAUUUUCCAUGUUAUCAUAAUGAGAAAAUUGACCAUUGGAAAGGAGGUUGGGUCCCACGUAUAAAAUAACAGGUCAAAAAUGCGGUUGGACUUGUGUAAUAAUUGUCCAAAUUUUCAUUUUUUGUCCCAAAAAUUUGGUUGAAACAAGGACUUAGAUUGUUUUAGAUUUAUUGCUAAUAAGAUAUAAAUAUAUAUUGAAUUCAAUGAAUUAAUGUCAUAAAAGUAUACUGAUAAAAAAAUUUACGACGAAACCGAUGGUUUUAAACCGGACCAAAUCAUUAGAUUUAGGUUUGAGUUUUUUUUCAAACCGUUCAAAAUGGUUUGGUUUAGGUUUGAGUUUUUCUCAAACUGGUUAAAACGGUUUGGUUUGAAAAUUUGUCAAAAAUCGGUAAAAUCGGACCGCUUACACCCCUAGACUUGACUGUCGGAGUGCAAACAGUCGUCAACCUUUUUCUCGACCGGCGGUCUUUGCUUCCUAACAGGUUGUUCCGUGUGCAGGUUUGUAGAGGAUGAUGCCAGAGAUCUGUUGGCAACAUUUUUUUUGGGUCAACAGAUUGGCGCCGUCUGUGGAAAAUAGUACUUUAACCAUGUUUCUAACCACAUUACAAAAAGCCACCUGGAAAAUAUGGUUGUUUUCUACUGGAAGAAAGCAAAGACAACAACUAGAAAAUGAAAAAUUUUUGGAGCAUUUUCUUCCAUCAAAGAAAGAGAUGGAGUCAGGCACCUAAAAAAGAAGAAGAUUGAGGUAUUGAAAGGAAAAGAAGAACACAACAAGAAGAUCGGAGGUGCAAAAUAUUACACAACAGAAGCAGGUUUCAUUUAGGGGGGUGUAUUCAAUUGGAACUUUUAAAAACUUUUUAAAGUGGGUGACUUUUGUGGAUUUUGUGAAAUUUUAAAUGAUUUCUAUGGAUUUGGUAGGAAUUAAUAAAAGUUUUUCCUGGAUUUGUGGAGACCUUUUCUAGAGACUUUUAAAGACUUUUUAAAUUUUUUAAAAGAAUAUAUUAAACAUUUAUAAUGUAAUAUGUUUAACAACUUCUUAUAUACUUAAAUCGUCCACAACUCAUAUAAUUGAAAAUGUAAAGUAAUAAAUCGUAUUUUUCAUGUCAAUUUUUUCACAAAAAAUAAAAAUAAAAAUCGCCAAACAUAAAGUACUUUUUCAUCUUAUAUUAAGUAGAUUAACAAAUAAUAAAAGACACAAACAUUUCCAACAUCAUUCCACAUGUCCACUGCUAGAGAAGCCCUCCAUGCAUUAUCAUUCUCUCUUUCUUGUUCUUUACUCUCAAAAAAUGGUCCAAAGCCUUCCCCCUCAUUACUCGAAAAAGAUGAAGAAUCUUUGUUGUCGGGUUCGAUUGGAAAUUCAUCGGACCGACAUUCUUUCCGGAGAAAAUUGUGUAAUCCUGCACAAGCUAAUACGAGUUCGGCUUGUGUACAGUAUGAAAAUGGAGGAGCUAUUUUGAAAAUUGUGAAUCUUGAUUUAAAUAUACCAAAUAUCCUCUCAACUACGUUCCUCAAGGAAGCAUGACGAAGAUUAAACAACUCUUUUGUAUUUUCAGGGUCACGACCUUGACCAGCAAAAUCUUGAAAAUGAUAACGGACACCUUGAAAAGGAGUUAAAAACUGACGUCGAUUUGGAAAUCCACAGUCUCCCAAAAAAUAUUUACCUGAAUAUAAAAUACUUGUAAAGUUAACAAGUAAUUACGAAACAAUAAGAUAAAAGAAAAAAUAAAAUAAUAAAGCCGUACCUUGUAGCACUUUAAGUCCAUUUCUCCUUAUUAAAGCAUCACUCAACACUUUAGAAUCAUGUGCUGAUCCCUCCUACUCACUAAUCACAUAUAUAAAUUCCAAAUCAAAGUUACAAGCGACCAAAACAUUUUGAGAAAUUGUUCCAUGACAAUUUCUGUAACUGCUUGUAUCACGUCCAGUUACCAUUGCUGGAAUAUGGGUACCAUCAAUAGCUCCAAUACAAUUCUAAAAAUAAUAAAACAGUACAAAGAAUUCAUGAGAACGCUAAUUAAAACAUAAAACAAAAAUUAUAAUAAGUCUCAUUCAUCACUUACUUUAAAGUAAGGAUAAAAUCUUGUACUUUCCCUUAUUUUUUCUGGCACAAUGAAUCCCGGUUUGACUAUCAUAUCUACCGUAAAUUUGUCUAAUGUCUAUAAAAUCUUGUUGAAACUUCGGCUAGUAGUGAAAUGUGAUUGACCAAAUUUUUGACGAAUCAAGCAAUAUCUAGUAUUUUGACCAACAAUAAGUAGGAACGUUGCAAGCAUUUCUUCAACACAAAUAUACCUAGUAUCUUGUAAGGGUGUUUUUUCUCUAAUGAUAUUGCUUAAUUUUAGAAAUAUAUCCGGAUACAUUCUAUAAACUUGUUGAAAGUUUUCUGGAUCCUCCUUUAAUAUUUUAUAUAUAUAGUCGUAUCCAUAUCUAGUUUUUGGUCGCCUAGUUAGUGAAUGUGUAAUACAUGCACAACGCAUAUUAUUUACAAGAUCAUUUAUCACGUAGAGAAUUGCUUGAAUUGCCAUCCAUAAAUACCAUCUGAUUUCAUAUAAUGGUUCCUUAUAGUCAUCUUCUUCAUUCUCAUCCACUUCUUUUUCAUGAUCUUCAUGUAUGUUAACAUUAGAUAUUAUAAAUAUGGAAGUACCUAAACAUAGAAGGAACAAAAAUUUAAUACAUAGAUAAAGAUAACGAUAAUGUCACGUAAAAUGAAUCAAUUGUCAUCAAAUUAAUAAAAUAUCAAAAUAAUACAACCAAUAAAUCAAACAAAAAACAAUUCAAAAACUUCAAAAGUUACUACCAAUCAUAUCCAAAAAAAAAACCCCCAAUUUAAUUCAAAUGUUAUCCAUUUAGAACGUUCUUCGAGCGUCAUGCUCAAGAACUCAGACUUUUUUGCUUUUGUAUUAAGCAAAUCAAGGACCUUGAAACGAUCAUCGGGAUGAUACUGAUGCAAGAACUUUUUUUCUUUAAUAGUCACAACAUGUAUGAUCCUAAUACUGAAACAUUUAUAGUAACCAAUAAGCAAGAAGUCACAACAUGUAUGACCAUACAUGAAGUCGUCUAUUAAACGAUCAUCGGGAUAAUACUGAUGCAAGAACUUUUUUUCUUUAAUGCAAUUGAGUGUGUCCCAACAUAUUUUUUUCUUUAAUAGUCACAUCCCGAAGAUAAAAGUUAUCGCACAACCAUGAGUUUUAAAAGUUCAUUGCUUUCUUCCGAUGUCCAUUUCUCAUAUUUUUUGGUACCUUUUUCCUAAACCUUGUCAUUUCCUUGUGUUGAAUCUUCCUUUAGAACUAGUGUCAUAUAAUUAGAGAACAAAUAUUUAGGCAAAUACAAAAUGAGCAACAAAAAGUCAAGCAAACAUAGCUACUCGAGUUCCGAAAAUGGACAUAUCAAUAUUUAUGAUGUUCAUGUUAAUAAGUAUUGAAUAUACAAAAGGGUUCUACUCCAUCAGAAGCAAGAUCGAUAUUGGAAAAUAAUUACUUUAUGCUCAAGGGAACAAUAUUAGAAACAAGAUAACUACCUAGCCGAUAUACCUACGAGACUACAUUUCAUGUGUACUAGACCCACUAUUUUAGACUCGAAUUCCCAUCUCUUACUAGCCGGGGAUUCUAAUCCCUAUACUAGAAACCAGUAAAUAAAAUUAUCGCUUUCUGUGUACUGGACCCACAAUUUUAGACCUGUUUCUAUAUGUACUGUUAGUUCAUUUCAUGUUAUGUAGCAUACUCAGUUGUACUUAUCCAAGAACUUCAAGCAAUAAUCCUUACUACUACAGUUUUUUACUUUCCAUACCACUAGCUAAAAAUGGCAAAAUAAAAACCUCAUCAUUGUUGCAUGUAAUUAAUUUAUUUAAGAUACGCUUCUUCUGAAUCUUUAUGUAAAACUUCCUAUGGGCAUGUGAGUACAACUACUUAUGGUACCUGCAUUAUGAUAGAUGGCCUUUACCAUAUAAAUUAACCUAACUCUUCCUAUGAUACCAUAAUCAUAUUUCUCUUGGAUCCCCACAAAACAUUUCAAAGUAUAUAAAGAUCUUUUUUUACUUCAACAUUUCUCUAUGGCCUAUUUACAUACAAAUAGCUUCAAAUUCAAUAGUUCAUUUCUCUAUGGCCUGUUUACAUACAAAUAACUUCAAAUUCAAUAGUUCACCUGCAAUGGGUAGCUUAAAACUGAUUUGCAUAACCAGUUACAUCCUUAGUCACAGCUAACCGAUUCUCCUAAGUCUUCAUCCUUUCACUCAUGGACUUACCAUUUCCAAAAUGAUUUUAUAAUCUAUAGGCUACCAUAGGAAAUGGUCUCUUUCUGCACUCAACCUUCUUUUAUUAGUUAAAUAUCUUAACAUACGACACUUAUCUGCUCAAUAAACAUUUCCGAAGCUAGACAACAAAGCUUACUAGUUCUAGAGUCUAAGCAGCUUCCAGAAUUUGUAAACCACUCUUUGCUUUAACAACCUUAUUUGAAAAACCAUCUAUUUUCCUCACUUUCCACAAUAUUGAUAUUUAAGAUUAAUGGAGACUGACACAACAACACAUGAUUUUCCAGAAAGGUGGGGUAUCAACACGUGAUAUAAAAUCUUUAAUAUUUACACAUAUAUUAUAGCUAUAUUUUUAUACUUUUCUAUUUGUAAAUCAAAUAAAAAAUGUUCUAAGGCGAAGAGAAUUGGGAGUGCCUACUUGUUGUAUUAAGAUAACUUAAAGAUUUAACUAUAUAAUUAGGGGUUGUUUGAUAAAGCUUUUGGUUAAAAUGUACCUAUGAGACUACAUUCACAAACAUAUAACCAAACACAAAGUUACAUACACAAAUCAUACCAGUCUCUAUAACCUGAACAACAUCAAUCAAAAUUCAGCAAAAUGAAUAUUUUGGAUCAAUUCAACACAUCAAAAAUCAAGAAUUCAAAUGAAAAUAAUAAUUGAGAACAUAAAUUCACACAAUUGCACCAACAAUUGUCCCAAGUUGCCAGAUAACUGCCACCCAAUUCAGCACGGUAGCGAUAAUCAGGACUGGAUAAUAAGGCACAAUAGUGUCAGCAGCGACCACAGGCUGUUGUGGGUCAAAGGUGUGUGCUUACUGCGAGUAUGUGACCCUCGGAGUCGCAGGUGUGUGGGCACAUCUGAGGGAUCAACCCUAGGUGGGUACGGCUGAACCAGUUCACUAUUUGUAUCAAUACUGGUGUGACUGGGUGGUUUCAAGGGUCCAAGGUUAGGGCGGAGGGUGUUGCAUUUUAGGAUGGAAAGAAUUUGUGUUUUUCUGUGGGUAUGUUGAACUGGUUCGGAAAUCAUAAACUCCCCAGAGUCAUCUUCUUCGAGUUUGCAAUUUUGGAGAUGGAUUUAUCCAUAAAUCAAACAAAAUACUCAUAGAGGGAGAGAUAGAGAGAUGCAAAGCGCGAUUACCUGAUUGAAGGAGAUGGAGGAGAAACCCUAGAAAAAAACGCCAGCUUGUGAGAAAUCUCUCGAUGGAUGAGAGAUUUUUCUUGUGAGAUUUCUAUGUACGUUUUCUACCAAAAGUCUCUGAAAGUCUAAUAAAUUAUAAAUUCCCCGAAAGUCUUUCUUAAUUGAAUACCCCAAAACUUAUAGAGACUCUUAUAAAGUUUUAAUUGAAUACAUCGAAACUUAUAUAGACUUUUCUCUAUUGAAUACACCCAAACUUUUAGAAUCUUUAAAAGUCUCAAUUGAAUAUAUCGAAACUUUUUAAAUCUCCCAAAGUCUUUAAAAGUCUCAAUUGAAUACACCCCCCUUAAUUUCCAAAUUGUGAAAAAAAGGAGAAAUCUCUAUCAUUUGUUUAUUAUCUCAUGCAUAUUCAAGAUCUCAUCCUUUUGGAACAGUAUAGUUAUUUUCUAGCCACCGAUUCUUCACCUUGAGUUCAUGGGUUUGCUACCCUUUUUGUCAUUUGGAGAUUGCUUAUAGUCAAAUCAUUAUAAAAUCAAUCUAGUUGAAGAAUGUUUCGGAUAGGAGGACAUUCUCUGGUGGAUGAUUAAGGAAAUCUUUUCUAGCACAAAUAUAUACAAACUUGAUAUUAUGCACUUAAUCUGCUUGACAAAUUGCAUUGGUGUAAAUGAAGUCUCCAACUGCUCCAUUGAGGCAUAUACAGCAGGCCAAAUCAAGAAAAAUAGAUGCAUCUACAAUCGUGUUGGAGGUCGUUUCUCCAGAUUGGCCCCACUAAAAGCUUUUAGUUUCCAUUUGAAACCUCAAGCAAAUUACUGAGUUAACCAUGUUGCAGCGACCACAUUAUGUAAACCUCCGACGACAAUUAGCAUCGUUCAAUACAAGAAAACGGUAGGAUGUGGACAACUUUGGUACACGGUAAGCAUGAAUUUUGGUGGAGACAUGAACGUGAUGGUGGCAUGUUUGGAAAGAGACGGGUCAUUCAUUUCUGCCUUUUGCAGGUAAUUUGGUUGGAAUAGACAACAAGGUUUCUCACUUUUCUGUCCUUUUUUAUUAGACUCUAUCUCUAUAUUUUUUUUAUCUCAUUAAGUGCUUGUUUGGUAGAAAUUUUGAUAAUUGAUUUUUUUAUCGUUAAAGAUAAAGUGAGUCCUACUUGUGAGAGAAAAUUCAAAAAUGACGGCUAGAAUAGUAAAAUAACGAUCAAAAAAUUAAUUUUAAUUGACUUUUAGACCCUACCAAACAAGCUCUAAAUCACUAGAUAUUGCCCAAUGAGUCAAAGAAGUAGAAAGGGCUCAAAGGUCUCUUUUGGACUUUGUUUUUGGAUUAUGUCAGUUGGAUAGCGAGAAUUUAUUUGUUCUCACAACUCCUAGUCUGGUCUCCAGUAUUUGGGCCCAUAAGAUAAAUAUAUUAGUGGUUUGCUAGCAAGGUUCCUUUUAUUGGGCCACCUCUUAAACACGAACAUUAUUGGGCCUGAUGAUUUUGAUUGUUCGAUUUAGGUUGUCCAUGAUCCUACCUUUGCGGCCUACACACUUGGGAAUUUAUUGAAUGAGAUUCUGAAGUCAGUAAAUUAUUUUUAACAAGCUUCCAUAAACGGUCCCUACCUAUUACUUUAUAUAGCGAUUCUAUGGGUUGGCAAAUUGCAGGGCUGUAGUCCCCCCGCCCUCAGGCCCAACAAAUUUUUUUUAAAGGUAUUUUUUAUUUUUUUGGUAAAAAACCAAUUUUUUAUGUGUAAAUUUUUUUUCCACGUGGCAGUCCAAUUUAAAAUUUCAUAACCCGGUCUUGGUUCCAAUCCUCGAUCUGUCCCUGUUUAGAAUUUAUGCUAGUACGGAUUUUGUAUUAAUUAAGCAACAAAUUUAUAUUUUUUGCACUAAUAACUUUUGAGGUAGCAUUAAUGGAAUUUAUUAAUUACAUGGACCAGCAAGAGAAUGGAGAUUACUUGCAUUAACGUCAUGUUUCUACAUUUUCUGAUUAGACUUCAAUUGGAUGAAAUGGUAUAUUUUAAUGUUAUCUACUUGGAAUUAUUCAAUGUGAAUGCCAUUGGGAAGCUAUUUAGAUUCUUGGCAUAUUCAUUUUGCUAUCAUUGGCCCCUUUGUUAUCUUUCCAUUGUCUCUAGCUACUUUCGAUCGAGCCAUCCAGCCUCUAACUCUUGGUUUUUGGGGGCAAUCGAGGACUGCAUUUAUGACGUAGAUUGAACUGUGUGAAAUAGGCCAAGGAUUCUUUUUUUCUUCAGCCCUUUUGAUGAUUUCAAUUUUGAUGCACUAGUUAUUUUUCUUGCUAAUGGCAAUUGCAUCCUUUGAACAUAAAUUGUGAAUUCUAAUCAAUCCUCGUCCAGUAAGGAUAACUCGUAUCAUCAAAAGCACUAGCUCUUGGAUUUCUUAUUCAUUGAAGGUGAGCCUUAAUUUGAGAAUUUCGUAAUAUCAGAAGCGACAUUCUAUAAGUCCUCGUUCCUUGAAUAAAGGAAGAUGCAUCAUCUUUUGGAGUCAUCAUUCCUUGAAUAAAGGACAAGGCAAAUAUUUUAUAAGUCCUCGUUUCUUGAAUAAAGGAAGAUAGGGUAUUUUGGAGUCAUCGUUCCUUGAAUAAAGGAAGAGGCAGAUAUUUUUUAAGUUCUCGUUCCUUGAAUAAAAGAAUAGGCAGUAUGUUGGAAUCCUCGUUCCUUGAAUAAAGAAAAAGACAAUAUCUUGGAGUCCUCAUUCUUUGAAUAAAGGAAGAUGCAGUAUUUUGGAGUCCUCAUUCCUUGAAUAAAGGAAGAGGCAGAUAUCUUAUAAGUCCUCGUUUCUUGAAUAAAGGAAAAUACAGUAUUUUGGAGUCCUCGUUCAUUGAAUAAAGGAAGAGGCAGUAUGUUGGAGUCCUCAUUCCUUAAAUAAAGGAAGAUGCGUUAUUUUUUGGAAUUCUCAUUCCUUGUAUAAAAGAAGAGGUGAAAUCUCAAAAUAUUUGCCCUAGAGAAAUGAGCAAUUUUGUAGCUAGCUAGACGUGUUGCCCUUGAAAAAGGAGCUUUUCCUGGCCUCAUUUUUGAGAUGUCGUGCAAUACGAGAUGUUUAUUCCUUGCUUUUUGAGAUGCCUCAUCCAGUGGGAUGCUUAUUUUCCACCUCGCCAAAUGCUCUAAUUCCUGGCUUCACGAGAUUUUUAUUCUUUGCCUUUUACUAUCGUCAAGCUUAGCUGUAAGCCCUUAUCCAUCCGAGGUACGCUUAUAAGACUUCGAUAUUUCGAAAGUUAUUCAUGGGAUGUUUAUUCCUCGCCUCACAGAUGCUUAUUCCAAGCUUCGCAAGAUGCUUAUUCCUCGCCUUUCACUAUUGUCGUGCUUAGCUAUAAGAUCUCGUCCAUUCGAUGCCCGCUUCUAAGGCUCCAAGAGUUCAAGAGCUAUUCACGGGAUGUCUAUUCCUUGCCUCCCUGUGUCGUCGGAUGCCUAUCCCUGACUUGCGAGAUGCUCAUUUUUCGCCUUUCACUAUCGUCGAGCUUAGCUAUAAGACCUCGUCCAUCCGAGGCCCACUUAUAAGACUCCACUAGUUCGAGAGCUAUUCGUUGGAUGUUUAUUCCCUACCUCGCUAGAUGCUUAUCCCUAGCUUUGCGAGAUGCUCAUUCCUCGACUUUCACUAUUGUUGAGUUUAGCUAUAUGACCUCGUCCAUCCAAGGCCUGCUUAUAUGUCUCCAAUAGUUCAAGACGAUCCAUCAGCUUGAUAUUCAUUCCUUGCUUUGCAAGUUGCCUCACCAUAUGGGUUAUUACAUCAUAGCUACAUCUAUCUUUAGAUAGCUUAUCAUGCAUCUACAUUACAACUACCUAUCUUUUAGAGUUUUGUUUCUACUUUAGCUAUGGCACAUCUACUUAUCUUUAAAGAGCUUACACUAUUUCCUGUACGGAUGAACCAUUCACCAUGCAAGAAGUCCUUGACAUGGUAAACCAUCCACCAUGCAAGGAUGUCAAUUAUAGCUUCGUAAGGAGAGAGGUGGACCUACCUUAUUACCUAUGAAGAUGACUUUCUAUGGCUGAAUCAAACACCAUGGAGGAAGCCCUUGUACAAAAGAGUAAAUCUCUUACAAUGAGGUAAAAUAAAAUUAAAAAGAAAAUACAAAAUAAAAAAGGGAGCUCCGACAAGGGCAAGUGUGAUGCCGUCUAUGGAGUCAUGCCUUGCUACUUUAGAAUUUAAUCCCUUCCAUGGCUAGAUCGUACACCAUGGAGGAAGCCCUUGACAUGGAUACAUCACUCCCAUGUAACGAUGUCGGCUUAUCACAGCUAUAUAUAUCCACAACACUGCUUCUGUUACUUAUAUUCAAAGCAUCGCCUCUACAUCAGCUCAUCAUAGCUGCUUAUAUAUUCAGUCUCGUCUCGACAUCAACUUCAUCAUAGUGACUUAUAUAAAUAUUCGAUUUGGGGGACUAUUGUGAUACUAGUGUCUUAGUAUCAUUACAUUAUUACUGCUAGCAUAUGCAUUAUAUUAUUGUUGUCAAGUACGCAUGUCACAUCAUUGUUAGCAACUCAUAACACUAUUUUCAUUACAGAUAGUAUGUAUGCUACGUUAUCAUCAUUUUCAAUUUAUCAAUAUCAUGUUAUAUACUUCACUAUAGCUUUACCGAUACACUAAGCUGUACGAGCAUAUGAUUUACUAUGAUGCAUGACGGACUCUUUGCAUAUUAUAUCUUGGAGAAAUUUGAUAUGUUAUCAUUUAUAUUAUCGUCAUGAGUAAUUUGAGUGGCAAGUGUACCCCAAAUUUAUUUGGUAUACGUGCAAUGGAUAUAUUGUAUUGUAUUACAUGUUGGUUUAGUUCAUAUUAUAGAGGACAUGUUGUUUAAAUUUUGACAAAUUAUAUGCAACAUCUCUUGGGGCAAUUCAUAAGCCAUCGCUUAUUCACGUUGGCACAUAAAUUUUAGAGACAGUUCAUAAGUCCUUGCUUAUUGGAGCUAUUCGCAUUUUCUGAGACAAUCUAUAAGACCUCGUCUACUUGACUACUUAUAUUUUGAAUUCCGGCUUGCACAUGAAUCUACGACUCAGACUUGGGGGACUGUUGUCAUGCCUGUAAAAUUAUUGCAUAUUGGGCUUUCCUAUUGGACUUGGACGAGGCUCAUUAAUGCACUACAUCCAUAUAUAUAUAUAUAUAUAUAUAUAGGGCUUCAUUAUACAAUUAAGCUAAGUUUUUCACAACCUUAGCCAAUUUUCCUCUCCCAGCUCUUGCACUCUUUAUUUUCUUUUCAUUCGACCGUUGACUUAACCGUCAAAGUGCAAAUGGUCGAUGAACCUUUUUCUCAACCGACGAAUUUUGUCUCCUAACAGGGUGUCCUGUGUGCAAGUUUGGAGGGGACGAGGCCGGAGAUCUGUUGACAACAUUUUUGGAGUCAACAAGAAUCAACACAAGGGUGAAAGACUUCGCAAUAGUUACCAUUUUAUGAGAUGCAAUCAUGAAAUACCCUUGCUGUAAAAAUGGUCAAUUCUAUGGCCAAGAUUUUUUGGUAUAUGAGGUUGUGUAUAUAUCUCAAUCAAAAAAUAAUAGCUUGUUAGGAAAAGUUUUGAAAGAAAUGUAUGAUUUUAACCAAUGUGUAAUACAUCAUAAGGUGAUUUUUUUAGUACCCAAGCUAUAAUUAUUUCCUAAAGAAAGGAAACAAAAUGAGACUAAUGUGUACUAGAAAAUCUCAAGAGUUGAACUCAAAAUUACGAUCUAAUUAUUUUGCAUGUCUAUCAAAAAAUUAACUGUUCACACUCGAAAUCGUUAGCUUGAUAUAGAAACAAAAGGAGACUAAUAUCUAAAUUGUUAGAUUUUCUAAAAUAUUGAAAUUUCUUUUGAACAUUGGGUUGGGAGAUUUAGAAACCACGAAGUUGAGAACUUGAUAUGAGCAACUUGAAUUUGAAAUGUACAAUUAUCAUUCAUAAAAAUGUUGAGUUAAUAAAUAUCGAUUUUUGGUUGAUGCUGGUAAAAUAUCGCGUUUAGUGACAACAUUUCGAGUGCGCAUGCCGAAUCUUGAGUUUGUGAAGUUAACUCUCAAGAAGUCUAGGCAAAGUAUGAGUUAAUAGUACAAAUAUCAAGAUUUUAAGGCAAAUCUCGAGUUUACUUUUCUUAAAUUUAAUUUGCUGACCAAAAUAUGAGUUGCUUCACAAAUCUUGGAUUUAUGGCACAUAAUAUUGAGAUUGCAAAGCAAAUCUCGAAUUCAAUGGCCCUAUGUUAAAUUUCUAAGUAUAUACAUCAUUAUGUCAAAUUAAAUCUCAAGCUCACUAGCCUCACAUUGAAUUAGCUAAGCAAAUUUCGAGAAUGCUUCACACAUCUUGAAAUGAUUCCUAGUACGUGUUGAAAGGAAAAACUGAGAACUUGGAAUGAAAAUCAGAAAAAUACAUGCUUAGAAUACCUCAAAGGAACAAUUGGAUAUAAUUUCUUUAGUCCUCAAGUAUAGAAGAAUGCGAAAAUCAAAAAGUAUUUGUUAGAACAAAUGCAACAAUUUUGGGAGACACGUGUGUAUAGAGGAAUGUGAUUUAAGAAACAAGGUAGUGUUAAAAAAGAUGAGUGGUGUAAACCCUUGGUCAUCUAACCCAUAAGUACAAAUCGAUAUUGAUCAACACACCUCGAUGAUAUUAGGAAGCAAUAUGGGCCUGAUCGUAGUGGUAGCUGUGGACGGGACCCUAUUUCGAAAAAGAUGAGUCCAACCAUUUGGAUCAAAUUGGACCUAAUAAUGUUGAGAAUACUCAAAACACUCAACAAGCAAACGUUGAAGUAGACGUAAACAAAGAAGUUACACAAACAACUGAGAAUGCCUUCUAAGAAAGUCCACCGCUUGGACACAAAAGGCUAUUUGGAAACGUGUAAGGUACUUGCUAGUUGGAGAAGCCUAUCAAGCUAUCUCCAUGGAGCAAGAUGACAAUCCGAAUUUAUAUAGGAAAUCCAUAGAAGAAAAGGAUAUUGAUUUAUGGAAAAACAACCACGGAUUCAGAAAUGAAUUCCAUAUAUUCCAAUAAAGUCUGGAAAUUCGUAGAAGUAUGUGGAGGGGUAAAUUCCAUUGGAUGCAAGUGUGUUUAUAGAAGAGCAUCGUAGUUUGACCUAAAUUCUAAUGGGUAUUGGAGAUUUGGUUGAAGAGAUCAAAAUUAUGGACCGGAAAGAAAAGUCGUCACAUUUUCGCUUGCCUGCCGUUGUUGGCCACUCGAGAGGCUCCUGCAUAUUUUCUUUAGAGUUUUGUCACUCUCCUAGUGCUUGAGCGAUUUCUGCAAAUUUUUGUCCAGACACCUGUCACUCUCCCGGCGUUCAAGUGGAGGAAUUGUCACGCAAUUACUGCUAGCCUAUCACUUGAGUGACAGGGUUAUCCGACCAAGGCCCAUUUUACUUUUUGACGCAUUUUUGUACUCUAUUCAUUUACAACUUGAUUUCUAGUGUUUAUAUAUAUAAGUCACAUCUUGUAUUGUUCCCAUAUUAUUUAUACAAUAUUUUGAGAGUUUUAAGUCUUAAUUGAAAAUAUUGAGAUCUUUUUGUAAACAUAAUUAUUAUUGAUUAUAGUGAAUUUCUCCUCAUUUGCCUGUGGUUCUUUCCAUAUUGGGUUUUCACAUAAAUUUUGAUAUUUUUAGUUUGUUAUUGUUUAUUUUAUUAUUGUCAUUACUUUUCAUUUAAUUCAUAACAAGUGGUAUCAGAGCAAGAUUAAUUAUUCUGCUUGGCAAUGAUGAAAUUUAAUAUUUUGUUAUUGGAUUGAAAUACGAGAUUUACUUUAUGACAAGUGAAAAUGUUAGCGGUUUUCACACAGAUGGAUUUGGAAGAAGCUUUGCUUGGCUUUGAUAAGAUGUAUUCAACCUGGAUGCAGGAUGAAAAGCAGCGUAUGGAUCGGAAAGUCCAGUCUCAAACUCAUCUAUGUCUAUCAAAUCAAAUUUUUCAGGAUGUUCUAAAGGAGAAAAUUAGAGUUGUUUUUGGUUGAAGUUGGGGUAACUUCGUAUGACAAAGAGCUUGACCAACAAGUUACACUUGAAACAGUGCUUGUAUUCUCACAGGAUGUCCGAAUACGCGUAAUUGGAUAAUCACUUAACUAUGUUCAAAGAAAUCGUGAUCGAUUUGAGAUAUUGGAAGUUAAGUGUGAAGUGGAGGACUUUUUUUUAUGUUGUAUUCGUUGCUACCAUCAUAUAUGACUUUUAGAAAUAUUAUUCCAAGGACGGAUGUGGGAGAGGGUAGCACUAGGCUAUAGUGCAGUGCUGUCCAAACCCAUAUCCAUAAAUAAUUGACAAAAAUGUGAAGAAAUUAAGAAGAAAAUAACUCAUAGCCCAUCUACAAGAAAACCCCCAAUUUUGACUAGUUCAACCCUUAUGGGAUUAAUGGCAUCCCACCUUACGUCAAACAGGCCAUUUUUGCCUAACAAAUCCACAACCAAGUUCUAAUCAUACAUACUAUGCUUAUCAUUCAUCUCGAACCGAACCAUCAGAAAAGUUCACUGUCGGGUUGGGCCCGAGAACCUAUAUAAAAGUUGAGUACCUCCCCUAUGUCUUCUUAUGAUACCCGGAUGUCAGUAUCUUCAAGCAACUUCUCGACAAAAGGAUUUUCAGCUUGGGGGUCAAAGAGGGGACUUCAAUGUAUGAGAUAACUUUUGACUUCUUACCCAUUAUUUGUUGAUGGGAAUUUUGAGGCGGGUGGGUGCCAAAAUCAUUUGUUGUUGAUGAUGGAGAAUGGUUCCUAUGUUUAUUAUUGCGGCCAAAAUUAUUUCACGCAUAAUAACAUAGCCCUGAUGCAGAUGGAUAAAAGGAUCUUCAAUCAACAAUCUGUGUUCGAUUCUCAUAGUAAUAAAAAAAUUGAAGCAGCAUGGGACAAAAAAUUUUGGAAUGGAAAUUUGGGGUAAAAGAUAAGUGAUAAAUUGAUAAAUAUUGACAAAUUUUUGCUAGGAAGGUGGAAACUUAUUAAUAUGGAGUAAUCAAUGAUGAUACAAUUAAUUAUAUUAAAGAAUUAUGUGGUUUUUAAAUUAUCACAUAUACUAUUAUUUUCAAGUAUUACUUGGAAUAAAAUUAGUAAUCGUUAUAUUUUAAAAUUUUUAUUUAAAAGGGCUUUGUGAUGUAAUUUAAACAUUAUUUUAUUUAUUGUCCAGUCCAUUCAUUCCAAUUUUUAUUUUUGAUAGUUAAAUCGGCCCAGAAUACACUAAUUUUACAAUUUUGAUAGUUAAAUGAUUAUCUUUUUUCCAAUUCAUUUGUUCAAUUUUAUUUCUUUUCUUUAAAAUAGUUCCCUUUUUGAAUUCAUCCCACUAAUUCAUCUGCAUUUUUCUUUGAAUUCAAUAAAGAAAGUGAGGAUGUAACCCUCAUCAAAGAAGACAAGUAAAAAUGUGGAAUGAUAAGAAAGUUAUUUUUGGAUUGUAGAGAUAUUUAAGCUAUUGGGUUUUUAUGCAAUUUUCAAAAUAGAAGAAAAUGAAUCAUGUGAAGAUGGUAAUUCAUAAUAAAAUGGAUGAUGAUUUUCUUGGUGAUUGUAUGAUAUUCUACAUCGAACGAGAAUUUACUGUCAUGCUAGAUGUAGAUUUUAUUCUAGAUGAAUUUUACCUAUAAAAUCUCGUUGGACACAACUUUAAUAGAUAAUUUUAUAUUAUAUUUUUUUAUUACAUAUUAAUCUUAUUGGUACAUUAACUUUUUAAAAAGUUUUGCCCUCUACAACGUUAAUUCCUGGCUCCACCUUUAUAUUAUUCUCUAUAAUCGAGAUACUCUCACUAUGGAAGAGGUCUAUGAUGCUUUACUAUCUAAGGAAAACAUGAGACAUCUUGUUGGAGGAUUCGGGAUCACACUGGAGUCUUGGUUAUUCAUGGGAGAAAUCAAGAUAGGAAUCUAGGUAGGAAUAUGAUGGGCAAAUUGAAAUUCAAACAUGUAGAAAAAAUAUGUUAUUAGUGUAAGAAGAAGGGACAUAUCAGAGCUGAUUGCUAUUCAUUGAAAAAUAGAAAUGAAGCUACUGGUGCUACUGAUAAAGAAAGCAACUUGUUAAUAUAGCAGAUGCCGAUAUUGUGGAAAAUGGGCAAAGUAAAUGAGAGCUCCUUGUAAUUUUUUACAUAGGUUCCAAACUUUGUGAGAAAUAGGUGCUUGACUCGACAUGUGUUUACAAUAUUUGUCCAACAGUGAUUAGUUUACAACAUAUGAAAGAGUUUUGAGAAGUGCAGUGAUCAUGGGAAACAAUGCGCCUUAUAAAUUUGUCGGAGUUGGUAUAGUCAGAAUCAGAAUGUUCAAUGGCGCUAUUAGAACACUUAUAGAUAUAAGGCACAUUCCAGAAUUGAAGCUACAUCUUAUAUUUUUUAGUACACUUGACUUAAAGAGUCAUAAAUAUACUAGCAAAGGUGGAGUUUUGAAGAUAUGUCAGGGUGUUCUUGUUGUCAUGAAAGGAUAUAAAAUUAUACACAGUUAUACAUUUUACAGGGUUCUAUAGUUUCAGGAGAUGUAGUAGUUUUUACUUCUUCUUUGACUAAUGAAGAAGUUACUAAAUUUUGGCAUAUGCCACUUGGAUAUCUGAGUGUGAUAGAUAUGGCAAAGUUGAGUAGGAUAGGACUUCUUGAUCGGUAGAAGAUCAGUAAGAUGAAGUUUUGUGAGCAUUGUGUCUUGAAAAAUAGAAAAGCGUCAGAUUCACUAAAGAAAGACGCAACACGAAGGGAACAAUUGAAUAUAUACAUCCAGAUCUUUAGGGAUCGGCUAAGGUGCCUUUAAAAAGAGAUACUUAUUACUUGUUGAUAGUGAUUGAUGUCUUCAUCAGGAAAGUUGGGAUAUUCUUUUAAAAACAAAAAAGUAAUGUGUUUGGAACCUCCAAAAAAUGAAAAACAUUGAUAGAAAAAUAAAUUGGAAAGCAGGUAAAACAUCCACACACAGAUAAUGGUUGGAGUUUUGUUAUGAUGAAUUCAAUGGCUUUUGCAGGGCUCAAGGCUCUCGACACAUUUGAUGGUGCUUGAAACUCCUUUAAAGAAUGGUAUGGCAGAACGGAUGAAUAUGAUGAAAACAUUGUUAUAUGAUUUCAAAUUCUAGAUUGUUUAGGAUUUUUUGAGUUGAAACUGCUACUACAGCUUAUUUUUAGAUUAAUGACUCAUCCUCAACUGCCAUUGAGAAACAAACACCAGAAGAGGUAUGACCUGUAAAUCUCUUUGUUAUUCUAAUUUAAGAAAGUUUGGGCUUAUACUCAUGUGGAUAAUGGAAAGUUAGAGCCUAGGUUUAAAAAGUAUAUCCUUUUUUGGAUAUAAAUCGAGUAUAAAGGGGUAUAAAUUGUAGUGUCCUGAGACAAAAAAAAUGUGGUAGUUUGUAGAUAUGUAGUAUUUGAUGAAUUUUCUAUGGUUCAUGGUUCGUCUUGUGGGAAUUCUGACAAAAUUGAGGAACAAAAUCAUUUAACUUGGGUGGAGCUAGAAAUUGGUCCAUGAGAACAAUCAGAGAUUUCUAGAUAGUCUAAUGCAUAUCAGUUAGUCUAGUCCAUAGCUAAUCGAUAGUAAUACUUUGCCUACUUUACCUACACCACUAGCAACACCAUAGCAUUCAAUUGUUAAAGAUAGAACUAGUAGACAGAUUAGACCUCUACAAAAGUAUGGAGAAGCAGAUGGUUGAUUGCUAUGCAGGAGAAGAUGAAGUCAUUGAAUAAAAAUAGUACUUAGGACUUGGUGAAAUUACCUAAGGAUAAAAGUUUUGUUCACUACAAGUGGGUGUUUAAAAUGAAGAAAAUGAUAUCAGGGAUUGAAGAUACUAGGUACAAGGCUAGGUUGGUAGCAAAUGGCAAUAGUCAGAUUUUAGGUGUUGACUUCACAAAUAUGUUCUCACCAGUUGUAAAGUAUAGUUUAAUUUGGACUUUACUUGGGAUAGUGGCAAACAAUGAUUUGGAGUUUGAACAGAUGGUGUUAAGACAACAUUCUUACAUGGAGAAUUUGAGGAGAACAUUUAUAUGCAACAAUCAGAGGUUUUAUAGUUUCUAGAAAGAAAGAUUGUGUGUGCUUGUUAAAGAAGUCCUUGUAUAGACUGAAACAGUAACCAAAACAGUGGUAUUAAAGGUUCAAUUCAUUCACGACUACUCAUAGUUUUGGCAGUUGUGUAUACUUUAAAAAAAGAUGAUAGAUUGAUCAUAUAUCUGUUAUUAUAUGUUUAUGAUAUGCUCAUAGUAGCCAAGGAUAAAAUAAAGGUCAAAAAGGUAAAAUCACAACUUAGUCAGAAGUUUGAGAUGAAAGAUUUUGGUGCAAUAAAGAAAAUUUUUGGUAUGGAGAUUUUAAGGGAUAGAAAGGCAAUAAAUUGCAUUUGAGUCAGAAAAGGUACAUUGAGAAGGUAUUUCAAAGGUUCAAUAUACUGAAUGCUAAAGUAGUCAGCACUGCUUGGCUGCCUACUUCAAAUUAUCAUAUGGAUUUUGUCCUCAAUCAAAUGAAGACAUUAAUUAUAUUUCUCGGGUUCCUUAUUCUAAUGCAGUUAGUUCGUUUAUGUAUAUUAUAGUUUGUACAAUAUCAGAUUUGGCACAUGUAGUUAGCGUAGUUAGUAGGUACAUGACAAAUCCUGACAAAUAAUAUUGGAAAGCAGUGUAAUGGAUAUUCGGAUACUUGAGGGGCUCUACUAAUACUUACUUGUAUUUUGGUAGAAAUACAGAUGGAGUCAUUAAGUUUGUAAAUUCAAAUUAUGUAGGGGAUCUUGAUAAGAUGAGAUCACUUACAGGGUAUGGGUUUACCCUGGAAGGUUGUAAUAUUAGCUGUAAAGCUACUUUACAAAAUAUAGUAGCUACUUUGAUUGGUGAAAUCAAUGAAAACUAGCAAAUUUCUACAGUUGUUUCAUAAGAGGACUAAGCACAUUGAUUUGAUGUAUCAUUUUUGCGUUAUAUGAUUGCUCGUGGUAAUCUUGUAGUCAGCAAGGUUGAUACUAAGGAUAAUCUUACUGAUAUGAUGACAAAACCAUUUCUCACCCACGAGCUAUGUUUUGGAAUUUGAUUUAAGAUGAAGAAUUGUUGUGGUCCGACUUAAAUUCUAGUGGGUAUUAGAGUUUUGGUUGAAGUGAUUUUAAAGAGAUAUUACGGAUCGAGAAGAAAAUUAGUUGUAUUUUUGCUAGCUUGCUAGUUGGCCGCUCGUACAGCUCUUGCAUAUUUUCCCCAAAGACUUGUUGCUGCCUUGAUUCUUGAGCGGCGAAGCUGUUGCCUCUCUAUUGCUAGCUUUUACUCGAACGACAGGGUUAUCCCGACCAAAGGCUCGUUUUGCAUUUUGAUGCAUUUUUUGGACUCCUAUUCAUCCACAAUUUGAUUUUUAAGGUUUAUAUAUAUAAACCACGACUUGUACUAUUCCCAUAACAUUCGUAAAACAUCUUUACAAUUUUAGAUCUUAAUUGACAAUAUUGAAAUUUUGUUAUAAACAUAAUUACUAUUAAUUAUAGUGGAUUUCUCCUCAUCUGCUUGUGAUUUUUUUCCAUCUUGGGUUUUCAUAUAAAUUUUGGUGUUCGUAGUUUGUUCUUGUUUAUUUUAUUAUUGUCAUUAUCUUAAGUUCAAUUCAUAACAAAGAGAAAGAGAAGUAAACGUAAGGGUCGAAACCUUUAAAGUAAGACUUGUGGCUAAGGAUUUUACCUAGAGAGAAGGUAUUAUAUUCUCGCUAGUAGAAAUGCUUAAGUAUAUUCAAAUCCUUUUAUCCAUUACAGUACACUUUGAAUAUGAAGUGUAGUAGAUGUAUUCAAGAUAUAUUCUUGAUUGAAAAUAUUUACUAAUAAAUCUCUAAUAUGAUAAAGCUAAAGGGGUUUCUUUAAGUAGGCCACACACAAAAUAUGUGCACACUGCAAUGGUCCAUCUAUGAGCUUAAGAAGAUGUCAAGAUCUUGAAAUGAGAAAUUUAAUAAAGUGACUCAAAAUUUAGAAUUGAUAGAACUUAGAUAAACCCCAUGUCUAUAAAAGGAUAAAGUAUCACAAAUUAGUUUUUCUAGUUCUAUAUGUAGAUUAAAUCAUGAACAAGUUGUCCAAAGAUUCAUAUAUUGAUAAAAUCCUUAUUAGAUUUAGUGUGCAUGAUCCAAAAAAGGAAAUUACCUAUCACGCACAUAAUCCACCUCUCGAAGGAACAUAGUCCUAAAGCUCCUUAUGAGGUAAAAGAAAUGAAAUGGAUACCCUAUUCAUUGGCAAUAUGAAGUCUCAUUUACUUCAUGUUGUGCUCUAGAUCAAAUAUUUGAUAUGUUUUUAGGAUAGUGAAUCGAUGUCAAUCUAACUUAAGAACAGAAUAUUGGGUGACUAUAGAGCAAAUAUUCAAGUAUCUUAUGCUCAGUUGUAGAGAUAGAACCAGUGGUUAUACUGACUUAUACCUUUAGGUAGAUUUAGACUCGUGAAAGUCCACAUCAUAAAUUGUGCUAAUCCUCGGUGGUGAGCAUUAAUUUGGAGGAGUAUUAAGCAAUCUUGCAUUGUUCACUCCACCGUUUAGGCUGCAUAUAUAGUGUUGUAUUUUGAUAACACAAGGAUAGUAUCAAAUGCAAAAGAACCUAGUAGCCAUCAAUGAGAGAACUAUAUAUAUAGAAAAUAUCAUCUAUUAAGAGAGAUAGUCUGGUGCGAGCCCAUGUAACAUUGUAGCUAUGAAACCUGCACAAUAUUAAUUUAACCCAAGAAAGCCAAUAAAUUAAAGUUUGGAGUUUGAUCCAAAAAUAUUGAACCAAAGAACCAACAAAAUUAUCGAUAAUAUGUUGACCACGUGAUCACAAGACUCAAGAACCUCACGUGGAUUAUUUGAACGCCACAAGAAAUAAAUCUUGAUAAGUUUAGAAUUAUUUCAACGAAGAACAAGAAUUGAAAGCAAAGAUAUGAUCAAAAUUUAACAUCUCAAUUUUAUAUAUGACACAAGUUAUUUUACAAGGAGAAUAAUGAGUUCUAUUCAUAAGGAAUCCAUCAAACCCUAGUCUAUGUGGAAUUAAAGUCUAGAAAUUACAAAAGUUAGAAAAAAAUAGAGUUUUAACAUAAUUAGAAGAUUUCGUAAAAUAAAAUAAAAUAAUUAUGUCACAGAAUUGUACUAUGCGGUCGCAUAGAAUGAUCUAGUUUGUGCACUGUUGUUUUUCCAAUAAGCUACGCAGUCGUAUAGUUAACUCGACUAGCCCCUCCGUCCAUCACAUUGAACCAUCUCCUGUCUUCUUUUGAGCCUAACAUGAAAUUUGUCUUUUUCGCUUGCUAUGAUCAAUUUUGCAUCUACCGUGGCUUGAGCAAGUAGUCUCAUCGCUUCUUUAACCUCUUCGCCCAUGACCUAGUCAUAGGUCCUUCUUCAACGAUCAACAGAUCCUUGCCCGAACUUGUUUUCAUGCUAUAGACCACAUCGUCCACUCCUUCUUUGAAAGGAUUCAAUCUCGAAUCUAUACCUGCAUCAAAGAGAGAAAGAUUAGAGAUGUUAAAAGUAGGCGAAACAUUAUACUCACCAAAAAGAUCUACUUUGUGGGCUUUGUCAUUAAUCCUUUCAAGUACUCAAAAUGCAUCAUCUCUCCAUGGCGGCAACUUCAAUUUUCAUUGUUUUGGAAGGCGUUGUUUUCGCAAUGUACGCAAAUCUAAUUUCUGAGUACAAAUGUAACGCUCUUUCGACCUUUGUUUGCUUGAGAAGCAUAGUGCUUUUUUUCUUCUCAAUUUGGAAUCUUACCUUCUCAUGGAAUGAUUUCACCAAAUCAGCCUUCUUCUUUUUUUUUUUACUUAUUUAUUUAUCUAAACUACCCUUUUAUCAACAGGUAAAUGAAUUGAAUCCAAAUGUGUUGGAUGAUUAAACUCAUAUACAAUUUCAAAGGGUAAAAAAGAAAUAGUAGAAUUCGUGGCCCUAGUAUAUGCAAAUUCAAUGUAUGGUAAAGACUCUUCCUAACUUUUCAAAUUUUUAUUAACUAUAGUGAGUAACAAUUGUAUCAUGGUCCUAUUAACAACCUCAGUUUGUCCAUUGAUCUAUAGUUGACAAGUAGUAGAAAAUAAUAACUUGUUCAUCAAAAUUCUCCAAAAGUGAUUAAAGAAUUUAAUAUCCCUAUCUAAUACAAUGCUCCUAGGGAUCCCAUGUAAACGUGCUACUUCCUUAAAGAAUAGAUUCGCAGUAUUGGUGGCAUUAUCCAUUUUAUAACAUGGAAAGUAAUGUGCCAUCUUUCUUUUCCUUUCUUAGUCCUAGGUAAACCCAAUACAAAGUCCAUAGAUAUAUCAACUCAUGGUUCACUAGAGAUAGGUAAGGGUAUACACAAACCUUUGGCCAUAGGUAGUGCUGCCAUGUUUUCAACGCUCGAACAAGUGUAUACAACUUCUUGUCAUAUGUAGGAUAAUUGAGAGCUGCUCCACUUAGCUUUUCAAUGAAGGAACCUAUUGGCCUUCAUUCCUGCAUCAAGACAGCUCCAAUACUUUUCCUUGAGGCAUCACAUUCAAUUUCAAAAGUAGUGUUAAAGUUAGAAAGUGAUAAAAUCGGUGCCUUACACAACCUAUCUUUAAUAGUAUUAAAUGCAUGUUCUUGUUCAACAUCCCAUUGAAAUCCUACAAUUUUCUUGACAAUUUUCGUGAGUGGUGGAAACAAGCCAAACUGUGAAAACUUCUUACGUCAAUUAUGCUUUUAAGUGUUGGUCAUUCCUUGACAGACUUGAUUUUCUCCUCAUCCACUUCAAUUCUCUUUGUACUAACAGCAUAUCCAAGAAAAACAACUUUUUCCACACAAAAUACACACUUUUUAAAAUUAGCGUAAAGUUUUUCUUGUCUUAAGACUAUAAUUACACGUCUUAGAUGCCACAUAUGCUCAUUUAAGUCAUUACUAUAUACCAAGAUCAUCAAAGUAUACUACUACGAAUUUACCUAUAAAUGAAUGUAAAACAUAAUUCAUUAAUCAGAUAAAUAUGUUAGAUGCAUUAUUAAGUCCAAAUGGCACGAUUAACUGCUCAUAUAACCCAUAUGUAGUUUUGAAAGCGAUUUUCCAUUCAUAUCCUUCCCUCAUCUUAAUUUGUUGAUAACCACUUUUAAGAUCGAUUUUAGUAAAUAUGCAUGAGCCGUGUAAUUCAUCUAACAUAUCAUCUAACUUAGGAAUAUGAUGAUGAUAUUUUACCGUUAUAUAAUUGAUGGCCUAGCAAUCCAUACUCAUCCUCCAAGUUUCAUGUUUUUUUGGCACAUGUAGCACUGGCACGGCACAUGGACUCACACUUUUCCUCACAUACUCCUUUCUCAUUAGUUCCUCCACUUGCCUUUGAAGUUCCUUGGUCUCCUCGAGAUUACUUUAGUAAGCUAGGUUGUUUGGAAUGAUAGCUCUAGGUAUGAAAUCAAUUAGAUGUUCAAUUCCUCGAAUGUGAGGUAACGCACUAGGCAUGUCCUCCAAGAACACGUCUUCAAAUUCUUGCAACAAAGAAGUAGACAAACUAGGAAGGGGUAUAUUAGAUUCCUCAAAAUUGAGGAGUGACUCCUUAUAAAUCAACAAGAUCAUAGGUCGCUUCUCAAAUACUACCCUUUUCAACUCACUCCCUUUUGCAAAGAAUUCACUUUCGACUUUUCUUUUCUCUCUUGUGGCUUUACUACUUUUUUUCACUACUAGCCACCUCAUUAUCUUCUCUCUUGCUCUUUAUUUCUCUCAAUCUUUUUUCUUCCUCACUCUUUAAUUUGAUUUGAUCUUCAUAUACUUGUGUCGGUGUUCAUGGCACAAGAGUAACAGAUUUUACAUCCUUAGUAAAGCUAUACCUAUUUUGUAACCAUCAUAAAUUACUUUCCUAUCAUAUUGCCAUGGCCAAUUAAACAAAAUGUGCCCAAUAUAUAUAGGAACUACAUCACACAUCACUCCAUCAUGAUAUCUCCCAAUUGAGAAACUUACAAAUACCCUCCUAUUCACCUUAACCGAUCCAAAUUCAUCCAACCAUUGCAAUUUGUAAGGCUUAGAAUGUUUUAGAAUGGCUAACCCCAAUUUCUAAACAAGUUUUGUGCAAACCACAUUGGUACAACUACUUCCAUCAAUAAUCAUACUACAUACUUUGACAUUGAUAUGGUACCUCGUAUGGAAUAUGUUCUCCCUUCAUUGCCCCAAUUCAUCUACUUUGAUUUGAGCACUAAGAGCUCGUUUUGUAACCAAGAGCUCACCCACUGCAUACUCCAACUUCUCAGCAUCACUAGCUUAUUCCAAUCCCGACAUAUCUCCAUAGUCAUCUCACUACCACUCAUCACCUCUCCAUCAUCUUGCAAAAUCGUUGGCCUUUUGUUUGGAUAUUGAGAAACAAUGUGUCUCGAUCCCAAGCACAUAAAGCAUUUGAUGUCUAGACUCCUAAAUGGUUAGGAUUCUGCCUUGGAUGUGACAUUGCCAGUAAUUUCCUCUUUUCACUUCGGUAACUCGAUUUUGGUCUUUGAAACAGCUCCAUCUUCCUUGUUAUCCCACUUCGAUUUCCAAAAAGCAUUAGAACCCGAUGGAUAUCUAGCUGUCUCCUUCCUCUUCACUUAUCUCUCAACCUUCAUAGCUAUAUGUAGCAUGUCCUCUAAUCCCACAUAAUGUUGUAGUUCUACUAUAUUAGCUAUUUCCCUAUUUAGUCCAUCCAUAAACUGGGCCAUGGCGGCCUCACUAUCCUUCUCAACAUUAGAUCUAGUCAUAGAAAUCUCUUCCUUAUGAUUGAAGCUUUACAGUUUUUGAUAAAACUCCCUAUAGUAAUGAUUAGGCACAGACCUUUUCCUUAUGAUAGCCUUUAAUAUAGGUUUUGACUGUCUAGAAACUAACAAAUCUUAUACUCUUGAGUAGGUCUUUGUUCGAUAUUCUUGUUUAGGUCUCGAUGCCCACUCAUUAUUGUAAUCUGGAGUUGGAAAGACUGAAGAUUCAAGGGUUAGGCAAAUCAUGAAAAUGAAGUUUGUUGAUCAAAGUUAGAGAAUUGAAUUGUUCCUCCUGAAUGAAUUCAUCGAAAGACAGAUAGUCUAUUCUAAUGGUCUAUGUGAUUAAUUUUAUAGAUUUACAAUGUGUAGUAAUUAAAAAAGACCAUUGUCCAAAAUCAAAGAAAUUUUUGUUAAGACGUGUAGGAAAAUCGCUGCAUACUUUGACAUGAUUUUCGGGUUAAGAAACUUACUUGAAAUGAUGAAUUCUAAGAUCUUUGUGUGAUUGAAUCACUUUGCGUUCCAAGCAGCAAAAUUUGCAUUUUUUUAAUACUCCAAUGUUCCCAACCUCGAUCACAAUGGAAUGAGAUUAUUAUCCACAAUCUAAGUGUCGUUUUUGUGAGAUUUCAUGCCAAAAAUAUGGUUCUAAAAACUUUCCAAUUUUGGUGUCAUUUUUCAUGCGAAUUUUCACCUCUUUUUCAUGCCAUCUUUUGUCCACAUUUUUCAUAUCAUCAUCAAUGGAAGUUAUAUGAGAGUUAAAAGGAGGUUAUGAGAAGUUGUAGAUUUAAAUUCCAAAUUCAAAUCAUUCCUUUUGGCGUUUUUUAAAAUCUUGUGGGUUGGGUCACCCCACAUGGGCGACCUAUUACCGGUAUUUUUCAACAUCUCUCACUCGCACAUAAUGAGGUUGAUCCGAACCACAAGUAACAACGAAUGUCACAUCUUAGAUCAUUCUCAAGAUCUAUUUCACAAAUAUUCAUACGACAAAUAGAUCGUGCGACCAAUGAGUAAUAUUAGAGCUCAUAGUACUGUAAACCUGUUAGGGAUAUAGAGUAGUUCUAUUAGAGGAACAUCAUAUCUUGUUAUACCCCAAAUUCAUUUUUCAACAUUAAUUCAAGUAUUUCCAAAACUUUGAGUAUUUUAUGGAGCAUACUUGAACCCUACAUUGCAUCAUUGCAAUCACAAUUGUGUUCUACAUCCUAAAUAGUUCAACACGAUUGUCCGGUCUGUGAAUACAAAUAUAAAUGUUGAUCAAAAUAGUUUUUCUAUCCUACUUGAAUCCUUCAAUUUUAAAUUAGUUGCUUUCCUAGACAUGCCUCAUCAAACCGAAUCGAUCAUAGUCAUCAAUAACAUGCUAAAGUAACAACACUGAAAUAAAAUCUCAAAAAACAGUCAAAAGUCAUAAGAGUAUAUAUGAGGUUAUAUAAACCUCAGGGUCUCACACAAUGAGGAAGUAGUGAUCCAUUCACUCAUUUACCCAAUAUUGGUCGUAAAAGCACACGUGGUAUGAAACACAUGCUACGCUGUUUCUCCCUUUCUUAGGGCGUAUUUCGUAUUCUUUGCAAACAAAUAUCACCGUACAGAUCCUAGUUCAGGUAUUUUUCGAUACCUAGCUUGAGUUCUCCUUAUGUUCAUUCGUCUAAGAAAUCUCAAAUUGAAAACUUGAUCUGGCUACUAAAUAGGAUUAAUGGAUAGCAAAAUUCAUUUCGAUUACUUGUUGUAAUCUCAUUUUGAUAUCUUAUCAAGACGACUGAAUCAUGUACACAACAUGAUCACUGUGUCUCAUCUCAACACACCUCAAAGUGUCUGAGGUGAUUGCUAGUGUGAAUGAGCCAAUCUCAACCCGUUUGACAUACUUUAUAUGUACAUACAAAUCAUUUAUGGGCACAUACUUUAUACGUACAUGCACAUGAACACGAAAAUGUUCAUUUAUGGGCACACAAAACUCAAUCAAGAGUUUUCUGAUACACUAAGUAUCAUAUUCUACAAAAUUCUAGAGAUUCAAUAUUACCAACAAAUAUAUCUCUAGACAGCUUCAAAUUAAAUAUCAUCAUUUACGUAGAUAUAUCGUAAAGAUACUUUUUUUGCUAAUGUCUCUCACAGAUAUACCAUCAAGUGUUUGGUUCCAUCUUGAUACUUGAGAUCUUAACAUAUAAAAUAGUUGCGUAACUAUAAUGGAUCUCAUGUUCUCAACUAGUAUUAUUAGAUGCUUAAUAUAUCUAUACUAAACAAUUUCUUUAGUUGUCAAGAUAUACAUUAUAAUAUAUGCUUCUUGCUGCUCUAUAUAGCAAGAGUGCACAAGCCUAAUAAUAAUUAUGCUCAACUUACUCUCAUUCUUAGUCGAUAAUUGUAUAUCUAUUCCAAUCACAAGUUACUUCUUUGACGGCGAAAUAGAAUACUGAUAGUCACACCAUUCAGGUAUACAAUACAUUUUCUAAAGAUAAUAUAGAUACCUAUUGACUAGAUCCAUGGCAUGACCAAUGUUAUGGCAAGUAGACAUCAUAGUAUACUUCUAUCCCUUAACUCUUAAUCAUACUAAAUAUGGUUCUCUGGAUAUUUCUUUAUGCGCUUAUGGAGUCUUUGAACAUUUAUGAAGACUUAUAUGGUCACCUUCCGAUAUAGGAGUAUAAAUAGGGUAGCAAUUCCACAUGAGCUUUUAUAGUAUAAAAAUCUUGUGAUAGAGCAAGAAGACUCAAAUAUCUUUUUAACACAAAUCAUACAAUUUGCUAAGCUCACGUCCUUUGUAUCAAAGAUCAAGUACAACCAUUUCAAAAUGGUCUAUGUACACUCUUUUUCAUGCUUAGCCAAUUCAAUGUAAUAUCAAAAUUAGAAUUACAACCUAACAUCAGACCUUUACACAAAUACAGUAAUUUUCGUCCAUAUGACGAAAUUUUUGUACGAGAUUUAACCCUAUUAAAAAACUUAAUACGACUAUCAAGAUGACUGUAUAAGGCCAUGCGUAUAACUAUAAAGUUACCACAAUACUAAAAAAACUUUAACAUGAAAUUUACAAGACGACUCAUGUUGAUCUCUUUAAUCAUUUCUCAAUUGAGAAUAAAAAUAAAGUCUUUGGGCCUAUUUGGUGUAACUCUAAAUUUAAACUUACUAUCACAGCUAGCAUAGACGUACAUCAAAUCCCAGUGUUGAUGAAAAAUUUUCUAUCUAACUCAAUACACUUAUAUUGAGUAUACCCUUUUUCAAAGAGAUAAGUUUUAUUUAUCAGAAACUCAUUGAUCUUCUGCUUAGUUUUCAAGAACGUGAAUGUUCUCAAAAAACAUAAUAUCCGAAUAGAACUUAUAUCGUAUCCCAUAUUAGGUUGAAAUUCUAUACUCUAUAUAUAUACUUCCAUCAUUUUCCUCAAAAUUGUCCAUUGGUUUUCUGAACAAGAAAUCAUUGACAAUAAAUAGAUCUUAGUUCCCACUCGAAACCAAGAGUCAUUGAAAUUAGAUAGUUCUUAGAUGGCUUCCACUCAGAUAGAUAUAUCUAACUUAGAAACAGUUACUCCCACUUGAAUUAGAAGUUUGAAUCAACUUUUAUAUAUCCAAAUCUGAUUCAUCAAUAUAUAUAAUAUCAAUUUCAACGAUGUUCUUCAAUCUUUUCUCCUUUACUGGGAAAAAUAUCAAAUGUCACAUCUUGUGACUCGAUAUCUAUCAAAAAAUUUACUUAAGUCCCUUUUUUUGGACUACAUGUAUGUCAUCGAGACACAUCUCAUUCUUAAUACUCUCAUGUUCCCGAACUCAUAAUCAAGAACAUGUAUAAUCCAUUACGAGUCUAUGAUAACCCAUAUUUAGUUAUCUACAUCUCCAAAACUUAUAUAUUCUAAGGUACCAACAUUGAGAGAACUCCAUUAAUUGAUACGUUGUAGGUAGCCAACGCCUUCCAAAAGCAAAUACAUAAGUUGCCACAUAAACAACACUAAGAGGAAUAUAUUCAAGUGCAAUAUCCUUUAACGUAACCACUUUCGAGCUAAGAUAUUCAAAUCAUAUAGUUGAAGCACCUUAACCUUUAUGACAUUGAUCCUCUACCAAAAUUACUUUCAUUCACUUACUAUCUGAUAUGUUCUUCUUGGUCCUUUUUUAGUCUCCUUAUCUAUCCCGCAUUUGUUCUAACUCAUUUACUACUUAAGAUUCAAAGUCUUAUACAAACUAGAACAUUGCUAUACAAGCAUGUCCUUAAGACUUAGCAACAUAAAGUCAUAUGUCUUUGAACUCACACGGCGGAUAGUGUCAAUAUAGAAAAUUAACACUUCAAUUUGUAAGUUACAAUGACCUUUAAAGCUCUUAUAUAUUGAGAAGAGACUAGUUUGAACUUACUACUCAUCUAAAAAUAAUGUGAUAAACGAAAAUGUUAAUGCUAUGUUAACCUUCAACUAAGUCACAUUUGAGAAAAAGAUUAUUUAUAGUAGAACUUAACAAUUCAAAUGUACAAGAACUAGAAUUUAUCUUUUCUCAUACUUAAGAAAGUUCUGAUCUUUAUUCUCUAGAGUAGUAUGACCUAUAUAAGGUCUUCUAUUACGUGGUUGAAGCCUUCUAAAUCAUCAUGUCCUUUUAGUACACUUAAAACCUUAUCAUACCGAAUGUUAUCGCAUUUAGUUUAUCCCAUUUAUUAAGGUCAACCAUUAUAGAUUUUGAUGUCAUGAUGUAUUAGAUUUUUUGAGACAUUUUAUUCUCAACCAAUGCCCAUUUAUGCACAUAUUUAAUUUUGUAUUAACUCAAAUUAACGUCUAUGAUAGUUAAACGUUAGGCAAAGAGUCUAAAGUAAACUAUUUUUCCAAUCGUUGUCCACAAUUUUAUUGUUUCACUAUCAUAAACUUAAUUUCAUAAUGUAAAAUUCCAUGGGUUCUAAGUGAGAAUUACAUUAAUUCUUCUAACUUGAGAACUCUCACUUAAUUGGUGAAUCAAAUAGUUCUAGGUGAGAUUUUCUCUAAAUCUUUCAAUCACUAAAUUAUCACUCAACUGACAAUCAAUAGGUUUAAGUAAGAAUCUCACUAAUUCUACUGACCUAAGUAUUUAUAACAAUACAUGAAGUAAAGGAUAUCUUAUAUUCAAUUAGAUAAUUUUAUAAUAAGCAAUAAAAAACAUAAAUAUGCAUAUUAUCCAAUCAUGACAUACAUCAUGAUAUAACAAAUUAAUUUUUUCAGAAGAUAACAUCAAUUAUAAUUCAAAAAUAAAACUAACAUCGUUUAACUUUUAUUUUACACCUUCUCAAUCUCAUUUAAAUUUCUGUUGCAACACAUUUCUAAUAAAUGGGAAAUGACAUCAAAAUUCUCAUAUUCUAUUUAUCAUAAAAAACUUAUAUCCCAAAAUAUUCACGUGUUCCACAUUGAGCUAUGUUCCAGAUUCAUUUAUUUAUAUCGAUAAGCACAGAACUUGGAACUUUUCGACAAGUUCCAUAGCCUUUGAUUUUCUAGCAUUCCUUCUAAAUGUGCGUAGAUUCAGCCAAAUCUGAUCAAGCACAAAAAAUUGGAAACAAGUCAUAAUGGACCACAUAAUAUAAUCACGACCCGCACAACUCAUGAACGUAGAUAAAAUGUGGUAUAUUAAAUACAUUCGGAGUAUUUUUCAUUUAAAAAUGAAACGCUUCAAAAAAUGAACUCCCACUAGGCAAAUAUUACUUAACAAAUAUUUUUGAUCUUUAUAGAAAUUUUCAGAAUUUAAUCGAGUCCAAAAAAUUAGUUUUGAUUAUUUGAAAAUUAAUUUUAAUUGCACAUAUGAAAAAAAUCAAGAAUAUUUGAGGGACCAAUUUACAAUUUUCAAAAUUUUCAUUUGAAAUGUCAAAUGGCAAUUUUAUUUGACAUUUCAACUUUUCAACAUUUUCUUUUAAUAAAAAAAGGGGCACUGAUCGCCCACUACACGCCCAUCCGCAGUGCUUAUUCAAUGAAAAAAUUUGUUGAUUCGUCCAUUUAAUCAAUUUUAACGUUCUGAGUUUAUCUGUGUGGUCAGAUUUUAUAAAAUCAAUUUUCGAUGUUGUGUUGGGACAUUAUCAAAAUUGACCAAGACUGAAAAUGGGGAAAAAUGCUAUUUAUUGUAAAAAAAAAAAAAAAAAAAAAAGACUUUUCAAAUUUUUAUCAAUAAUUCAGGAGGCUGUGACUUCUUCAAUUCAAAGCCAAAAUUUAUGUUUUUUUAGAUCAUUGGAAAGGUCUCGAGAAGAUCUAUCCAACCAUACCAAAUAAGUUUCAUGAAACAUAGCGUGGAAGAAGUUAUCAUUUGAUGAAGUUUUGGAUUUUACCCUUUUUCACACAAAAAAUCAUAUUUAUAUCUAAAUUUCGGAAGGCUAUAACUUUUUCGUUCAAAGGCCAAAAUUUAUGUUCUUUAUAUCGUUGAAAAGGAAUUGAGAAGAUCUAUUCAACAAUAUCAAAUGGGCGUCAUGAAAUAUAGUAUGGAAGAAGUUAUCACGUAAUGAAAUUUUUGAUAUUACAAAUUUUCAUCCAAACUUCAGGAAGGCAUAACUUUCUCAUUUUAAGCAAAAAUUAAUGAUCUUCAUAUCGUUGGAAAUGUCUCGAGAAGAUCUAUGUAAUUAUCCAAAUAGACAGCAUGAGACUUAACGUAUAAAAAGUUAUCACGUGAUGAACAUUAGUGUUUUAUCAAGUUUCAUGCCUAAAAUUCGGAACCUCAUAAUUUCUUCGUUUUAAGUCCAAAAUUUGAGUUCUUUAUAUGGUUGGAAAGCUUAUGAGAAGACCUUUCUAAACAUACUAAUCUUACUUCAUGAAGAUGAAAGAACAAAUGGUAGAAAAUUAUCAAAUGAUGCCACUAAAUACCACAUAAGAUUUCAAAACUGUACAUACAAGAUUCAUAACACAAAUUGUAUCAUGUAAUGUCAUAUUUAAGCAUGUAUUACAACAAGGAUUCAACCUUAAGGCUCUGAAAUGAAUGUUGGAAAUUCGCAACAUACUUUGUCAUGAUUUUUGAGUCAAGAAACUUACUUGAAAUGAUGAAUUUCAAGAUCUUUGUGUGGUUGAACUACCUUACGUUCCAAGCAUCAACAUUUGCAUUUUUAAAUAUUCCAAUGUCCCAAUUCCGAUCACAAUGGAAGGGAAUUAUUAUCCACAAUUUUUAAGUGUCAUUUUUUGUGAGAUUUCAUGCCAAAGUAUGGUUAUAGAGACUUUCCAAUUUUGGUGUCAAUUUCAAUUCAAAUUUUCACCUUUUUUCAUUCCAUCUUUUUGUCCACAUUUUUUAUAUCAUCAUCAAUGGAUGUUAUAUGGGAGUUAAAAGGAGAUUAUGAAUGUUGUAAAUUUGAAUUCAGAAUUCAAAUCAUUCACCCCGACCCUUUUUGAAAUCUUACGGAUCGUGUCACCUCACACGGGGGACCCAUUACCCAUAUUUUCCAACGGGACUAAAUAUCCGACUCAACAUUCAUAGCUGAACUAAUUUGAAGAAAAAGAAGAAAUAUAGGAAAAGGUUCCGAUGAUGUUUAUUUUUAUUAAGUUGCUGAAGAAUAAAUUCAAUAUGAUAUCUCAUUAAUUCUGCAUAUUUUCACUAAUUUUGUCUCGGCACAUUUAGAAGAUUACAAAAGUAUUUCCAAUUGGAGGGACUCGAAAACAAAUGUUUAAAACAAUAUAUUGCAGUCUCCUCUUUUCAAUUAAUGGGUCCAAAAGCAUAGGCUAAACAAAUGAUUGAGCUAGCGAUUUUUCUUUUCUUUUUUGGCCGUUUGUAAUAUCCCAUUUUAAAGAACCGUCAAGACGUUAGAAUGCUAAUAGUUUGUUUCGUAUGUAAUAUAGAACACCAUUAUUGAAAAUAAUGUAUAAAGUCUUAACUUUUUCUUUUCAUAUUUAAUCUUGUCCAAUCCAAUAUAUGAAAUAUGUUACAAGGUGUUUUUGAUACAUGAUAAUUGAUAUAUUCUCUCUAUCUCACCCUCAUUUGGUCCCCAUUUUCUUUCAUUUUUUCCCUCUCUCUUAUUUUCAAUCACACAAUCUUCCAUAAAAUAAUAUUACACGUAAAUUGAAAAUUUUCAUUCUUUUUCAACCACACAUUCUUAAAAAAAAAAAAAAUACUGUUGAAAAAAUUAAAAUUUAGAAAAAAAAAUGGUGGCCUAACGGGGGGCUCAUAAAGAAAGACUUGCUUUCCUUCUUUAGAUGUCCCAAAUUAUAGGUAACUUUUUUUUUCUUUUGUUGAGAGUAUAGUUGAUUUCUUAAUUUUUAACAUAUUUCUAUUUAAUGUAUUUUGUUAUCAAUAAAUAUGAAUCAUUCAUAUUUAAACAAUUAUUUAAUGUACAAGUCUAUUAGAAAAAAAUGUAAGUAAAAUUUAUAUUUCCUACUAUAUCAAUUUAUUAAUCGGAGUGAAAAUGAAAGCAAGCAUAUAUUUAUAGAACGGAGGGGUUAUUAGAUACAUAAUACAUAACUAUCCCAUAAAGAUAUUAAUGUUUUCAUUUUUACACAAAUUAAGAAAAUGUAAUUAAUAUGGUUGAAAAUUUAAAAUUUACUUAUAUUUUUCUUAAUACACCCUUACAUUAAAUUAUGGCUUAAAUAAAAGUAGUUCAUAUUUGUUAACAACAAUGUAUGUUAAUUAUGGGCAUAUUAGAAAAUUAAGAAAUCAAUUAUAUUUUCAAUAAGAUAAGUAAUCUAUAAUUUACAAUAGACAUACAAAAGUAAGUCUAUAUUUAUAAAACAGAUGGAGUAAUACUUUCUCCAUCCUAAUUAUAUAGGCUGAGCUUCAUUCUUCUCUUGUCCCAAAUAUAUAGGCUUAUUUUCUAAUUUAAAAUAUUUUGUUUUGUUUAUUUAGCAAUAUACUCUUAUUCAAUUUUUCCCACUUAAUAUACCAACUUCUUGAAAUCCUCUAAAUACACAUAUUUUUCACUUCUUGAAAACGUGGAACAACUCUCAAUUCUUUUUUUUUUUUUUCAAAUUAAAUCAUUCAAUUUCUUUAUUAAUUCAAAUAAUAAUUUAUUACUACAUACUGAAAAUUAAAUAGAGGUAAAUUAGGGAAGAUCUUGGCAAAAAUUAAUUUCCUAAUGACAUUAAAGAAUAUUUCUUAAUUCAUGUGAAAAAAGAAACAAGCCUAUAUAAUUGGAACGAAGAGAGUACUUGUGUCACUCGCUGGUAGCUCACCAAUAUUGUGGAUUGGGUCAAUUCGUAUUCAACAUUUCAUUUAGCUCUAGGUUCAUGGAAAUUUAUAAUAUUAAUACUAGGGAAUGACAAUUAAUUAUGAGCACAUCACUUGAAUGUUAGUCCAAAUUUCAAGAGUGAAAAUUGUUAAAAUUUGUGGGUAAAUAUCAAGUUCAUUGGUGGAAGGGUAUUGCCAUUCAGACAAGAAAAAUGAGAUUCAGAUCAAGGGUUGAGGUGUUGUCACCUUGGCCCGGUUGACACGGCAUGUCAUUUGGCCCUGUCACUAUAGCAGGUUUCUUGGUAGAAUUGAAAAAGAAGAAAAUUCUUACCUAAAUAUCAAGUCUAAAUAUCUGUUUGUGACGUUUGUCCCACCUUAUGAAUAUCUUGUCAUGAGGCAUCAAUUUGUGGCUCUCUCAGCAAAAGGAUUUGAUUGGACUGAAUGGAAGUUGGAAAAUUAGAAAUUGCAGUUGUCAUCAACCCAAAAAUAAUCACAAUAAUCAAAUAAUGUAAUUGAUGCAAUUAAUAAAUUAGGUUCAAAAGUGAACCAUUCUUUUUAUAUGAUGAGAUUUAGCCCCUGUUUGAUCCCCAUUAAAUUAAAUUACAUUACAUUUUAUUUUUCUCUCUUCUAUUUUCAACCACAUAAUCUUCUAUAAAAUAAUAUUACACGUAAAUCGAAAACUUUUUCUUUCUUUUCAACCACUCAUUUUUUUUUUUAAAAUACUAUUCCCCCAUUUUUAUUUUCAGGUAAUUGGAAUCAAACAGGGGCUAAACAAGAAUUUAAAUAUAAAAGUGGUUGUAGUAUCUCGUGAUGUAAUGAAAUAAAAUUUUCUUAUUUAGUGACAUAAACCUAACCUCAAAAUAAGUCAGCAUAGAUAAUUCCAAAUUCCGAUAAGACUUUAUAAUUGAAAUGUUACUUAUUGUUAAUUUUUUAAAUAAAAAAUUUCAUAAAGAAUGUAUUGAAAGCGAUUCACUUUAAAUUUAUUUACAUUGUUCUUAUGAUUUCUAUGAUCUUUGGUCCAUUGGAAGUGUAGGGUACACAAUAAUUUGGACGGAUCUCUUCUUUCGCCCUUUACAAAUAUAAGAAAAUUUAAUUUUUAUAAAAUUGUAUCCGAAAAAGUAAUUAUUUUUCUAAUAAUAAAUAUAAUUAUAUUCAGAUGUUAUUUGAGUUUGGGCACCAAGAAGUUAUUCUAAUCCGGACUAUAGAAGUAAUAACUAAGAAUUUGUAUUUAUAAGCAAGUUUUUUUCUAAAUACAUAAGUUUAUUUUUAAAUAAAUUAAACUUUUGUAAAUCUUAAGAAUCAGUUACUAAGUUUUACAAUCUUAGCCCUUCUUUGAUACCCAUUAAAAUUUUAAUACAUUUUUCUCUCAUUUCUUUUCGAUCAUACAUUCUUCAAUAAAAUAAUAUUAUACAUAAAUUAAAAAAAAAAAACUUCUUUUUUAAUCAUACAAUCUCCCAAAAAAGUACUAUUCUGCAUACUCAAAAUUUAAGUAGUCAAUCCCAAAUUUGGAUAAAGGAGGGGAGUUUAUAUUUUAUCUAUUUGAAAAAAAAAAUAAUAAAUUCAUGAGCUUUCGAACCCAAGCUUGGCUCGGCUCGCGAGCCACGAGCUCGAGGGCCAAGCCGAGCUCACCCCUCGAGUAACUCAUAACGGGCCACAAGCUCGGCUCGUGCGAGCUGAGUCUAUCGUUGCCUCCUAUAUUUUUUAAUCAAUUUGAAGAUGGCAUAAUGAAAAUUGUCUAGAAGUACGAAUCUUGCUAAUUAUUGAAAGAUUGAGGGUUUAAAACCAACAAGCAAAAGAAUGAAGUUAUGUUAUUAUUGACAAAACUUAUAAUUUGCCCUAUUUAAAAUAAAAGUUAAUUAAAAAAUUGACCAUAAGUAAUCUAUCGACCAAGCAUGGUUUUCGUCAUUUUUUAUAUUAUGAAUAAUGUUACUUAUGCAUAAUGAGUUAUAGAAGAUUUUACAGAUUGAUGAAGUGUUAAAAAAAAAUAAUAAAUAAAAAUAAAAAUAAAAUUAUUUUUUUAUUAGAUUUAAUAAUAUCUCAUAACAGUACGUGUUUGUAAACACAAUAGAUAUACUGUUUGCAAUUUGUUCAUUUGGGACCGACUUGCAUUCUAUUAUCUGCACGCUUUUAGCUAUAUAUGUAUUAGACUUAACACCGAAAAUUUCUCCAUCUUUCACCAGUCUCUCUUUAGCACCACCAAGAUAUACCUAAAAACGACGUCGCAAAACAACCAUGUGGAUUUCCUUCGCAAGCUUCUUAACACCAACUUUUCUUCUCUUCUUCGUAUUGAACCUCACCAUUUUCACCAUUUUCAUCACUUCAAUCCUAAAAAGACUCCAAAAACUCAGUGAUGACCAAGACAACUCGCCACUGCAAAUCAUCCGAGUUCCACCUUUCUUAAAACGAGUCAAAUCCAUUAACUUCUCUAUCUACAACUCCGAACGGUCCGACCAGUCUGACACCGCCGCCCAUCAAACCACUGCCUCACCUCCACCUGAAGAACCAACACAUCAGCGUGUGGAAGAGAGUCCCGUGACUAGGAGCAGAUCUGACACGUGCGUGCAAGCUCCGACGAAAAGGGUGUUGGAGAAGUCGUUGAGUGAGAAGGUGUAUGUGGCUAAGCCGGAGCCGGAGCCGGAGCAAGAGCAAGAGCAAGAGCAAGAGGAAGAGGAAGAGGAAGAGGAAGAGGAAACUGAGUCUUCUAAUAGGGCGGAGGACCAGGCUUGGGAUGCAAAAGCUGAUGAUUUCAUUGGCAAGUUUAGACAACAGUUGAAGUUACAGAGAUUGGGUUCCGAUUUGAGGUACAAUGAAAUGCUCAAUAAUUAAUGCUAAAGAGACAGGGAUAGAUCCAGGCUUUGGAUCCAGGCCGAGGAUCCAGCCGAUGCUCAAAAGAGGUCUGAGUGCUUGAAGCAUAAUACUUUGGGACGGAUAUACCCUUUACUUACUAGUAUUUCUUUAAGCAAGUGCAUGGGCUGUUUAGUCUUUCAAUAAUAAGGUCUUGUUUGAUAUCCAUUAUUUCAUUAAAAUGAGCUCUGUGGUAAUGAAAUGUUGAAAAUUCUUUGGUUAAAAAGUUUUUCUUUGAA
rnacentral:lncRNA from 1 species